rnacentral:lncRNA from 1 species
CCAAAAAUGCUUAAACCUGCCUUCCUUAAUAAUUACGUACAACUUGUAAUCGCCCAAUGUAACAAUUGCAAUUGAUGGAUGCAAUUUGGAAAAGAAACUGACACUUGAAGCCGAUUCAUUUCAUACAAAAAUUGAAGGAAAAAAAGCCAACCAGCAUAUUCUCCAAAUUAAAACACUACCGAAGUAAUAAACAAAGAUGUAGAAAUUUAUUAUAUAGUUUCACUUUCACACAACAAAAAUGUGCUUAGACGACCAAGAGUUGGAGAGAUAUUACCAUCAAUGCCGUUAGAAGACUAUAGUUUCACUUUCACACAACAAAAAUGUGCUUAGACGACCAAGAGUUGGAGGGAUAUAUCCCCAGAUGUAAUUAUUAGAUAGAUCCAGGUGGACAAGAUUCCUCAAUCUCCCCAUCUCUGAAGGAAUAAUUCCUGUUGCGCAUGUGAUUUAUGAAAAACGAGAUCAGUAUUCACUAUCCUCAUAGCAAAUAAAAUUUAUAAAGCAAUCCUCGUAAAAAAAAACUUCUUCAGUGUUGUAAAAACAGACGCCUGCUUCAAGCAUGAGCACGACUUCAUACAUACAUACAUACAUACAUAUAUAUAGUGAAGUUUCGUAGCAUACCGGUAAGAUAGUUGGAGGACAGUUCAAGAGUUUGGAGCAUUGAAAGGGCAGUAAUUUCAGAUGGAAUGCUCCCAGAGAGAAGAUAAUUUGAAUGAAUUUUGAAACUUCUGAGGUUCGGAAAGCAAGAGAAUUUGAAACGACCAAGCUCUCCUUCGAUGUUAUCAUUUUCAUACCAGAGUAAGCUGACCCCGAGUACGCUUCCCGCUGAAUUGCAACUGAUGCCAGUCCACUUAUAAUGAUCGGACGUGGAGUUGCCCGUCGCCCAAUUGUUGAUCCACCAGCCUGUACCAAGUAUAGCUUCCCUUUCUAACUGUAUGGGUGACGACAACAAUCCUGCAGCUGAUGCUAUUACAAAUACUGUCGUAUCACUUAUAGCACCAACAUUUAUUAAAAUUAUAAUGACCACCAGUCUCGAAACAGAGGACGCUGAUGCCAUGUUUAUGGUGGUUUUCGGUUGAUUGAGCAUUUGAUUCUCAGCAAAGCGUUUAUAUAAGAAUUAAUUGUUUUGCAACUUCCCGGUGUUAAUUUCCAACACGCGUUUUCAAAUAGUGUGAGUCAAGGUCUUCUCUAGAUGGAUUUAAUCAUGGAGAUAUAACCUUAUCGGCUUGUAUUUGUGAGGUGUAGAUCUAUUUGAACAACAUUGCAGAAACAUGAGAUAAUACGGACAAUAUUAGAAAUAAUUAAUAGCAUUAUUAGUAGUAUAAGAUAUUAAGUAUUACCCAAAAUAAGAAAAGGAAAACCGUUCAAAGAAAAUAAUUGUUAUAAAUAAUGGCUCAAAUAGGAAAAUAAACAAGACUAAUCAUAUCUUUUGUAACAUACAUACCAUAGCUCAUGGGCUAACUAACAUUUUUUUUUUUAACCCUAAACAUCAUAAAUGAAAGAAGAUGAAAUUUUCAUUACCGCUCAAUUUUUCUGCACGCAACCAAAUUUUUUUUAAAAAAAAACAAAAAGAAAGUGUUAGAAAAAUAAUGCGCAAGUAGCUACUUGAGGCAUGAUUUUGAAUGAGACCUUUUUGGUAUAAGUGAAAAUUCAGAAAUUGUUUCGCAUAUUCCUCUAUGAGUACUUCGGAAUGUUAUCUAUACGAUCAAAAUGAUCCUCAAGUGAAUGAGAAAUUAUUACUCAAAGUGCACUCAUGAAUUUGAAAAAUUAAAGGAAAAUACAUUUGUCCCACAUUGGAAAGAUUUAUACAUAAUUACUAGAUGAACGGUAAGCUAUUAUAAGCAAAGGGGCGUUCCUUGUGCACGGUCACGGGAGUGCAAAUUUUAACCACCCCAAUUAGCUUAACCAGUGUUCAUAUUGGGGGUGUUUACCCGACCCUUAGUUGGGGUUAGCUAAUGUGGCAACUUAGUUUGCCUUUUUUUUUUUUUCUCUUUGUAAUAAUAAUAAUAACAAAUUAAUAUAAUUUUUUAAUUUAAUAUUAUAUUACAUAAUAUUAAAUUAUGUUUUAAUUUUUAUUAUUUUAAAUAUAUAACUAAACAUUGUAUUAUUUAAUUGUAUUAUUUUAAUUAAUAUAUAAAAUUAUAUUAAUUAAUCUUUAAUAAGUUAAUAUAAUUAGUAAUAAAUACUUAAAUAAUAUAAUAUUACAUUAUUAAUUAUAGUACAAUAAUUAAUUUAGCUAUUUUUAAAUAAUUUAAUAUAACUAACAAUAAAUAUUUAAAUUUGAAUAAUAUUAAUUGAAAAUUAAUAAUAUAAAUAAUUACUGGAUUAUUUAGCUCAAUUAUAUCACUUUAUUAUUCUAUAAUUAUCUUGUAAUAUGUAUAAACUUUUAUUCUAUCAUCCUCAAAUGAUUUUUGAAUUAAUCUUGAAGAUUUCAACUAUUUAUUUAUGUUGUUAAAUUAUUUAGUGAUUAUUUGAUUAAAUUAUUUACUUUGAUCUUUAUUUCAUAAGUUAUAUAUUUAGAAAAUACUAAAAAAUACACUUCCAAAAAUUUAAGACUAUAAGCUUCGGAAGAAUUAUGACAUUUCAAUAUAUAUUUUUAAUAAAAAUGUUAAAUUUCCAAAAUUUAAGAAUUUUAUAUUUAUUAUUUUUAAGUACUAAUAAAUAUUAUUUUCUAAAUAUAUAAUUUAAAUUAAUCACAAAAAAAUUAAUACAGUACAAUGUAACGCCAAACAUUGUACAACAUUAUUAUAAUACAGUGUUAAUGCAAUACAACAUAAUACAAUACACCUGCAAUAAAAUAAUGCAAUACAACAUAAUACAAUACAGUUUGUCAAACACACCAUUGUAUUAUUGUUUCGUUCUCAUUGUAUAAUUGCCGUCCAUACCUGUGCAAAACAUUAAGAGUUAAAAAAAUAUAUUUUUAUGAUUAAUUUUAGAUAUUUUUUAAACUUUAAUAAUGCCAUAUUAUUUAAUAUUACAAUUGCCGUUCGAACAUGUGCAAAACAUGAAGACUAAUAUAUAUAUAUAUACACCAUAUUAUUUAAUAUUUAAUUUUUAAGGCAACUUUUACUUAAAAAAAAAAAAAUUUAAGGCAACUUUUUUAGUUGAGGGCAGGGAACCCCUACGAUACCUAAUUCCAUAACACGCUCAUCUAAUCACCUUGACUAUAAGACUUCUCCUAGUCAGCAAUUAUUUGGAAAAAAACGUCUUGACAUGUGCUGUGGAAAUUAAAGAAUGAGGUGGACUUACGAAGUCAAGGGGUUUUUCUAGUCUACAUAUUUUAAUUUAUAUGUGUAGAAAAUUAGAAAUAUUCAAUGUCUAAUCUGAUUCUACAUAAACACUAAUGCCCCAAGAUUGUGAUUGAAAUGCUAUAAGCAGUUUAUUUUAUAAGUUUAGAUAAAAAUGAGGUUUGAUGGCUUUGUUAAAAGUUGCUUCUUUCACAAUUUUCUCAAUUUUGACUAAAACUUCUAAAAACAGGCAGGAGAUUAUUUUGAUAAGCAACUUAUUAAAUAAGUUGCUAGAUCUUUUUAAAUGUUCCUAUAAUAAUCUUAAUAUUUUAAGAAAAGAAUAAUUAUAUCUUUCUUUUCUAUAAGCUCUAAUAUAUAAAUAAAACACAGUUUAAACUUAUGUCUAUUUUAGUGAUUAAAUAAUACAACACAUUCAUAAUCAAAUUUACCAAACACGAGCAAGACACUUUUUUAACCAUCAACUUAUUUCAUCCUCACAACAAAAAUAACUUAUUUUAUCAGCCACCGCCAUCCUAAACUUGAUGCUAAGUCACGUUUGGGAUUGCAUUAGAUUGUCAAAUAAUUAAGAGAAAUAGCCAUUAUGGAGAAGAAUAGGGAGAGGUUCGCCUAAAGCAAUAUACUCGUAAGCUUGGCUACUAAUAAACGGAGCAUAUAAGCAUAAACACCUAACUUUUGAGGCAUAUAAGGGAUCUAAAAGUGCGGAAACGUUUGGAAAAACUUUAAAACCACAGGGUUUUAAAGGUUUAAACCGCAUGGUUUAUGUGUUUUCCUAGAUAUUCCCGCACUUUAAAAUUUCAGAUUAAAACAUUUCCAUAUGUGUGUGUGUGUGUGUGUGUGUGUGUGGAGGGCAAAUCUUUGACUCUCUCCAGCUUCAAGUACCUAUACGGUAACUCUUAAAUCAAAGGGAGAAAAUGGUUAACCCAAUCUUAUUGUAUAUGAAUUGAUAUUCACCAUAUGAUUAUUACAUAAAGAUUGAGCCUUAAGUGCUUUACAUUAAGUAAUAUUGCACACCUGUUCUACACAUUUAGACAACUCAGAGUAAAAAUAAUGAAAAUGACAACCAAAUCCAAACUACCUGUUCUACACAUUUGAACCCUAAUUUUUUAUUUUAUAGAAAAAUUUAAAUACCGUUUCUUGUUGUCACUGCUAUUAUACUGUCUGAUAUAUCUUCCAGAAUCCUAUAAUCCCCCCCCCCCCCAAAAAAGAAGAAACAAAAAAAGGUAUAUAAUUAAACAGGUAACUUCGAUAGAAAAGAGUGUACAUAAUUCUUAAGCUUAAUUACCCCUCGCUAUUAUAGGGAUCACGAAGGCCAUUAGAGAAAAUAAUGUUGCUACCAAAUCUCUUUAAAACCACUCUUAUAUCUUGCAAAUUAAAAAGAAAUAGAAAUCAAACAAAACUUGAGGUGAACUUUAUAAUUAAAACAGAAAAUGAGAAACCUUAAAAUAUUAGAAGAAUUAAUUUGGGGAUUAAUCGACACUUACAUUACCACUUUAAUAAGUUGUAAUCCAAUGUGGUCUUGGAACCACUCCAUAAGACUUAUUGCAUGAAUCCAUAUAUUCUGUCAGAUUAAAUGUGUCUGCUUGAAACAUUAUGUCGUUUUUGCCAAUUCCAAUUGGUGAGACCAUUUCACUGCAUGUCUGCAUGAGAAACCCCCCAAAAAUAAAAAAUAAUAAUAAUAAAAUAAGAUAAAGAAGAAAACUAUUUUUAAUCAUUCAUAAAUAUAAAGUCUCAUAAAUAAAAUUAAGAGAUGUACAUAAAAUAGGUAUUGUUCUCAUUGCCACAUGUUGUUUAUUUAACGGUCUCAAUAGAACUAACCAAUGAAAUCAUGUCACUUGUAAUUGCAUACCUGUCUGCCCCAGCUGGAGUCCAAUGUUGCAUCGGAGAAGAAUUCAUCAACAUCAUGGCAAGAAUCCUCCCCUCUUAAAUCAACAAUUCCUGAGAAGAUCCGGUCUAGGGUAUCUGUGCCUUCUAAAGCUCCAUCAAUACCAUUACAGGCUUUGUUCACUGGGCUUUCCUGAGGAUCAUCAUACUGAGCUGCACCCGUAUACAUAUACUCUAAAUAAUCUUUCAAUUCUGAAACAUCCUUCAGAGGCCUGUAAUCAAAUAAACAAUAACAUAGAAUUAAGUGCCACAAGGUCAUUAACUUUAUAAAAGAUCUUUCAACAUACUGUCUUAAAAAUGUUGUUAUAUUUAGUUAGAUUACAAUAAACUUUAUAAGUAUGAAGCUAUUGAUAUUCUCAAAUGCAAACGUUCAAAUUUGGCCUCAUUUGAUUAUCAGAGUUUUGCGUGGUUUUGUAGUUUAAAUUUAGAUUCUGCAAAAUAUGGACGUCUGAACCUAAGCACCAGUAUACUAUAUAUGGUAACGCAAAGGCCGUGUAUAAGCCCAAAUCCAGAUUUUUACUUUGUAUAUUACACGUUAAUCGAAAUGUAUAUACACGCUGAGGAUGACAGAUAAUUAAUUAGACAUGGUACAUUCGAUAACGAUGCUAAAAUAACAUUGCAUUAAUUGUAAUUAAGGGAAAAUCGGAUGGAUAUACAAUAUAAGCAGUUAUGUAAAGUAAUAUGAUUAAUUACUUGCAGGUUUUGAACUUUAUAGAGAGAAAAGCAAGUCCAUUUUUUCCAGCAGCGACUUUAUCGAUUUCAGCCUAGGACUGUUUGAUGGUCUUGUAGCAGCUCUCGCUGGCUUCCUGCAUCAUUAAUUUUUAAAAUUCAAUGGCUAAAUUUUAACAAGAAAACAUAAUCAUGCUUAUAUAAAAUUUUAAUUAACUAAUUUAUUUCUUACCCGAAAGUCCUUGGUGACAAGAUCAUAAUAUGCGUUUGACGGUGUGAUAUUCUCAAAGUAGAGAACUGGGGCGGAUGAGGCAACUGCUCCCAAAGCAAUGUGAAGAUACUUCAAGUGAAACCAUGCAGCAAGCAUUGUUGAUAACAAACCAACAAACAAGUAACUCUCGAAACCAUAUCACAUCCCAGAUCUGAUAAAAUAGGAUGAAUUGAGAAGAUUAUUUUUAAAUACAUAAUUAUCUUGAAUAUAUUUAUUAUUUCUUGAUUUUACGAUCGCCAAGAGUAUUCGUUAGUUGCAAUAUUAAAUAAAUUUGUAUCAUAGUAAUAUUGCCGUAGUCAAUAUCUUGAUCGAUCAAUCGUGAUCUAAAUGAGUAAAAUGAUGUGACAGAUGACACGACAUUAAUCAAAAGAUGUAAGUAAGUUAAUAAUAUUAUAAUUUACUUCCUCCAUAAGAUGCUCCAACAACCAUAAUGGGAGACAUUUCGUCCGAUAAAUUUUUCUGGAUGUGUAAGAGAAUCUCUGCGUAAUCAGCCAAAGCUUGAGCAGAGUUGAAAUAUCCACGAAGAGUUGCAUUCUUUGGGGCAUCUUUGCUUGAUACAAAAGGUAUUGAUUUUCCAUAGAACCGAUACUGCAUAAAAAAUUGAAUUAAAAAAAAAAUCCAUCACAACUUUUCGUAUGUGAACUCUAUUUCAAUUAUUAUCAAGCUAGCCUGAUAACAUAUUCUUUACUUACCUCUAUGUAAACUUGUAAGGCUUUAAAUCGAUGAGCACUAUUAGUUAGCCAUCCAAUGCCACCAAGGUCAUCAUAUCAAGACUACUCUCUUCACCAAGAUAUGCCAAUAUCGGCGCCGCCAUGGCUCUGCCACCGCCCCAAUGCUUGAAGUUCAACGCAUAUCUAUGAGGAAAAGUUAAAUAACUUUGUGGAUUAUAGUUAAAGUGAUCAAGUGUUUGAUAAUAAUAGUAAGUUUCGAGAUCAUAAUAGUAACUUUGUGGAUUUUUUUGCUAGGGUUUUGAAAAAUAGUCCUUCCACGAACAGCACCAAGCUUUGGGAUGUUCUUUAAUGGUGAAGUGGAAGCAAAAGCAAAAUUUGUGAGGAGAAGAAGAAAAAGGCAUGGAAGCCACCGACCUUUCAUGGCAAAGUUGUAAAUCCUUAAUUAGCAGGAUGAUUAUGUAAAUACAGAAGAAAUAGAGUUAAGAUUAGAUUAUAAAUUCAGCUUCAAAAUCGACGUGUUUGUUAAUAUAUCCUGGAUUUGUUGUUAUCGUAUAAUUUAAUUAAUGUUGGUUUUAGUUUUAUAUUAGUAUGGAUCUUCAUUUUUCAUAAAAUUAUAGUGUGUCGAAUAUAUAGUUAUCGGUUUCGUAAUUAAUAAAAAUUUUUAUUAUUUCUUUCCUAGUAAUUAAUUAUCUUGUGCUUACCAGAAUAUCACUAACCACAACUUCUGCAGAAGCUUCCUCACCUUCGGAUGACAUCAGCGGUGCGUCCAGGAUGUUUGAUCGGAUCAGCUAAAUUAAAAAUUUAUUGUAUAUGUUUGUGUGAAUAUUUACAAAGGAGUGAAAAAAAACUAAUAUAUUGAAUAACGCGACAUCAAGAACUUCGUUCUGAAUGAAAUUUUUAUAUAUAAUUUGCAAAAUAAGCUAAUAAAUAGAAUGACAAUUUACCCUUUUUAACUUGUAGAGACACAACCUUAAAUUCCUUAAUAUGCUGGUUAAUUCAGAUCAUUGAGAUGGAGACAAUUAGACAAACCUUAUUUUAUCAGAGUGAACUGCGAAAGUACUAGCUUUACAAAAGAGACUAAUGUCGUAGUGUGAAUGGAAUUAAAAAAUACUAAGGCAGACAAUUCGUCGAACACAUAAUAUUUGCUACAUUGCUACUACCUAAUAAUUUCACAACCAAUUAACAGUCUCCUUUAUUGGAAAAAUCACAUUAAUCAACCAAAUACAUUUCUUGGUUUCUAAGCUCCAAAAUUGAAAUUUCAUGAAAAGGUUUCUGCAUUGGUGUCUUAUUGCGAGCGAUAAAUUCGUUGGACACGAGUUGCAUUGUAGGUCGAGACUUUGGUUGAGAACGCAAGCAUGAAAAUACUACUGUUGAAACAAGAAUGAUAUCCUGCCUAAUCAUUUGAUCCCCCGGAGGCGGGAGGCGUGGGUCCAACAAAUCAAUCAGCUUUAUAUUUUUAUCCAAUGACGAAGAUGACGAUGAGAGGAGCUCUCCUGGAUGCUUUCCCAUUAGUACUUCUAGUGCCACUACUCCGAAGCUAUAAACAUCAGAUUUCUCUGUCACAACCAUGGUGUAGGCACGUUGUAUAGGAAAACGGAAGUCUUUAUUAGUAAUGUUUCCAUAAACAAUAACAAGCACAAUUUGUUCAUGUUUUUUAGCUUCUUUAGCAAGGUAUGACAGAGAAGCAUAUGUUCUAACUGAUAUUCAGUGUAUGUGUGUUUUGAAAGGUAAAGGGAUAGGUAAAGUCUAAAUUCAGUUAUAGCUCCUUAGUUUUUUCAAAAUUCGAACCCAAGUAGCGAGCUAAAUAAAGCUGGUUAAAAACUACUUAGCAGAGUAUAUAUAAAAAUUAAAUAAGAGGAUAACUAAAGAAGCAUAAGAGGAAUAGCUAGAAGAUGACCUGGAGCAAUAUAUCCAUAAGUGCCAGCUAACAGAGUUCGAUUGGAUGAGUCAAAAUUUAACAAUCUAGCAAUACCAAAGUCAGCAACAAAAGCUUCGAAUUCUGAGUUGAGUAGAAUGUUGUUGCUUGAUAUGUCGCGGUGAACAAUUGGUGGUGUGCAGUGAUGAUGCAAGUAUGACAAAGCAUGAGCCAUACCCUUCACAAUGUUCACCCUUUUAGUCCAAUCCAACCCAACAGCUUCCUCAUCUGUGCGUAGAAUACAGAACAAGCUUCCCAUUUCCAUGUACUCAUAGAUCAAGAACAUGCAGUUCUCGUGCAAACAAAAGCCGUAAAGCUUUACAAUAUUUCGAUGCCGUAUUUGGGACAGUAGACGAGCCUCAUUCCGGAAACUCUCGAGGGAAGCUAACUCCUCAGUUUCUGAACGGUGAAGCUUCUUCAAAGCAACCACUUUUCCACUGGGCAGCCGUGCUCUGUAAACGCUGCCGUAGCCUCCGGUUCCAAUGCAGUAUUUGAUAUCGAAAUCCUCAGUGGCUUCAAUCAUGUCUUGAAAUGUAAUUCUACCAUCGUAAUUCCAAAUUGCAAACUCAUCAGCGCACUUGGUAAUUUCUCCUGUCCCAGUUGGUUCAACUUCCUUAUCCCUUCGUCUACGGAUAAUCAAGAUUCCAAAUAUCAAGGCAAGGAAUGCGACCAUAGCAAGAAUAAUUGCAACCAAGCGAGUGGCAAUUGUUUUGUGAUGUGGCGGUGGCGCAUUUGCCAAAGUAGUUGAGAUUUCUCCUCCCAAUUUAUUGCCUGACACAUCUAAGUGUGGCACUUUUCUGACAAAUACAGGGAUUCCACCGGAAAGGUUAUUCAUGGAAAGGUCCACAGUGUCUAUGCGUGGAAAUUCUCCAAGUUGGGAAGGUAUUUUACCAUUAAUGAAGUUACCGCUUAGAUCAAGAUAAUAUAGUUCUUGAAGUUUGCCGAUCUGUGACGGAAUGCUUCCGCUUAACAAGUUGUUUCCCAAUUUUAAUAUCCUCAGCUUUGAGCAAUUCAUGAGUUCUGGAGGAAUUGGGCCAUCAAGUUUGUUGUUGUACAUAUUCAAAGUAGUUAAUUGAGUCAAAUGACCCAGAGACGAAGGGAUUGGGCCAACAAGUUUGUUUUGGGACAAGUCUACACUUCUCAACCACUUUAAAUGGCCAAGUGUUGUAGGAAUUGAACCUCCAAUUUCAUUUCUGGACAGGUCAAGAGCUUGAAGAACCUUCAAACUCCCGAUUCCUAAUGGGAUGGAACCAUUCAUUUGGUUUGAGGCAAUAGCCAAAGUAGUUAGCUGGGUUAGAUGACCUACAUUGGAUGGGAUAUUACCGACAAGGGAGUUAAAAGACAAGUUCAAAAUUUUCAAUUUGCUUAGACCACAAAGAGUUGGAGGGAUAUGUCCCAUGAGGUGAUUAUCAGAUAGAUCCAGGUGGACGAGAUUCCUUAAUCGCCUCAUCUCUAAAGGGAUAAUUCCUGUUGUGCAUGUGAUUUAUGAAAAACGAGAUCAGUAUUCACUAUCUUCAUUAAAAAAAAAUUACAUAGAGGGAGAGUCAAGCUCAAGUGCGGACGACUCACACUUCUUUAGUGUUGUAAAAACAGACGCCUGCUUUAAGCAGCAGCGCGAUUUUAUACAUACAUAUAUAUAUAUAUGGUGAAGUUUCACAGCUUACCGGUAAGGCCGUUGUAGGGCAGUUCAAGAGUUUGGAGCAUUGAAAGGGCAGUAAUUUCAGAUGGAAUGCGCCCAGAGAGAACAUAAUUUGUACGAAUUUUGAAAUUUCUGAGGUUCGGAAAGCAAGAGAAUUUGAAACAACCGAGCUCUCCUUUGAUGUUAUCAUUUUCAUACCAGAGUAAGCUGACCCCGAUUACGCUUCCCGCUGAAUUGCAACUGACGCCAGUCCACUUACAAUGAUCGGACGUGUAGUUGCCCGACGUCGCCCAAUUGUUGACCCACCAGCCGGUAGCAAGUAAAGCUUCCCUUUCUAACAGUAUGGGUGACGACAAUAAUCUUGCAGCUGAUGCCGUUACAGAUAUUGUCGUAUCACUUAUAGCACCAACAUUUAUUAAAAUUAAAAUGACCACCAAUCUCGAAACAGUGGAUGCUGCUGCCAUGUUUAUAAUGGUUUUCGGUUGAUUGAGCUGGCUAUUUGAUUCCUUGCAAAGCGUUUAUAUAAGAAUUAAUUGUUUUGCAAGCUCCCGGUGUUAACUUCCAAUACGCGUUUUCAAAUAGUGUGAGUCAAUGUCUUCUCUGGAUGGAUUCAAUCAUGGAGAUAUAACCUUAUCGGCUUGUAUUUGUGAGGUGUAGAUCUAUUUGAACAACUUUGCAGAAACAUGAGAUAAUAUGGACAAUAUUAGAAAUAAUCAAUAGCGCUAUUAAGAUAUUAAAUAUUACCCAAAAUAAUAAAGAAAAAAAAAAGCUCGAAGGAUUGUUGUUGUAAAAUAUGACUCAAAUAGAAAAAUAAACAAGACUAAUCAUAUCUUUGUAUAAAUUUAAGUAUAAAAAAAACUUGUAGGUGUAUUAUUAUAAUAAGCUGUAGAGAAAAGAAUUUGUAGACUUCUGUGAUUUGACAAAAUAAUAAAAUAAUCCCUUUAUUUUUUAAAAUAGUUACAAAACUCCUUUUGCAACAUGCAAACUAUAUGGAAAAUUGGAAAUUCAUGGGCUACCUAAUAUCCCUCUUAUUUUUUUAUUUUUUAUUUUACACCAAAACAUCAUAGACAAAAGAAGAUAAAAAUUUCAUUGCACUCAAUUUUUUUCAUGAAAUCAAACAAGGAAAAGAAGCAAAAAGUGUUGGAAAUAUAGCACAAGUUACUAUUUGAUGCGUGAUUUUGAGUGAGACUUAUCUGUUGUUUCAAAUAUUCCUCCGUAAAUACUUCAGAAUGAUUUUACCUAUAUAAUCAAAAUAACCCUUGGAUAAAUGAGAAAUUGUUACUCAAAGUAAAUUCAUGGAAUUGGAAAAGUAAAGGAAAUUAUAUUUGUCCCACAUGAAAAAGAUAGCAAAGGCAUGAAAGGUUUGUAUAUAAUUACUCAUGUGUGUAUAAGUAAAAUAUAAACCAAGACGCUCUCUCUUCCGUGCCCCAUCCUAAGUACACAAAUUCAAUGUGAUACGAUCCUAUAGUUUCCGUUCAAACCUAUGCACACUUUAAAAAAAGGUUUUUUUUAAUAUAUUUUUUAUGUAUUUUACAUUUUUUUUAAAAUUUAAUAAAUGCCAUAUUAUUUAAAUAUUUAAUUUUAAGGCAUCUUUUUUAAGUUGAGGGCAAGGAACCCCUCCGAUACGUAAUGCCGAAACAUGCUAAUCUAAUCACCUUGACUUUAAAGACUGCUUCCCCUAGUCAGCAAUUAUUUGGAACUUACGUCUUGACAUGUGCUGUGGAAAAUAAAGAAUGAAGUAGACUUAUUGAGUCAAGCUGUUUCUUCAAUCCAGAUAUUUAGUUUAUACGUGUGCAAAUAUUCAAUGCCUAACUUUAUUCUGCACAAAGCCUAAUGUCCUAUUUGGGAUAACGGUUGAAAUACUUAUAAGUUUUGAUAAAAAUGAUGUUUGAUAAAUUUGUUAAAAGUUUAAUUCAUAUUUUCUCCAUUUUGACAAUAACUCUUAAAAUAAGUAUGAGAUUGUCUUUUAUAAGCAACUUAUUAAAUAAAAUGCCAUUUUUUUAAAGUUUCUAUUAUAACUUUAAUAUUUUAAGAAAAGAAUAAGUGUAUCUUAUUUUUUAAAAAAUCCUAAUAUAUAAGUAAAAGACAAUUUAAACUUAUGUUUAUUUUAAUGAUUAUAUAAUAAAAUAUUAUUUUCGUAAUCAAAUUUACCAAACACUGAGUGAGCUACUUUUAUAAUCAUUAGAUAAUUCCAUUCACAUCGCAGAAGCAGCUUAUUUCAACAGCCACCAAAAUCUUAAACUGAUCCUAAGUCAUGUUCGGAAUUGCAUGGGAUUGUCAAAUAAUUAACAAAAGAAGCUAUUAUGUAGGAGAAUAGGAACAGGUUCACCUGGAGCAAUAUACUCAUAAGCUUGGCUACUAAUAAACGGAGCGUGUAAGGAUAAACACCUAAGUUUUGAGAGAUACAUGUAUCUGGAGGGCAAAUUCUUUUUCUCCCACCGGCUUCAAGGACCUAUACAGUAACUCCUAAAUCAAAGGGAGAAAAUGGUUAAUCCAAUGUGGUUGUGUAUGAAUUGAUAUUCACCGUAUGAUUAUUACAUAAAGAUUGAACCUUUGUACGUGCUUUAUAUUAAGUAAAACUGCACACUUGUUCUACACAUUUAGACAACCCAGAUUAAGAAUUAUGAAAAUGAAAUCUACAACUAGCUAGGUGCACUAUUAUUUAUCUUUGCUCCUUAAAUAUUAGAAAGAUAGAGGAGAGGGAGAAAAAGAAAAGACUAAUUUUGUAGUCCAAAUUUAAUCUUAUGCUCUGAUUUUGAAGCAAAUCAGCAGAGUAUUUGAGGAACCAAUCAUGAACCAUGUCCAUUUCAAUCUUUCGCUGCAUUACUAACCAUUCGGGGUCAUCUUCUGUUGCUGGCUGUAUGUCUAAGCAAUGGGAACCUGCUCCAAUUUACACACUAUUAAUUAUGUUAUCCAAUAAUUUAGUUAAUAAUUGAACACUAAUUUUUUAUUUUAUAGAAAAAGUUACAUACUGUUUUUUGUUGUCACUGCUAUUAUAUUGUUUGAUAUAUUUUCCAGAACCCUAUAAUCCCAAACAAAGAAAGAAAAAGAAAAAGGUAUAUAAUAAAACGGGUAACUUCAAUAGAAAAGAAUAUCCAAAAUUCUUAAGCUAAAUUACCCAGCGCUGCUACAGGGAUCGCGGUGGCCAUUAGAGAAAACAAUGUUGCUACCAAAUCUCUUUAAAACCACUCUUAUAUCCUGCAAAUUAAAAAGAAAUAAAAAUCAAACUCAAGAACGAGGUGAAGUUUUUAAUUUAAAAAAGGAAAGAAAAAGAGAAAAUUAAAAGAAUUAAUUUGGGGAUUAAUUGACACUUACAUGACCACCAUAAUAAGUUGUAAUCCAAUGUGGUCUUGGAACCACUCCAAAAGACUUAUUGCAUGAAUCCAUAUAUUCUGUCAGAUAAAAUGGGUAUGCUUGAAACAUUGUUUCCUUUUGGCCAAUUCCAAUUGGUGAGACCAUUUCACUGCAUGUCUACAUGAGAAACCCCCUAUAUUAAUAAUAAUAAUAAUAAGAUAAAGAAGAAAAAUAUUUUUAAUCAUUCAUAAAUAUAUAGUGUUAGAGUGCAAUUUAUGCACUAGUUUUGCAUUGUUUACUUCCCUUAAUAUCGAUGUUUUGCACUUAAUAAUAGUGAUUUACUUGUGUUUUACUUUUGUGGGUGCAGUUCUAUUGAUUUGUGAUAAAAUUGAGCUAUAAGAUGUUGUUUAAAGAUGAUUGUUCUCUUGGAGAAAUUUAGAGCGUCAGAAGAACUUUGUUGAUAAGGCGUGGGCGCGUGCUGUCAACUGCGGGCCUGCAGUUUUUAGUUUAACAUGUUUUGUAUUUUUGGUUAUUUUGUAAUUACGAAUUUAAUAUUUCAGUUAUUAGUAUUUUAUUUUAAAUAGAAUUCUAAAAGAGAAGAGAGAGAGAGUAUUUAAGGGAGGAAUCUAUUGUGAAAAAGGAGACUUUUGGAGAAGAGAAAGAAACCUUAGGUCUAAACUUUUCUCUUCUCUCUAUGAAGCACUAAACCUAUUUUUCUGGUUGAAGGAUAAUGAAGCUUUGAUUCAUCACUACUGUGAGAUCUAUUUUAUGCUUUAAUUGUUUUAUUGCUUUUUGGGUAUUUGUUUAUUCUCUGAAUUAUUUUCAUGAUUAUGUUUGUUAAUUAGGUAAUUGGCCACUAUUUAAUUAUCAACUUAAUCUAUUAUUAAUUAAAGGAUUCAUCGUAUGAAAAUUUUAAUGUUUGUGACAAAUAACAUACCAAUGAGUUGUGUUAUGAGAAUAAACAAUCUAAUUUAAAUGAAUCAUCGUAUGUGUUGAUUAGGAUUUGGGUCUCUCUGGUCUUUCAGGCUAUCAAUUGAUUAAAUCCUAUGAUCGUAUCUAGGAUUGUCUAUUGAUUAGGGAAAUAGCCAACGGUCGUACCUUGGUUAUCGACUAGUUAAGGAGAGAUUGGCUAUUAGAGGGUCUCAGUAGCUAUAACCGGUCUAUUCAUAAGUAAUAAUAAUCUAUAUUUGAAUCAAUGAUCAGUAAUCGAAUCUAGCUGAAUUAAUUCCUUCAACCAGAGCUUUCUCCAAUUUGAAUUACAACUUUAAUUUGCAUUCUUGUUAUUUUAAUUUGAUUUUUAUUAUUGUCAACAAAACCCCCAUUUUAUGUUUUACGUUUUAAAAGGAUUUAAAUAAUUACCGAUCUCUGUGGACACGACCCUGCUCAAUCACUAUACACAAUUUAUUUAGAGUAGGAAUUUAUUUUUGUUGGCUUCGACAACCAUCGUAUAGUCAUAUAAAUAAAAUUAAGAGAUGUACAUAAAAUAGGUAUUGUUAGGCGAAAGACUAAUUCAUUGCGACAUGUUGUUUAUUUGAUGGUCUCAAUGGAACUAUCCAAUGAAAUCACGUCAUCUGUAAUCGCACUUGAGCAGAGUUGAAAUAUCCACUAAGAGUUGCAUUCUGUAGGGCAUCUUUACAUGAUACAAAAGGCACCGAUUUUCCAUAGAACUGAUGCUGCACAAAAAAUCAAAUUAAAAAAUAUAUAUAUAUCACAACUUUUUAGUUGAUAUUAUAGAUUAAAUUUAUCUUUAUUAUUAUUGUUUCGCGUUCGAACUCUGUUUCAAUUAUUAUCAAAUUCUUUACUUACCUCUAUGUAAACUUGUAAGCCUUUAAAUCGAUGAGCAUUAUCAGUAACCUGGAUUUGUAUGUUAUUAGGAGGUCGUUGCUUAGAGAUUCCCAUGUCCACUCUUAGUGCCAAAAGACUUGGUCUUGAUGCACAGGUGACAAGUUUGUUGGGGAGUACAUUUGGACUCGCUAUCUUGAUUUAGUUCCAAACAUCAUAGCAUUUGGUUAUUUAUGUUGGUCAAAGUUCGCAAGUUCAGUUUGCGUGGUCAACUCAAGUAGACGAGAGAGUUGUGCAACUCUUGACCAUGCGUGCAAAUGCCAAUGUAUGUGGCUUUAAAAUUUGGCAGUGAGGACGUAUGAUCCCCCACAGCCUGGAAUCAAUGUGUGUCUGAAACCUUUUUUGAACGAAAACACGGAGCAAAUGUGAGCUUCUCGCAGGCUAAGGUUCCAAGAGAGGUUACAUAUGUUUACCAUGAAGUGUCAUAUGAACUUGUACAGAUUGAUUUCCGAUGUUUCUUUUUCCCGGUAAUUUCUUAUUUUAAAUCUUAUUGCUUGUCUUUGUGUAUGUGCGUUGGGCUGGAGGCUCCAUUGAAAUGGUGUUUCCUCAAAUUAUGAAUUAUAAUGCUCGUAAGUGUUAAUAUCAUCUCUUCUAGUCCAGCUUAUUAAGAAAGUCUUUCAGAAUCCUAUUCAAACAUAUUCCUUUUUUUUUUGUUUUUUGGAAGGAAAGAUUUUCUUGCUGGAAAUGUUGUUAAUUAACAAGGAUUCUGGUUGUAUUAACUAUUUUGUAAACAAAUUCUUUCAUCUGUACUACAAUAGCAGAUGACGGAGCUCACUGGGAAUAUUUUAUAUUUUUACCAUUGAUGUGAUAACUAAUAUAAGGCAUAAUGGUUUCUGUACCAUUUCCAGCCUCAGCCUGAUUCCAAUACUUGUGGAUCAAAGCAGAAAGUUGCCACACCACCUGUAGGUCCUGGAGAGCUUCCUUCAACGGGUUCAAACAAACCCAAGGAGUGGAGUUGUGCCCUCUGUCGGGUCAGUGCUACUACCGAGAGAGGUCUAGAUGAGCAUCUUCAAGGUAGGAAGCACAAGGCCAGGGUUUCAGGACUAAUUAGAGAUAAGAAAAUGUGCAGUAACUCCACUUCAUCCACGUCAAAAAAAUCUACUGAAAGCAGAGAUGGUGUUGGCCAAGAAAUGAAGACUAAAGUACAAGAGGAAUCAGUUAAAGCUAAUAAAACUGUUGUUGGUCUAGACCAGAAAGGGGAGGUUGGUCUAGAUGAGCAUCCUCAAGGUAAGAAGCAGAAGGCCAAGGAAGAAGAACUACUUGGAGCUCAGAAGUGGAUAAAAAAUCUAAUGAAAGCAGAGAUAGUGCUGGCCAAGAAAUGAAGACUAAAGUAGCAGAGGAAUCAGUUAAAGCUAAUAGAACUGUUGUUGGUUUAGACCAGAAAGAGGAGGGUUGUCAAGCCCUGCAGGUUAAGCCCUAUCCCAACCUUUGUGGAUCAAAGCAGGAAGCUGCCACACUACCUGCAGGUUCUGGUGAGCUCCCUUUGACCAGUUCAAGGAAACCCAUGGAUUAAAGCUGUGCCCUCUGUCAGGUCAGCACUACUCACAACAGAGAUCCAGAUUAGCAUCUUCAAGGCAAGAAGCACUAGGCCAAGGAAGGAGGACUACUUGGAGAUGAGAAGAUGUGCAGUAACUCCACUUCCAGAAACUCUACUGAAAACAGAGAUAGUGCUGGCCAGGAAAUUAAGGCUACUCUAGAAGAGGAAUCAGUUACACCGAAUAAAAAUAUCGUUGAUUUAGACCAGAAAGUGGAGGGUGGUCAAGAUGAGCAUCUUCAAGGUGAGAAGCACAAGGCGGAGGAAGCGGAGCUAAUUGGAGCUCAGAAGAUGUGCACUACCUCAUCUUCAUCGACAUCAAAAGAUUCUGGAAAGACAAGUAGACCAGAAAGUGGGUUAAGACCAGAAAGUGCUGGCCAAGAAAUGAAAGCUAAAGUAGAAGAGGAAUCAGUUAAAGCUAUUAAAACUGUUGUUGGUUUAGACCAGAAAGUGCAGGGUGAAGAAGAUUCAGAGAACAAAAAUAAGGAGCUGCUAAAGAAGGACUUGAAUGCAAACACUCAGAAGAUGACAAAUGGAAUACCGACUGGAGAGACGAUGAAGAGAAAACUUCCCCUUAGAGAGAAUUUCGAAUUCUGGUGUGAAGUUUGUCGAGGAGCUCAGAAGAAAUGAAGAGAAACUUCAUAUAUGCAUGGUUAUGACAUUGGACUCUUCGGCUCAAAGCAAAUUUUUCUUGAUCAUGACCUGACAUUAGUUUAUCUUUUGCUGGCAGGUAGUUGGCGGGAUAUCACUAACCACAACUUAUGCAGAAGCUUCCUAACAUCAGCGGUGGGUCCAGGAUGUUUGAUCGGAUCAGCUAAAUUAUUGUAUAUGUUUGUGUGAAUAUUUACAAAGGAGUGAAAAAACUAAUAUAUUAAAUAUCAAGAACCUCGUUCUGAAUGAAGUUUAUAUAUAUAAUUUGUAAAAUAAACUAAUAAUUAAAAUGACAAUUUACCCUUUUAACUCGUAGAGAUACAACCUUAAAUAAUAACAAGAGAGGAGCUCUCCAGGAUGCUUGUAGUGUCUAAAAAAUUAUCAUCAAUGAAAAUGGGAAUGGGAGGGCGUGGUGGGGUUGAUGAUCUAAGACUCUUUGCUCAUCACUGGUGGCCGUAAUAAUGGGGGCUUGGAGCACCUUCACUUCAACCCCCAGCAGCUCCUCGGCCUUUACCACUCAAUGAGCAAACCCUCUGGCGGCAGCAGCAUCUCCUGUGGCUAUCAUUGUUGCUGAACGAUAAAUUUGUGCUGCCCCUGAGAAGCUGAAAUUGCAAGAACAAGGCAGCAACUCAAAAACCAGCAAUCUUUUAAAUGUAAGCAAGCAUAAUAAUUAUUCAUAAAACGUUGAAACACAAAGUCCUGCUAGAUUCAAAAUUUAGAAGACUCGUGAUACAAUAAGAACUUAAAGUGUAUAUACGAUUAUGCAUUACAAGUGAAGUUGCAUGCUAUAUGAAGUUUUAAAAUAUGUCUCACUUUUCAAUGAUUUCUGGUAAAUCGCUAAUCCGAUAAUAUCAAAUAUCCUUCAUAAUCUUCAUCUUCCUCUUCUUCGUCGUCAUCGUCUUCUUUAGAUAUUUUUCCUCCUUCAACACCGUUAACCAUAUUUUUCAACUGCAAUGUCAGUUUGGAAGUAAUAUUUAUGAAGUUCAACAAGUUUCAAAUUUUGAUAUUGUUUGAAAUGUGAAUGAUAAGUACAACUUCUACCAUUAUUUAUAGAAAAAUAUGCAAUAUUGGCUUUGAGGAAAUAUAAUAAAGUUUACAAUUAAGAAAGGUGUAAUCCUAAAUCUCGAAAAAUCUGAUACUAAAUCUUAAAAUGUAAAUAUUUAAAUCCCGAAGAAUCCGAUGCAUAUUCUAACAGAUAGUGUUAUAAUUGUUGGAUUUACAUGGAGUCUAAUUAUAGUAUUAACGUUAGUACUCGAAUUCUCAUAUGAUCUAAACUUCUCUUGAGUAAAACUCACAUGGGAGAUUUGUGAUCCAUAAAUAAUUAUAUAAAAAAAAGAUAGUAAUUAAAUCAUAAUCGGGAGCGCUUAGAUCUUUUUUAUUUUUACUAUGAAGAGCUCAAUCGGGAGAAAAUUUAAAUUUUUAAGGGGAAAAAGCAACCCACACUCCCGAAGUUUGCUUAAAUAGUCACACAAACCCCCUUAAUUUCAUAAAUGAUGGAUUGCAUACCAUUAAGUCUAAAUUUCAUAAAUACUGUAAUAUUUUUAUCUAAUGAUGAAGAUAACGAUGAGAGGAGCUCUCUAGGAUGCUUUCCCAUUAGUACUUCUAGUGCCACCACUCCAAAGCUAUAAACAUCAGAUUUCUCCGUCACAACCAUGGUGUAGGCAAGUUCUGUAUGAAAACAGAAGCCUUUAUUAGUGAUGUUUCCUAAAUAAUAACAAGAGCAAUUUGUUUAUAUCUUUGAGCUUCUGCAGCAAGGUAUGACAGAGAACCAUAUGUUUUUAACUGAUAUUUAAAGUGUAUUUUUUUUUUAAAAAAAAGUGAAACUGGUAGGCAAAGUUCAAAUUCAUUUUUCCAGCUCUUUACCUAUUCAAAAAUUUGAACCUAAGUAGCUAAUUAAAUAAAACUGCUUAAAAAUUACUUAACCGAGUAUAUACAAAAAUUAAUUAAAAGAAUAAUUAAAGAAGCAGAAGAAGAAUAGCUAGAAGAUUACCAGGAGCAAUAUAUCCAUAAGUGCCAGCCAAUAGAGUUCGAUUGGAUGAGUCAAAAUUUAAUAAUCUAGCAACGCCAAAGUCAGCAACAAAUGCUUCUAAUUCUGAGUUGAGUAGAACGUUGUUGCUUGAUAUGUCGCGGUGAACAAUUGGUGGUGUGCAGUCAUGAUGCAAGUAUGACAAAGCAUGAGCCAUGCCCUUCACACCGUUCACCCUUUUAGUCCAAUCCAACCCAACAGCUUCCUCAUCUAUGCGUAGAAUACAUAACAAGCUUCCCAUUUCCAUGUACUCAUAGAUCAAGAACACGCAGUUCUCGUGCAAACAAAAGCCGUAAAGCUUUACGAUAUUUCGAUGCCGUAUUUGGGACAGUAGACGAGCCUCAUUCCGGAAACUCUCGAGGGAAGCUAACUCCUCAGUUUCUGAACGGUGAAGCUUCUUCAAAGCAACCACUUUUCCACUGGGCAGCCGUGCUCUGUAAACGCUGCCGUAGCCUCCGGUUCCAAUGCAGUAUUUGAUAUGGAAAUCCUCAGUAGCUUCAAUCAUGUCUUGAAAUGUAAUUCUACCGUCGUAAUUCCAAAUUGCAAACUCAUCAGCGCACUUGGUGAUUUCUUCUGUCUCAGCUGGUUCAACUCUCUUAUCCCUUCGUCUACGGACAAACAAGAUUCCAAAUAUCAAGGCAAGGAAUGCGACCAUAGGGAGAAUAAUUGCAACCAAGCGAGUGACAAUCUUUUUGUGAUGUGGCGGUGGCGAAUUUGCCGAAGUAUUUGGGAUUUCUACCUCGAAAUUGUUGCCUGACACAUAUAAGAGAGGCACUUUUUUGACAGAUUCAGGGAUGCUACCGGAAAGGCUAUUCAUGGAAAGGUUCACGGUAUCUAUGCGUCGAAUUUCUCCAAGCUGGGAAGGUAUUUUACCAUUAAUCAAGUUAUGGCUUAAAUCAAGAUAAUUUAGUUCUUGAAGUUUGCCAAUCUCUGACGGAAUGCUUCCGCUUAACAAGUUGUUUCCCAAUAUUAAUAUCCGCAGCUUUGAGCAAUUCAUGAGUUCUGGAGGAAUUGGACCAUCAAGUUUGUUGUUGUACAUAUUUAAAGUAGUUAGCUGAGUCAAAUGACCCAGGGACGACGGGAUUGGACCAACAAGUUUGUUUUCGGACAAUUCUAAAUCUGUCAACCUAUUUAAAUGACCAAGUGUUAAAGGAAUAGAUCCAGUUAGAUUGUUAUAUUCCAGGGACAGAGAUGUCAAGUUGACUAAACCAGCUAUGGUGGAAGGAAUUGGACCUUCAAGUUUGUUGUCGGACAGGUCAAGAACUUGAAGAAAGUUCAAAUUCCCGAUUUCUAAUGGGAUGGAACCAUUGAUUAGGUUUGAGUGCAUAUAAAAAGUAGUUAGCUGAGUCAAAUGACCUACAGACGAAGGGAUUGGGCCAACAAGUUUGUUCUGGGACAAGUCUAAACUUCUCAACCUCUUUAAAUGGCCAAGUGUUUGAAGGAAUUGAACCUCCAAUUUCAUUUCAGGACAGGUCAAGAACUUGAAGAAAGUUCAAAUUCCCGAUUUCUAAUGGGAUGGAAACAUCAAUGUGGUUUGAGGCAAUAGCCAAAGUAGUUAGAUGGGUUAGAUGACCUACAAUGGAGGGGAUAUUACCAACAAGGGAGUUAGAAGACAAGUGCAAAUUUUCCAAUUUGCUUAGACGACCAAGAGUUGGAGGGAUAUAUCCCCAGAGGAAAUUAUCAGAUAGAUCCAGGUGGACGAGAUUCCUCCAUCUCCCCAUCUCUGAAGGGAUAAUUCCUGUUGCGCAUGUGAUUUAUGAAAAACGAGAUCAGUAUUCACUAUCCUCAUAGAAAUAAAAUUUAUAAAGAAAUGCUUAGGUUGUAAAAAUUAAUAGAUUUUUUAGUGCUCUAAUAGUUUUUUUUUUCUUAUUUUUUGUUGGGGCUCGUCAAUGCUGCAAAUUUUAGACUGAAAGUUAAAUCUGCAGAUGCAACAAAUAUAUCAAUAAAUUAAUACAAAACUAUGGAGAUUAGAGAGAAUCACUCUCAGUGCUCUCAAUUGACUACCCUAUUGUUGUGCAAAUUUUAAUGAACUCGCAAGCGCACGAAUCUAUUGUAGUAUAGACUAAUGGUGACGAGUGUCGAUCCCACGAGGAGGUGGAUUUUAAUUAUAUAUAGAAUUAAUUUUGUAAAUGGGUGGUUGGAAUUGUGGUGGAAGUGAUUUAAAUUAUCCUAAAAUUGGAAUUGAAAUGGCGAUAAUAAAUUCUAAAAUUGGACUUGCAAUGGCGAGAAUAAAUUGAAGAGAAAUCUAUUAAAAUGACUUAUUUGGGUAUCUGGAUCCGUAUCAACAUGCAUCAUGGGCUAAAUAUUCCUUAUUAAUGCCAAUUAAAUCAUGAGGGGGGAAUCCACACCUCAUGAACCACGCUCUAAUCAAUAUGGUGCUAAGGGCUUAUCGUGCCAAAUAAUAAUAACCUUGUACUAGAGGGCCGGUGAAACCAAGGCGGUACUAGACAAGAUUAGUAUUAUUUGUCGACGAGAAGUCAAAACAUCCACAAAAACUAGAGGGGAAGAGAAAAUAAAUUUACCAAAUUAAGCCCAUGACACAUGUUGAGACUUCACCUUCAACCCAAGCUUGAAAGAAAAUUAGCCACUCAUAAUUGAACUAGGGGCAAAAUGAGAAUUUAUUAAAAUACGAAGAAAAUACAAGAUAAAGAAGGAAUUACAGAAAAUAAAGUCCAAAAAUGGAUUCAGCGAUAUCAAAUUAGGGGGGGGAGGCCCCCUUUUUAUAGAUACAUGGAGUAAAUUAUGGCCAUCGGAUUAAAAACAGUUUGGACGCUCAGGAUUACGCCACGUCAUCAGUCAACAGUCCACGGUUUGACCACGUGGAUGAACAGUAAUACGGUUUGACUCGGAUGAACAGUAACGCGGUUUGGUUGAAAAUAAUCCUGUGUGAUGCAUGUACCGUACGCGAGAUUUUUCGUCCACUGAUAUGCUGCCACGUCACCAUCAACAGUACAUAAGAAUUUUAGCCCAACAGGAUCGUGACACCUCAUCAGUCAAUGCCACAUCAUCAUCUGUCUAUGUGAACAGUGUCGUGAACAGUAACGUAUAUACAGUACCGUACACGUGAAUAGUACCGUACAUGUGAUCAGUGCCAUUUUUCUUUUUAUGCUUCUCCUAAGGUUUUCGACCGUCCUGAGUUCAAAAGUGAUGUCCGUUUUGCCAUCUGAUUUCUCGUUUAUUGUGAAAUGACUAUGAUGCCCCUAAAAUACAUAAAAUACUUAAUUAAAAUAAAACACAUGUAAUUAAAUCACAAGAAAGUUAAAUACAUAAAAGUAAGGGUUGUUAAUAAGACUUGAAAUGUAAAAUGACGGUUUUCUCCUUUAUAAAUAUGCAUUUUCUAACACUCAACACACCCCCCAACCAGUUUAUUGCUAGUCCCUAGCAAAUAAAGCGAAAACAAAAAAAAUAAUUUUUUUUAAUAGAAACACUCAUAUUUAUUCCAUCAGAUUAAUGAUAGCAAUUAAAUAAAAGUAUAAGCAUUAUCUCCAGUCUAAAGCAACAUCACACCCACAUCAACCAUCCACAUGAAUCAGCCCAGUAGACUUUGUCAUAGCUACUUUCAAGAAUGACAUGUCAAACCCCAAACUGGAAGUAGUGACACUCUCACAAAGAAAUUAAAACCAAUAAAAAUAGUCACUCCAAUGAAUGGUAAUUGAGAGAGAAAAUAAUAAAGAAGUGAUAUCACAUGCUCUCACCAAAAUGAAAUAAAUAUGCCCUCAGCUUAGAAAUAAUACGAUCUCAAGUCAAAUAAAAAUGCUAGUUAACCCAAUUUAUUUGUCUUAUUUAUUUAUUUAUUUAUUUUUAUUAUGCAGCACUACAUCUUUUUAGCUCAUAUAACUAGCUUCUACUUCAGACUAUAGUUCCCUAAACUCAAGAAGGACUUUUAUUAGGACGUACCGUAGGUUAGGGACAUGGUUAACAAAGAAGGGAAAUAAGGAAAAUAAAGUGUAUGUUUGAGAAAAAAAAAUUGCAGGGAUUUUUUUUUUUUUGGAAGUUGCAAGGUGGAUUUCACCUAUUGUUGUUAUUUUUUUAUUUUUUAUUUUUCUUUUGAAACAACAAUUUUUGUUUUUUUGUUUUUUGUUUUUUUUUUACUUUUAUUUGGCAUAACUUCACUGAACAAAAAUACUUAUUUACAUUUUUCUCAAACAUAAAUAGGUGAUGGAACUUAUAAGACAUUGGGUAAUACUCCAAAUCGGAGUGGGUCAAGAUAAGUUAAACAAAUAAAAGGUUUUUUUUUUUUUUAAAAAAAGGCUCAAAAUGGUUAACUAUGGAUAUUUCACAAAAGGGAUGGCUAGAAAGGCUCAAACGGAUCAAAGAUGGCCUUUCCAUCGUCUUUUAGGGCUCUAAAUAAUCAUCCAUAUCUACUAGUUAGAUGGGCCUCCCAAUGUAGCAACAUACAUUUUUUUUUCUUUUUCUUUUUUUUUUAUUUUACCAUUUUUUUUAAGGGUUAACUCAAAAGAAAUCUAGAGAUCGUGUAUAAAAUAAUAAACUGCUAAGCUGUAUAGAGAAUGGGCAAAAGGGUUACUCUCCAAGAAAAUGAUAGGCUCAACAACUCACUUGGCAUUUAUUUAUAGCAUGUUCAUUCCUUCAAGCAACUUAUAUUUGUCUCCGACAUCAACAUGUAAAGUAGCAAACAUAGCGUAACAUCACUUAAGACUAAAGAUAAUACAAAUACUAAAAUUUGAAAUUAAUCAUGUCAUCCAAUGUUAAAACAAAUCACACAAAUUAUUAUUAUUAUUUUUUAAACAACAUUCUACCCCCCAACCUAUUCUAAGCAUGAAAGGAAAAUAUGCAUGCAGAAAUGUGAAUAUGAUGCAGAAAAACUAAUUAGAAAAGUUACACUUAAAAUGAUGGAAAACCAAAAUGAUUUUUUUUUUAAAGAAGAUGCGUUUCUAGAGGAACUACACUCCAUAUUCAGCCAUCUUCGACUCACAAGUUGGAAAAUGUAUAUUUAUAGAGGAGAAAUUAAAAAGAAGAAAAAUAAACAUAAAAACAUAAUACAGAAAAAGAAAAUGUCUGAAAUUUUUUUAAUUUUUUUUUAAUUUCUUUAACGAUGAAGAUGCGUUUCUAGAGUAACUAUACUCCAUAUUCAGCCAUCUUCAACACAAAAAGUUAGCAACAGUUAGUUUCUACAACAAAAAAUUAGUAAAAACUUAACCAAAAUUCCACAUUUGUCGACUAUUCCCUCCCCCCAACCAGAACGAAACAUUAUCCUCAAUGUUUUAAAGGAAAGAAGUAGAGUUUAGAAGACAUCACCUGGGUGGUGCAACACAGAAGAAAAUAUUUAUAGGCGGAGAGUUAAAUCUAAUUUUUACUUCUUACUGCGGCUACUGUUACCAUCAUUAUUUGGAGGCUCCAACCCCAACACAAAGGUCUAGGGGUCUGGGUCCGGUUUAUAAGCUUGUAACAGAUCAAGUAGCUCAUUAGCAGUGUGAGCACAAAUAAAGAGUUUUUUCGCAUUAGGGGGAAUGAAAUAGUUUUUUAUUGCAUGGUUAAGAAAUGCGAUAAAGCCAUCAUAAAAGUUAUUGACAUUUAACAAACCGAUGGGUUUCUGGUGGAUGUACAGAUGGGCCCAAGAUGCUAGUGUGAUAAGUGCCUCUAGUGUUGCAAGAUCUCCUGGAAGGAAAAUAAAAGCAUCAGCAUGAUUAAGCAUUUCAGUUAUUCUUUCUUGCAUACCUGAGACGACUAACUCUUCUCCAGUUGAUGAGUCAAACGAACUACCCAAAGGUUUUAGGGCUCUUGGGAUGAUGCCUAACACUUGGCUGCCUCUGAUAAAAGCUGCUUCUGAGACCAUUUUUGUUAACCCUCGAUUACCUCCUCCAUACACCAAGUGUAAUUUUCUCGCUGCUAUGCUGCGACCAAGAUCUAUGGCUGCCUCAACAAACUCUUUAUGUUUGCCAUAUGAAAAUCCAGAAAGCACACAAAUGUUCUUGAAUUGUCUAUUUGGAGUAGCUGCCAUUGGGAUACUUCUCAAAAAAUAAUUUGUUAGUGCUUGACAAAAAAAAUCACAUUUAAGAGUCUUGGUGACAAUGGGUCACAGUUGUGUAUGAGGUAACAUGUCAGUGUCAAAUAACGCGUAAAGCACGUGGCUCGCGAGUCAAAAAGGAAACAGUAAAAAGGGAAAAAGAAAACAAUAAUAAGGAAAAAGCAAACAGUAAUAAAAUUAUUAAAGACAAUAAUGCACACAGUAAAACAAUAGUGAAAUAAAAUAACAGUAAAGUGAAAGGAUAUUUACAGGUAGUUGCGACUGUGGCUCACAUCUUCCUCUGGUUUUACGUCCAGAAACGGCUUGAACGCCCUCUAUGGGUCGAGGAUAGGCUUCAUAUCCAGUUUUCUUAUAAAUUGGCAAACAGGGUCGUUUAUAGUCAGAUUCCCGAGACUAUAUCGUGCAUGCUCUUUCUGGAAUAAUGGCCAUAACUGGAGAAUCGCUCCUUGCACAUAUCCACUGGGAUGCGUUUCAAGAGGCAAAAGGAUAUCAUCCAAUGACUCCUUAUUCAAGCCAUCCUUAAUGAAUUGAAUCUUAUCUUCCCUGUUAUCAGACAUCAUUCCUAAAGAACAUGGGUUUUUAUUGCAACUCAUUCUGGCACACUUAUGACAAGCAACAGAAAUUCUUCGAGCUCGUCAUUUUCUUGCAUAAUUUCCUUUACCACAACCAGGCAUGUAUGUAAUAAAUUUUGGAGGUAACUCACCUGUCGAUCGUACUUUAGCCUCGAUUAACCAACGGAUGUCAGCAGGUAUGUUAUUCCUCAAGAGUAAUCGGAUGCGUUCGGACCGAACUUUAUAGAUCGUAAGGAGGGCACUCUGACGAAGUAAAGGGAAUCGCUUGUGAAGCUUCGCUAGAAUCUCGUUUCUGUCCAUACUUUCGCCUCAGAAUAUUAGUUAUUAUGGGAAACUGAAGUAACCGACUUGAUUGUCACGGAGUACCGUUAUCCGCCACUUCACCGGGGUAACAAACUAAAGCACACAAAUAGAAAAACAAAUUAAAACACACAAAGAAAAUUAAAAUCGUCCUCUUAUUGAAUUUACCUCAAGCUCCAACUGGAUGUCAUAAACACUUCUCUCAAUGUCUCUGAGUUGGCUUUCUAAACCCUCAACAUAGGCUACUAACUCUGGUGGUUGUAGAGUCCAAAUACGAUGUGUUUUACAAAAUUGAAUCUGUCUUUUGAGAUGAGUUUUGACACGUUAAAGUGGUUUAAGAAUGUUCAGGAGGAACGGUCUAAGUAUGAGACUCAUGAUUAACAAUGAUAAGAGAAAACUUACUAGUUAAACAAACACACUUAUGCAAAAAUAAUUUCAAUUAGCAAAAGAAUAAUAUAAAGAAAGAAAGAAAAAUCAAAUCAACGAAAAGAAAAAUCAAUUCAAAUCUGGUGGGUCACUCAAAUUUAUUUCGGUGUCUUCUCCAUGUGGUUGGUAUUCUAGAUAUGGUUUUAAUCUUUGACCAUUAACUUUAAACGUGACACCGUUCUUUGGGUCCUUAAUUUCAAUUGCCCUAUGUGGAAAAAUAGUAUGAACAAUAAAUGGGCCAGACCAACGAGAGCGUAACUUACCUGGGAAUAGGUGCAAACGAGAAUUGAAUAAAAGCACUUUCUGACCUGGAGUGAAAGAUUUUCUCAUAAUUUGCUUGUCAUGGAAGGCUUUCAUUCGUUGCUUGUAAAUCUUGGCAUUUUCGUACGCGUCAUUGCGAAUUUCUUCAAGUUCUGCCAGCUGUAAUCUUCUUUCUGAGCUGGCUUGCUGCAUGUCAAAAUUGAAUUUCUUGAUGGCCCAAUAUGCACGAUGCUCGAGUUCCACAGGUAGGUGGCAAGCUUUUCCAUACACUAGCCUGUAGGGUGACAUCCCAAUCGGGGUCUUGAAAGCCGUUCUAUAUGCCCAUAAUGCACCAUCAAGUCUUAAUGACCAAUCUUUCCUGUCUGGCCUCACUGUCUUUUCUAAUAUGUGCUUUAUUUCUCGAUUGGAAAUCUCAACUUGGGCACUGGUUUGCGGAUGAUACGGGGUCGCCACUUUGUGUGUGAUUGAAUACUUUGUCAAAAGAGCCUUGAAUGGUUUGUUACAAAAGUGGGCACCACCAUCACUGAUUAUUGCUCGAGGGAAUCCAAAGCGCGAAACAAUGUUGCUUUUCAAAAAUCCUAUCACCACCUUGUGAUCAUUGGUCCUACAUGAAAUUGCUUCUACCCAUUUCGAUAUGUAGUCAACAGCAACCAAUAUGUAUUGAUGGCCAAAAGAAUGGGGAAAGGGUCCCAUGAAGUCGAUACCCCAUACAUCAAAAAUCUCAACCACUAAAAUUGGAUUUAGUGGCAUCAUGUUCCUUCGUGUAAUGCUCCCCAUUCGUUGACACCUAUCACAUGAAGAACAAAAAGUGUAAGCAUCUUGAAAUAUAGUUGGCCAAUAAAAACCACAUUGUAAAACUUUAGUUGCUGUUUUCUUAGCACUGAAAUGGCCUCCACAAGCUUGUUCAUGGCAGAAUGAAAGAAUAUUCUGAAUUUCAUUUUCUGGGACAUAUCGUCUAACAAUUUGGUCUGCACAAUACUUGAACAAAUACGGGUCAUCCCAAAAGAAAUUCUUUAUCUCUGCAAAUAAUUUAGCCUUAUCUUGCUUGGUCCAAUGCUCUGGAAGUUUACCUGUAACAAGAUAAUUAACUAUAUCACCAUACCAAGGCAAUACUUCCGCACUCAUUAAUUGUUCAUCUGGAAAUGACUCAUUCAAUAUUAAUGGCUCUGUAAUUGUGUCAAAAUGGAGACGAGAGAGGUGGUCCGCCACAACAUUUUCUGUCCCUUUCUUAUCUUUGAAUUCCAAGUCAAAUUCCUGCAAAAGUAACACCCAAUGAAUUAGUCUGGCUUUUGCAUAUUUCUUUAUGAGAAGAUAUUUAAGAGCAGCAUGAUCCGUGAAUAUAAUUAUUUUACAACCAAUGAGAUAGGAUCGAAAUUUUUCCAAUGCAAACACUACUGCUAGCAUUUCUUUUUCAGUAGUUGAAUAAUUCAACUGGGCAUCAUUUAAUGUCAUACUAGCAUAGUAAAUAACGUGGGGAAUUCGAUCAACUCUUUGUCCUAAUACUGCUCCUACUGCAUAAUCAGAUGCAUCACACAUGAGCUCAAAUGGUAAGUUCCAGUUCGGGGACUGAAUGAUGGGUGAUGAUGUCAAUAAAUGCUUUAAUUUUUCAAACGCAACAAGACAUGAAUCAUCAAAGACAAAAGGUACAUCCUUAGCAAGUAGAUUGCAUAAGGGUCUAGAAACUUUGCUAAAAUCUUUAAUGAAACGUCUAUAGAAACCAGCAUGCCCAAGGAAAGAUCUUACUUCUCUGACUAUUUUGGGUGGAGGAAGAUUAGAAAUGAGAUCCACUUUAGCUUUGUCAACCUCAAUACCAUUGCUCGAAAUAAUGUGACCAAGAACAAUACCUUGUUUUACCAUAAAAUGGCACUUCUCCCAAUUUAAGAUCAAGUUCUUCUCAAUACAUCUCUGCAGAACUAGUGUUAGAUGAUGUAAACAUUGAUCAAACGAAUCACCAAAGACAGAAAAGUCAUCCAUAAAGACUUCAAGGAAUCGUUCAACCAUAUCAGAAAAAAUGCUCAACAUGCAUCGUUGAAAUGUAGCAGGUGCAUUACAUAAUCCAAAUGGCAUUCUCCUAUAUGCAAAAGUGCCAAAAGGGCAAGUGAAAGUGGUUUUCUCCUGAUCUUUUGGUGCUAUGGGGAUCUGAUUAUAUCCUGAGUAGCCAUCUAAAAAGCAAUAAAAUUCAUGACCUGCUAAUCUAUCAAGCAUUUGAUCAAUAAAUGGUAAAGGAAAAUGGUCUUUACGUGUGACAGAAUUCAACUUUCUAUAAUCAAUGCAUACACGCCAUUCUGUAGUUACUCUAGUUGGUAUCAAUUCAUUAUCAGCAUUCAUAACUACUGUGACUCCUGACUUUUUAGGGACAACUUGUACAGGACUGACCCAUGAACUAUCAGAAAUUGGGUAAAUGAUACCUGCGUCUAAUAGCUUAAGGACUUCAGUUCUAACAACUUCUUUCAUAUUAGGAUUUAACCGACGUUGCAUUUCCCUAGUAGAUUUAGCAUUUUCAUCGAGGUGAAUGUAAUGCAUGCAGUCUACUGGGUUUAUACCUUUCAUGUCUGCUAUAGUCCAUCCUAAUGCUCCUUUGUGCUCUUUUAAAACAUCCAACAACUUACCUUUUUGUUCGUCAUUGAGGGAUGAUGAGAUGAUUACCGGCAGAGUGCUUUCUUCUCCCAAAAAUGCAUAUUCCAGAGUGUUGGGUAAUGGUUUGAGCUCGAGUUUCGGUGGUGAUUCUGAUGAUGGGAUGAGUUUCUUCUCUGAUGGUGCUAGUUGUUCAACUCUUGACUUCCAUUUAUUAGUGUCCAUGGAUGGUGCUAAGUCAAGUAGGGCAUUGACCUCAUCGACCGAUCUGUUAAUAUUAAAAUCAAAACCAAAGUGAGUUAAACAUGUUUGUAAAGGAUCAUCACUAAGGUUUGAAAGAAAAGUGUUAUCAACUAUUGUUUCAAUUAAAUCCACAUCAAUAAUUCCAUCAUCUGCAUUGUGAGGUUGUUUGGCAAUGUUGAAGAUGUUCAGUUCCAUAGUCAUAUUGCCGAAGGACAACUGCAUAUUUCCAGUUCUGCAUUGAAUGUGAGCAUCCGCAGUUGCCAAGAAAGGUCGGCCUAGGAUAAUGGGGAUGUGCUUCCUUGAAUCCUGUAUUGGUUGAGUGUCAAUUACAAUGAAAUCAACAGGAAAAUAGAACUUGUCUACCUGGAUAAGCACGUCCUCCACAAUACCACGAGGUAUUUUUGUGGACCAAUCUGCAAGUUGUAACACCAAUGGAGUUGGGUGUAAUUCUCUCAAUCCAAGUUUCACGAAUACUGAAUAAGGCAACAGAUUUACACUAGCUCCUAAAUCCAACAAAGCAUUCUCAAUUGUGUGGUUCCCUAUACUGCAUGAGAUAGUGGGGGAGCCUGGGUUUUUGCAUUUUAAAGGAAUUUUAUGUUGGAGUAUAGAACUAACGUUUUCUGUUAAAAAUGCCUUCUUUUGAACAUGUAUAUUUCUCUUUUUAGUACAAAGGUCUUUAAGAAACUUGGCAUAAGAUGGAACUUGUUUAAUAGCAUCAAGCAAAAGGAUGUUAACACUUACCUGUUUGAAGAUUUCAAGAAUCUCACCUGUGGAUUUUCCCUUUUUUCCUUUAGCUAAUCUCUGAGGAAAUGGAGCUUUGGGAACAUAUUCCCGUGGGUUGGUUUUUUCUUUCUCCUCCGGUGAUGAGUCCUCAAGACUCACAUGUACAAUUUGAUUUUCUUUUGUCACCGACAUCUCCACUUUGUUGUCGACUUCUUUUCCUUUUCUCAAGGUCAUAACUGCUUUGACUUCUCCAUGCUGUUGUAGUGAACUGGUACUUGCUUCAUGCACUCCUUUAGGAUUAGGCACUGGUUGACUUAGAAAUUUACCUUUCCCAACAGUCAUUGCCAAGGUCUGAACUGAAGAAGCCAGUUGUCCCACCAUCUUCUCGAGGCUUGAAACUGAUUGGGCUUAUGAGUUGAAGCCCGCUCUCAAUUCAUUUCGUAGUCCAUCAAUGGUGCGGUUCUGUUGCUCAAUCGUGGAGUGAAUAACAUUCUUGAAAUUCUGGAAUGCAUCCUCCCAUGGUCUGGGUUGAGAGUAGUUCUGGUUUUGAUUGUAUGGACUAAAUGGGGGCUGAGAGGCUUAAGGAUUUUGUGGAAUUUGUUGCAUUGGUGUAGCUGGAGCUGCUGGUCCAUUCUGUUGGAAUCCUUGAGACCAUGAAAAAUUAGGGUGGUCUCUCCAUCCAGGGUUAUAUGUGUUGGAGUAUGGGUUGUAAUUUGAUGGCUUUCUCAUUACACCUAUGGCAUUGGCUUGAUCUGAGUAUAAGUCAUGGUCAUGUGGCUCUGUUGAUUUAGCAGUCGAUAACGAUGCUAUUUGUCGAGCAAGACCUUCAACCAUCUCCUUGACUUCUUUGAUUCCCGAAGUUGACUCGCCAAUUUGAACCUCAUUCACUCCUUUAAUUCUUCUAGUAUUCCGGAGUGAUCGACUCCGUUGUUGGGAAUUAUCCGCUUGUCGUUGAAAGAAUUCCCAAAUCUCUGAUGCACUUUUUGACAUUAGCUCUCCUCCACUUGUUGCCAUUAGCCAUUCCUGCACAUUCGGCAAUAAUCCCUCCAAAAAGUAUUGGCAUUGGUGCCAUUUCUCGUACCUAUGAUGUGGACACUUCAAGAGUAGCCAAUUGAAUCGUUCCCACGUUUCGAAAAACUACUCGUCUUCUCUCUGUGUAAACUCUGAAAUUUCCCUGCGAAUAGCAUUGGUUUUAUGCACUGGGAAAUAUUUAUUCAAAAAUUUUGUAACCAUUUGUUCCCAUGAUGUGAUGCUAUUAGCAGGCAAAGUAUUUAACCAUGAACGAGCUCUAUCCUUUAAAGAAAAUGAGAAUAAUCUGAGUUUAACAUCAUCGUUUGAAAAAUUUUCAUAUUUAAAAGUUUGACAAAUUGCAUGAAAAUCAUUCAGAUGAUUAUAUGGGUCCUCAUUUUCUAGGCCAUAAAAUGUUGGGAGACAAUUUAGCACACUGGGUUUUAAUUCAAAACUUCUAGCAGCUACAUUUGGGUAUCUUAUGCAUGAUGUGCUCAAAUUAGCUAAGGGACUAAAAUAGUCCUUAAAUGGCCUCUCUUGUGGUGCUUGUAAAUCCAUUCCAAUUUUAUUUUUAAUGUGCUUUUGUGUGCGAAGUAUUUUUCAAGUUCAAGGUCUAUAGGUUCAAGAUUGGGUAAUAAUGACCUUCGACCAUGCAUGCAAAACAAAUAAAAUAAAAAAUAAAGAUGGGAACAAAAUAAAUAAAAAUAAAGAAAAAGAAGAAAUUACGAUACUAACCUUAUUGCGCUAUUACAACCUUUCUAUAAAAAUACACAAAAAUAAAUACGUGAAAUAAAUUAACUAAAAAUUAAAUUAAUUAAAUAAAAAAAUUACAAAGAAAAAUAAAUUGAAAAUUAAAUCACAGAAUUUUAAAGAAGAGAAAAAGAAAAGAAAUACUAACCUUUAAAUGUAGAUUCACUUUUUUUUUCUUUUUUUUUAAUAAAAAUAAAAAAAUACAAGAAAACAAAUAAAAGAAAUUAUUCACAAAAAUUAAUUCUAUGAAUUAAAAGUACUUACCUCCCCGGCAACGGCGCCAAAAACUUAUUGUGCAAAUUUUAAUGAACUCGCAAGCACACGAAUCUAUUGUAGUAUAGACUAAUGGUGACGAGUGUCGAUCCCAUGAGGAGGUGGAUUUUAAUUAUAUAUAGAAUUAAUUUUGUAAAUGGGUGGUUGGAAUUGUGGUGGAAGUGAUUUAAAUUAUCCUAAAAUUGGAAUUGAAAUGGCGAUAAUAAAUUCUAAAAUUAGACUUGCAAUGGCGAGAAUAAAUUGAAGAGAAAUCUAUUGAAAUGACGUACUUGAGUAUCUGGAUCCGUAUCAACAUGCAUCAUGGGCUAAAUAUUCCUUAUUAAUGCCAAUUAAAUCAUGAGGGGGGAAUCCACACCUCAUGAACCACGCUCUAAUCAAUAUGGUGAUAAGGGCUUAUCGUGCCAAAUAAUAAUAACCUUGUACUAGAGGGCCGGUGAAACCAAGGCGGUACUAGACAAGAUUAGUAUUAUUUGUCGACGAGAAGUCAAAACAUCCACAAAAACUAGAGGGGAAGAGAAAAUAAAUUUACCAAAUUAAGCCCAUGACACAUGUUGAGACUUCACCUUCAACCCAAGCUUGAAAGAAAAUUAGCCACUCAUAAUUGAACUAGGGGCAAAAUGAGAAUUUAUUAAAAUACGAAGAAAAUACAAGAUAAAGAAGGAAUUACAGAAAAUAAAGUCCAAAAAUGGAUUCAGCGAUAUCAAAUUAGGAGGGGGAGGCCCCCUUUUUAUAGAUACAUGGAGUAAAUUAUGGCCAUCGGAUUAAAAACAGUUUGGACGCUCAGGAUUACGCCACGUCAUCAGUCAACAGUCCACGGUUUGACCACGUGGAUGAACAGUAAUACGGUUUGACUCGGAUGAACAGUAACGCGGUUUGACUCGGAUGAACAGUAACGCGGUUUUGUUGAAAAUAAUCCUGUGUGAUGCAUGUACCGUACGCGAGAUUUUUCGUCCACUGAUAUGCUGCCACGUCACCAUCAACAGUACAUAAGAAUUUUAGCCCAACAGGAUCGUGACACCUCAUCAGUCAAUGCCACAUCAUCGGUCAAUGCCACAUCAUCAUCCGUCUAUGUGAACAGUGUCGUGAACAGUAACGUAUAUACAGUACCGUACACGUGAAUAGUACCGUACAUGUGAUCAGUGCCAUUUUUCUUUUUAUGCUUCUCCUAAGGUUUUCGACCGUCCUGAGUUCAAAAGUGAUGUCCGUUUUGCCAUCUGAUUUCUCGUUUAUUGUGAAAUGACUAUGAUGCCCCUAAAAUACAUAAAAUACUUAAUUAAAAUAAAACACAUGUAAUUAAAUCACAAGAAAGUUAAAUACAUAAAAGUAAGGGUUGUUAAUAAGACUUGAAAUGUAAAAUGACAGUUUUCUCCUUUAUAAAUAUACAUUUUCUAACACUCAACACCUAUCCUGUAAAUACAAAAGUAAAUUUAGUAAAUUAAUGAGGAACUGUGUAUGUGUGAAAUUAAAAAUAGUGCUUUUGAUUUGUAAUCAUAUCUUUUAUAGGAUAUAUUCAUUGUCUACAUAUUUUAAUUUAUGUGUAGAAAAUUAGAUAUAUUCAAUGUCUAAUCUGAUUCUACACAAAGACUAAUGCCCCAAGAUUGUGUAGGGGUGUUCAUAAUCCAAUCCGAUCCGCUCAAUCCGUCUGAUCCGUGAAAAUCCGAUCCGUGGAUCCGUGAAUUGGAUAUGGAUUGAAAAUUUAAAAAUCCGCAGUCGAUGGAUUGGAUAUGGAUUUACUUCUAUAAAUCCGUAAAAAUCCGUGAAUCCGCAAAAUAUAUAUAUAUAUAUAUAUAUAUAUACAUUUAUUUAGUUAAAAAAUUAUUAUAAAUUUAAUUAAAGAAUAUUAUAAAUGUGACAUUACAUAGUUACAUAAGCACUAUAAUAUGUCUUAGCUAUUACCCAAUAAUAAUAUUAAAUAAUUAAAUAAUCAAAUAUACAAAUAUAACUUGUAAAAAUUGUAAAACAAAAUAAAAGCAAAGUCACACGCACUAGCAAAAACAAAGUAACAUAACGCCAAGUUACCAACAAUUUGCAAAGUCACCCAAAAGCAAAGUAACAUAACACCAAGUCACCAACAAUUUGCAAAUAAAAAACCUUAAGCUUCCUUGUUGUCACAUGCAAUAGCAACACUCAAUACUGGUUCGAUACACUCUCGACACUGAUUUGAAGGACGUCGGCCGCACGAUUCCAGCAAGAGCAAGCCAUCUUCUUCCCCGAGCCCAUCGAGCCACUUCACAAUCACUGGUUCCAGCCAAACAAUUGCACUAUCACAACCUUCAAGAUCAUCACCCGUACUUCUCCUAGUUCCAAUAGUUGACGGCUCCAUAAUCACCACUUUUCGACAAGUAUAACAGCCCUGGUGAAGGAUCAUACUGUGUUUGGUUUCAGAAACUUCACCAUUUCAAUUAAUUGUGACUUUAUUUGAAUAAUUAAUUUCGGUGUUAUAUUAAUGUAUUAUUGUAACUUUAUUUGAACAAUUAAUCUCGAUGUACUAUAUUUUGAAACUUUGAAUGUAUUAUUUUAGUUUUAUUUAAAUAAUUAAUUUGUUUAAAAUUUAUUCAAUUUUAAAUUUAAUUGGUAAUAAAAUUAUUUUUAUAUUAGAUUUUUUUUUUAAUUUCAUUAGUUCAUGGAUUGGGGAGAACUAAAAAUUUUUAAUUCGGAAGCUAAUGCGUAAAAUGGUGGAUUGGAUAUGGAUUAAGUUAAAUCCGCAUCCGAUCCGCAUACGUAUGGAUUGGAUAUGGAUUGAGUCAAAUCCGCAUCCGAUCUGCAGACGUAUGAAUUGGAUUUGGAUUGAGUUUAAUCAAUCUGUGGAUUGGAUUGGAUUGAAAAAUUAUAAUCCGCAAAAUUGUGGAUCGGAUAUGGAUUGAUGUCCAAUCCGUAAAAUCUGAUCCGCGAACAUCCCUAAGAUUGUGAUUGAAAUGCUAUAAGCAACUUAUUUUAUAAGUUUAGAUAAAAAUGAAGUUUGAUGGCUUUGUUAAAAGUUGCUUCUUUUAUAAUUUUCUCUAUUUUGACUGUAACUUUUAAAAACAGAACAAACAUUAUUUUUAUAAGCAACUUAUUAAACAAGUUGCUAUAUCUUUUUAAAUAUUCAUAUUAUAACCUUAAUAUUUUAAGAAAAGAAUAAUUAUAUCUUACUUUUCUAUAAGCUCUAAUAUAUAAAUAAAAGACAAUUUAAACUCAUGUUUAUUUUAGUCAUUAAAUAAUACAGCACAUUCAUAGUCAAAUUUACUAAACAUGAGCAAGAUACUUUUUUAAUCAUCAACUUAUUUCGUUCUCACAAUAGAAAUAACUUAUUUUAUCAUCCACUGCCAUCCUAAACUUGAUGUUAAGUCACGUUUGGGAUUGCAUUAGAUUGUCAAAUAAUCUAGAGAAAUAGCUAUUAAGGACGAAGAAUAGGAAGAGGUUCGCCAUAAGCAAUAUACUCGCAAGCUUGGCUACUAAUAAACAGAGCAUACAAGCUUAAACACCUAAUAUAUAUAUAUAUAUAUAUAUAUAGUAGUUUUUUGGCACAGGAUCUUAAAGUGCGGGAAACAUUAGGAAAAACUUUAAAACCGCGGGGUUUUAAAGGCUUAAUACUUAAAGCACUUAAACUGCACGGUUUAUGCGUUUUCCCAGACGUUCCCACACUUUAAAAUUCUAAAUUAGAAUAUUUUUAUGUGUGUGUGUGUGUGUGUGUGGAGGGCAAAUCUUUAACUACCUCCGGCUUAAAGGACCUAUACAGUAACUCUUAAAUCAAAGAGAGAAAAUAGUUAAUUCAAUCUGAUUGAAUAUGAAUUGAUAUUCACCAUAUGAUAAUUACAUAAAGAUUGAGCCUUAAGUGUUUUACAUUAAGUAAUACUGCACUGCACACUUGUUCUACACAUUUAGACAACCCAGAUUAAGAAUAAUGAAAAUGAACUCUUAAACUAGCUAGGUGCUCUAUUAUUUAUCUUUGCUCCAUAAAUAUUAGAAAGAUAGAGGAGAGGAAGAAAAAGAAAAGACUAAUUUUGCAGUCCCAAUUUAAUCUUAUGCUCUGAUUUUGAAGCAAAUCUGCAGAGUAUUUAAGGAUCCAAUCAUGAACCAUGUCCACUUCAAUCUUUCGCUGCAUUACUAACCCCUCUGGAUCAUCUUCUGUUGCUGGCUGUAUGUCUAAGCAAUGGGAACCUGCUCUAAUUUACACAUUAUUAAUUAUGUUAUCCAAUAAUUUAGUUAAUAAUUGAACACUAAUUUUUUAUUUUAUAGAAAAAUUUACAUACUGUUUCUUAUUGUCACUGCUAUUAUAUUGUCUGAUAUCUUCCAAAACCCUAUAAUCUCCCCCCCACCAAAAAAAAAGAAGAAAAAGAAUAAGGCAUAUAAUUAAACGGGUAACUUCGAUAGAAAAGAGUGUACAAAAUUUUUAAGCUUAAUUAAUUACCCAGCGCUGCUAUAGGGAUCACGAAAGCCAUUAGAGAAAAUAAGGCUGCUACCAAAUCUCUUUACAACCACUCUUAUACCCUGCAAAUUAAAAAGAAAUAAAAAUCGAACAAAAAUUGAGAUAAAAUUUAUAAUUAAAAAAGAAAAUGAAAAAAAUUAAAUUAUUAAAAGAAUUAAUUUGGGGAUUAAUUGACACUUACAUGACUACCGUAAUAAGUUGUAAUCCAAUGUGGUAUUGGAGCCACUCCAUAAGACUUAUUGCAUGAAUUCAUAUAUUCUAUCGUCUGCUUGAAAAUUGUAUUAUUUUUUUCAAUUCCAAUUGAUGAGACCAUUUCACUGCAUGUCUGCAUGAGAAAUCCCCCCCUCCCAAAACAAAAAAAAAAAUCAUAAUAAAUAAAUAACUAAAUAAAGGAGAAAACUAUUUUUAAUCAUUCAUAAAUAUGUAGUCUCAUAAAUAAAAUUAAAAGAUGUACAUAAAAUAGGUAUUGUUAGCUAGGUGAGAGAUUCAUUCAUCGCAACAUGUUGUUUGUUUGACGAUCUCAAUAGAAGUAUCUAAUGAAAUCAUGUCACCCGUAAUCACAUACCUGCCAGCCUCAGCUCGAGUCUAGUGUUUCAUCGGAUAAGAAUUCAUCAACAUCAUGGCAAGAAUUCUCCCAUCUUAAAGCAACAAUUCCUGAGAAUAUCCGGCCUAGGGUAUCCGUGCCUUCUGAAGCUCCAUGGAUACCUUCACAAGCUUUGCUCACUGGAUAUUCCUGAGGAUCAUCAUACUGAGCUGCACCCGUAUACAUACACUCUAAAUAAUCCUUCAAUUCUGAAACAUCCUUCAGAGGCUUGUAAUCAAAUAAACAACAACAACAUAGAAUUAAGUGCCACAAGGUUAGUAACAUUAUAAAAGAUCUUUCAACAAGCCGUCUAAAACAUGUUGUUAUAUUUAGUUAGAUUACAAUAAACUUUAUAAGUAUGAAGCUAUUGAUAUUAUCAAAUGCAAACGUACAAAUUUGGCCUUAUUUGAUAAUCAGAGUUGUGCGUGGUUUUGUAGUUCAAAUUUAGAUUCUGUAAGAUACGAACCUUUGGAGGCCUGAAUCUAAGCACCAGUAUACUAUAUAUAUAUGGUAAUGCAAAGGCCGUGUAUAAGCCCAAAUCCAGAUUUUUACUUUGUAUAUUACACGUUAAUCGAAAUGUAUAUAUACUCUGAGGAUGACAGAUAAUUAAUUAGACAUAGUAUAUUCGAUAAUGAUGCUACAAUAACAUUGCAUUAAUUGUAAUUAAGGGAAAAUCGGAUGGAUAUAUAUAAGCAGUUAUGUAAAGUAAUAUGAUUACUUUCUUGCAGGUUUUGAACUUUUUAGAGAGAAAAGCAAGUCCAUUUUUUCUAGCAGCGGUUUUAUCCAUUUCAGCCCAGGACUGUUUGAUGGUCAUGUAGCAGCUCUCCCUGGCUUCUUGCAUCAUUAAUUUUCAAAAUUUAAUGGAUUAAUUUUCAAAAUUUAAUGGUUAAAUUUUAACAAGAAAACACAAUCAUACAUAUAUAGAAUUUUAAUUAAUUAAUUUUAUUUCUUACCUUAAAGUCAUUGGUGACAAGAUCAUAAUAUGUGUUUGAGUGUGUGAUAUUAUCAAAAUAGAUAAUUGGGGCGGACGACGCAACUACUCCCAAAGCACUGUAAGAUGGUUAUUUUUUAAAACGUAAUUAUCUUAAAUAUAUUUAUUAUUUCUUAGUUUUACGAUUGCUGAAAGUAUUCAUUAAUUGGAAUGCAAAAUAAAUUUGUAUCAAAAUAAUAUUGGCGUAAUCAAUAUUUUGGUCAAACGAGAUCAAAAUGAAUAAAAUGAUGCAAUAAAUGACACGACAUUAAUCAAAAGAUGUAAGUAACUUAAUAAUAUUAAAAUUUACUUCCUCCAUAAGAUGCUGUCAAAUAAAGUGGCCAUUUAGAUGGUCUAAAGCAGCCAUCUAGAUGAUCAACAACAAUUUUGUUCAAAGAAGACGAAGAAUUUUGCAGCAAGUUUGAAAGAAAAAGAAGCACACGGCUUUAACAUUUGAAAGAAGAAAAAGAAGGUAAAAAAUAAUAUAGAAUUGAUGAAUAGUGCCAAAGCUUUCUCUAUAAAUAGAAACGAAGAGAAUGGGCAAAUGCAUUCCAUUUAGAAAGCAAUUUAGGGAGUUGAGAGAGAGUUCAAGAGCUUGCAUUUAUAAGUUCUUGUUACAGUGAUUGAGAGAGUUUGGGUGUAUUGGGGUUUUUGGGAAGUGAGCUAAAAUACUACAAUACUUGUAACUCUUUUUCACUAGUAAAAUAUUUCCUUCUGUCUUCGCCCGUGGAUGUAGGCUAAAAGCCGAACCACGUAAUUUUUGGUGUCCUCUAUUGUACUUGUUCUUUAUUUUCCUUCUAAUUUCAUUUUAGCUGCGGUCUUACUUCACCCUCCAAUCCUAACAGUGGUAUCAGAGCUAUUGGUUGUAUUUUUUAGAGUCAGGAACUGUUCACGUAAGGGGUACUAUUCACAUAUACGGUACUGUACACAUAUACAAUACUAUUCACGUAUACGGUACUAUUCACGUGAAACGGUGGAAGUGAUCCAAGAAUUUUGUGGUGCAAAGCAGGAAAUAGUGGUGUGAGUAAAGCAACUGUGUGAUUUUGUACAUGUCUAGGAAAGUUCUGUCACAAAGGCGAUAAGAGCUUAAGGAGUCUGGGUUUUAAGUGGGACCAUUGUGACCCCUCCAGUCUUUCCUGGGAACUUUCCUGGUGUGCAUUCUCACACAUACUCACAACUAUUCAAGGUGGUACACUAACUUGUGUGCAAUAUUUAUCAACAAAAUGGUGGCAAAGUAUGAAAUUGAGAAGUUUAACGGAAAUAAUUUUUCGUUGUGGAAAAUAAAGAUGAAAGCUGUAUUGAGGAAAAAUAAUUGUUUGGCAGCAAUUGGAGAAAGGCCCAUGGAGAUAACUGAUGACAAGUGGAACGAGGUAGACGGCAACGCCAUUUCUGAUCUACACUUGGCACUUGCGGAUGGAGUAUUAUCCAGUGUGGCAGAGAAAAAUACGGCGAAGGAAAUAUGGGAUACUCUCACAAAAUUAUACGAGGCCAAGUCACUACACAACAAAAUCUUCUUGAAAAGAAAACUCUAUACUCUUCGAAUGGCGGAAUCUACAAUGGUGACCGACCACAUCAACACAUUGAAGACUCUAUUUUGGGUCAUAAUAUAGAGGAAAAUGAGCGUGUAGAGCUUCUAUUUCAAAGUCUACCAGAUUCGUAUGAUCAACUCAUCAUCAACCUGAUGAACAACAAUCCAGUGGAGAGUCUAGUUUUCGACGAUGUUGCAGCCUCCGUAUUAAAUGAGGAGAGCAGGCGGAAAAAUAAGGAAAACAGACAAGCAAGUUCGCAGCAAGCGGAGGCGCUAUCGGUGACGAGAGGGAGAUCAACAGAACGUGGCCCCAGUAGGAGUCAAAAUUAUGGUAUAUCAAAAUCCAGAAGUAAGAAGAAUGUUAAAUGCUACAACUGUGGCAGGAAAGGGCACGUCAAGAAAGAGUGUUGGAGUAACCAGAAGAGAAGAGAUGGUAAAAAACAUGAGUCAUCAAAUGCUCAGGGGUGUGUAGCAAGUACCUCGGAUGAUGGCGAAAUACUCUACAGCGAGGCAAUAACUGUUUCAGAAGGCAGAAAACGACUAUCUGAUGUCUGGCUUAUAGACUCAGGAGCUACCUGGCACAUGACCUCUCGGAGAGAAUGGUUCCACACAUAUGAACCUAUCUCAGGAGGAUCUGUAUAUAUGGGUAAUGAUCAUGCCUUGGAGAUCGUUGGUAUUGGUACUAUCAAAAUUAAAAUGUUUGAUGGUACAAUUCGCACAAUUGGAGAGGUACGACAUGUCAAUGGCCUGAAGAAAAAUCUAUUGUCUUUGGGACAAAUGGAUAGUCAUGGGUACAAGACUCAUGUGGAGAAUGGAAUUAUGAAGAUCGUUAAAGGCGCGCUUGUAUUGAUGAAGGCAGAAAAGAUCGGUGCUAAUCUAUUCAUGCUUAAAGGAGAAACACUAUAGGAGGCUGAUGCGUGUGUCGCGUCAAAUGGAGAAGAGUCAACGAUGAUGUGGCAUCUCAAACUUGGUCACAUGUCAGAACAAGGUUUGAAGAUUCUCUCUGAGCGAAAAUUACUUCUGGGGCUCAAAUCGGUAAGUUUACCAUUUUGCGAGCAUUGUGUUACAAGUAAGCAGCAUAUAUUAAAAUUCAGUAGAUCUAUUGCUAGAAGUAAAUGCAUUCUAGACUUGAUUCAUUCUGAUGUUUGGGAAUCACCGGAUAUAUCCAUGGGAGGUGCAAAGUACAUGGUGACUUUCAUUGAUGAUUAUUCCAGAAGAUGUUGGGUGUAUCCAAUUAAGAAAAAGUCAGAUGUAUUUCUAGUGUUUAAAGAAUACAAAGCGCGGGUGGUGACACAACUUAAAAGUAAAUUUUAACUCCCAAGUAUAAGAGUGUCUUGUUGUAUUAUAACUCGGUGAGUCCGAGGUCGAUCCACAGAGAAAAGAUUUAAUUAGUUUAUUUUAUUUUAUCUAAAAAUUGAAAUUAAAACUUGAAUAUAAACAACUUAAUUUAAAUGAAACUAUGGAAUUGAACUAGUUAGGGUUAUGGAUCCACUCUUAGAAAUAAAUAAAACUUAAUAAAUUCUUUUUGCCAAUUUAUUUUAGAUUUAUUACCCAAAAGAUUAAUUAUACAAAUUAUUAUUAUUUUCCCUUUAAUUUUAUGAUGGAUUAAGUAUUUAUUGUGCCAAAAUUUAAUUUGUCUACAAUAAGGCAAAAUACCAUUUCACCAUGCCUUAUAUUAAGAUCUUAAGAAUUUAUUGUGCCAAAUUCAUUUGUUUGUCUACAAUAAAUCAAAAUUUCAAAAUAUAAAACAUGUAUAAAAUUAAAUAGAAAAUAAUUUAAUUUAUAAAAUUAAACAUAGAAUUUGAUUAAAUCAUAUUUAUUUCUUAAGAGUUUCACCUUCCCCUAACUAAUAUUAUUUAGUUAAGCAUAAUUAAAAUAAAAAGUAGUAAAAUUGAAUUACUUGUAAUUAAAAGAAAUAAAAACAACUAAAAUUGGAAAUAAAACUAAUUUUAUUAAUGAAAAUAAUUAUACAAAAUAUUAAAAACACACCUGGAAAUCAAGAUUACAAGGAGAUGGAGAGAAUUUGAGAAGAAGAGAGUUGUAGAGAGAUGAUUAAAACAUAAAAAUGAGGCCUUAUUUAUAGAAAAAUAAAUUCAUAAUCCAGUGCUUUGUGGUCCAUCAUAGGCUUCAUGCAUGUGCUCCUCACAACCCUUAGAUCAAGAUCCAAUGGCUGGUCAAACUUCAAAAGUCAACAUCACACAUGGCAUCAUUUGACUCGUCCGAUUUGCCCAAAGAACGGUUGAGAUUUGGCGGGUUAAUGGGUGGAUCGGGUCGACCCGAAUACAAAGAUUCGGAUCCUCCAACUUGCUUCACCAACCAUUGCCACGUGGCACAAUCAUGGCCAUUGAAUGAUGAACGGUUGAGAUUUAGUCAAGAUUGCCAGUUAUCCCAUGCACUCAUAUCUAUUGUAAGCUCAUUUCAUCAUCCAAUCAGUGCUCGGUCAACAGGAAAAGUCAACUUUUUUUACACAAGCCCAAUUUUAAGCCGAUCUUGACUGAUCUUAAGGUUUUCGGACCUCCGGAAUCCAAAUUUGACCUCCGUUUAUUUGUUUGGAGCCUCGAAGUACGUGAAAUUAAUAAUUUUCCUAAUAAACACAUAAAAAUACACAAAAUUAAAUAUAUUUAAAACAUAAUUAAUAAUUCAUAAUAUAUUACAUAAACACAAAUAUAAAUUAUAACAUAAGCAUAAAAUAACAUAUUAUCGCUUGAUAACUAAACAAUUUUUAAUACUAAUCACACCCCCCAACCAGCUUAUUGCUAGCCCUCUAGCAAUUAAAGCGUUAUAUUAAGAUUUAUAAAAUUCACAUGCAAGUUAAUAGUUGUUCAUCUAUCCUCUAAAUUACCAAAUAAAUGAACUCUCCCAAAUUCCUUUACCACAUUGAUGUUCACUCAUUAUCCAGAAUAUCAUCAAACCUUCUUUUGUGCUCAAGUAAUUAACACAAUACUUAUGGGGCUUCAUUAAAAGAAAAACAACAUUUUCGUUCUAAAAUUCAUUAGAAAUUAUAUCUUUAGGCAAUAGAUUAUUCACACAUUUUUUUUUUAUAUUACAUUUCUAACCCGUUUAGCAAGCUUUAGGUCAGUGACUCCCAGACCAGUUGGCCUUAGGGCACUAGGUGUUGAAGCACCCCUACGGACUUAAUUACUCGGGUUUCUAAUAAACAAACAAUAUAUCUAUUACCCAUGUAGCGAGCUUUAGGCCAGUGACUCCCAGACCAGUUGACCUUAGGGCACUAGGUGUUGAAGCACCCCUACGGACUUAAUUACUCGGGUUUCUAGAUAUAACAAAAUUAAAAACAUUUUUUCUUCUUCUUUUUUUUUGAUUUUUUUUUUUUGGUUUUUUUGUUUUUUUGUUUUUGGAAAUAUACACUUUCUACUACCUUAGAUACUAUUCCUAAUAAAUCAAAAGAACUAAAUGCUGUAAAACUUUAACUUACAACCCACUAGUAUGUGUCAUAGUGUGUGUGUGAAGAAUGAUUCAAUAAUACCUGUUAAAUGAGUAAACAAUUAAAUAACUUAAUAACCAAGUGGAGAGUUCACAAAUUUGAGUAAUUCAAAGAAAAGGGAACAAAAACAACUUACUAUGAAUCUCAAAAUCAAAAUAUAAUACAACAAGACUAUUAGGAUGCGUCUCAAAAGUCGUGACUCUUUACACGGCCAUCCUAGACAAAAAACAAAUUUUUUUUUUUUUGGUUUUUUUUUUAACAAAGAAAAGAAAAGAGAAAAGAGAAAAACAACACACAUAUUUAAAAUAUACGUCAAUUAUCCCCACCCCACAACCUAAUCUAAACAUUAUCUUAACAUUUUAUAAUUUUACAGAUAUGCAAAAAAAUAAAAAUAAAAGAGAAUAAUAAAAGAAGAAGAAGAAGAGAUCUCACCUGAACUUGAUGCAGAAGCUUAAAAGCAAAUAACAAAGAUGAAGAAAGAGUCAAUUUUUUUUUUUAACAACACCCUUAAGAUUAAGAAGAUGCGUUUCUAGAGAGACUACAUUCUCUAUAUCCUGCCAUCUUCGACUCAAAUUUGUCCUAAGUUAGUCUUUACAGAAAAAAAAAUUUUUUUUUUUUUUGUUUUUUGUUUUUUUUUUUUUUUGUAAACACAUAACCAGGACUAAGACAUUCCACAAUUAUCAACUAUUCCCUCCCCCCAACCUGAAAAAGACAUUGUCCUCAAUGUUUUAAAAGGAAAGAGAAAGAGUGUAGAAGACAUCACAUGAACACUACAACAGAAAAUAUUUACAAACGGAGAGUUAAAUCUAAAUCGCACUUCUUAUUAUUGCUACUGUUACCGUUACCGUCAUUAGUCGACCAAUUCAGUGCAACAGUCUGUGGAUCUGGCUCUGGUGUAUAAGCUUGCAAAAGAUCAAGUAACUCAUUAGCAGUAGAAGCAGAGAUAAAUAGUUUUUUUACAGAAUGUGGAACAAAAUGAUUCUUUAUUGCAUGAUUAAUAAAAGUUAGCAAGCCGUCAUAAAAAUCAUUAACAUUUAACAAACCGAUGGGUUUUUGAUGAAUGUUCAAGUGGGCCCAAGAUGCAAAUGUAAUUAGUGCCUCAAAAGUUGCAAGAUCUCCUGGCAAGAAAAUAAAAGCAUCAGCAUGAUUCAUCAUUUCAGAUAUUCUCUCUUGCAUACUUGAUACCACUAAUUCUUCUCCAAUUGGUGGGCCAGACAUGCACACUAGCGGUUUCAUGGGUUUUGGGAUAAUGCCGAGUACUUGGCUUCCUCUGGUAAAAACAGCUUCUGAGACAAGUCUUGAUAACCCUCGUUCACCUCCUCCAUAUACAAGAUGCAGUUUCCUCUCUGCUAUGACACGACCAAGAUCUACAGCUGCCUGAACGAACUCUUUGUACUUUCCAUAGUGAAACCCAGAAAGCACACAAAUGUUUUUGAAUUGUUUACUCGAAGAUGAUGCCAUUGGACUAAUUUUUCAAAAACAAGUUGUGAGUGUUUGAAAAAUGAGCUCAUAUUUAAAGAUCUUGGUAACAUAAAUAAUGAGAAACAGCUGUAAAUGGGUUGGCAAUAUUUGUCAAAUGACGAGUAAAACUCGUGGCUCAAUAAUUCAAAAACAAACAGUAAAAAGAAAGUAAUGAUUAGAAAAAGCAAACAGUAAAAGAAAACCAAAUAUUUAUUAAAUACAAAAUCACAUCGCUAAAUGCAAUAAUGCAAAUGAUAAAAUAACAGUAAAGUAAAAUAACAGUGAAGUGAAAGGAUAUUUACUGGUAGUUGUGAUUGUGGCUCACAUCUUCCUCUGGUUUUACGUCCAGUAACGGCUUGAACGCCCUCUAUGGGUCGAGGAUCGGCUUCCCAUCCAGUUUUCUUAUAAACUGGCAAACAGGGUCUUUUUGAGUCAGAUUCCCAAGACUUAACUGUGCACUUUGUUUUUGGAAUAGUAUCCACAAAUUGUAAAUCUCACGUUGCACAAUUCCGCUUCGAUGCGUCUCAAGAGAUCGUAAGAUAUCAUCCAACGAUUCUUUACUCAUGCCAUCUUUAACGAAUUUAAUUUUAUCUUCACGAGUAUCAGAAACCAUUCCUAAAGAUUUACAAUCUGGUCGUUUGCAACCAAGUCUCACACAGUUAUGACAUUUUGAGCCAAGUCGUUUAGCUCUCCUUUUCUUAGCAAACGUACUUUUACCAAAACCAGGCAUGUAAGAAACAAAUUGACCAGAAAACUCACCUGCUAAUCGGACCUUUGCUUCAAUUAACCAACGAAUGUCAGAAGGAAUGCCAUUGAUCAUUAACAAACGCAGUCGUUCACAACGAGCUUUGUAAAUUUUCCUGAGGGCAUUCUGAGGGAGAGAGGGAAAAUGCUUAUGGAGUUUAUGUUGUAUUUCUUCCAUGUAUGAUUUUGGGGUUUCAGUUAUUGUGGGAAACUGAAGAUACCGACUUAAGAAGUCACGGAGUACCGUUAUCCGCCAUUUAUACGGGAAAAUAGAUCAAAACACACCAAAAUCAAAUCUGCAAAAUCAAAUCAAGCGUGAAAGCGAGUAAAAAGAAGCACACAAUAUAAAAGGAAAAUGAACUUACAUUCGUCCUCUCAUUGAGUUAACCUCAAGCUCCAUUUGAAAUUCAUAUAUGCCACUCUCUACUGUUCUGAGUUGUCCCUCUAGAUCCUCAACAUAGGACACGAAUUCUGGUGGUUGCAGAUCCCAAAGUGGAUGUGAUUUACAGCUUUGUAUCAGGCCUCUUAAGUGAAAUUUUAUACGCCGAAAUCUUUUAAGAUGUGCGAACAGGUAUUUUCUCAUUGAGGUGCUCAUGAUGUAAAAUGAAAAUUGAUGAGAGAAUGUACAACUGUCAAACAAACACGCUUACACAAGAAAAACAAUGUUAAAAAAAAAACUAUGUACAGUGCAUCAAUCUAAGGAAAAAAAAAAGUCAAACAAUGAAACGGUAAAAUAAUAGUAAAACAAAAAAAAAUCAUUAAAAACUUAAUCAAGAAUUGGUGGGUCAUCCAAAUUAAUUUCGGUGUCCUCGUCACGUGGGUGAUGUUCCAGAUAUGGUUUUAAUCUUUGACCAUUAACUUUAAAUGUGACACCAUUAUUUGGAUUCUCAAUUUCUAUGGCCCCAUAUGAAUAUACAUUUUUUACAACAAAUGGGCCACUCCAUUUUGACUUUAACUUUCCUGGAAAUAAAUGAAGACGAGAAUUAUAAAGCAACACUUUUUGACCAAUCUCAAAUGUUUUUCGAAAAAUUCUUUUAUCAUGAAAUGCUUUUGUUCUUGCCUUAAUAAUUCUUGAAUUUUCAUAUGCAUCAUUCCUUAAUUCCUCAAGUUCAUUCAAUUGCAAUUUUCGCACAUUACCAACAUCAACCAAAUUUGAAUUAAAAGCUUUAAUAGCCCAAAGUGAUUUAUGUUCAAGUUCAACAGGUAAAUGACAAGGUUUACCAUAAAUUAACCGAUAGGGUGACAUUCCUAAUGAUGUUUUAAAUGCAGUGCGGUAAGCCCAAAGUGCAUCAUUAAGUCUAAGAGACCAAUCUUUUCGGUUUGGGUUAACCGUUUUUUCCAAAAUUUGUUUUAUCUCCCUAUUUGCUAAUUCAACUUGACCAUUUGUUUGAGGAUGAUAAGGGGUAGCAAUUUUAUGUGUAAUUCCAUAUUUCUUCAUUAAAGACUCAAAUGACUUAUUACAAAAAUGCUUACCUCCAUCACUGAUAAUGGCUCGAGGGAUUCCAAAUCGACUUAAAAUGUUUUCUCUUAAAAAUUUAAUCACAGUUUUACUGUCAUUAUUUCGACAAGAAAUUACUUCAAUCCAUUUUGAGACAUAAUCAACUGCAACUAAUAUAUACACAAAUCCAAAAGAUGAUGGAAAUGGACCCAUGAAAUCAAUUCCCCAACAGUCAAAUAUUUCAAUUUCAAGUAUGGGAUUUAAGGGUAUCAUGUUUCUUUUUGUAAUUGAUCCCAAUUUUUGACAUUUUUCACAACUUUUGCAAAAUUCAUAUGUGUCUUUAAACAUGGUAGGCCAAUAAAAUCCACACUGCAAAAUUUUAGCAGUAGUUUUUCUUGAAGAAAAGUGACCACCACAUGCUUCAGAAUGACAAAAAUUAAUGACACUACUUACCUCAUUAUCAGGAAUACAUCGCCGAAAAAUUUGAUCUGGGCAAUAUUUGAACAAAUAAGGAUCAUCCCAAUAAAAUUUCUUUACUUCAACAAAAAAUUUCUUCUUCUCUUGAGCAUUCCAUUGCAAAGGCAUUUUACCUGUAACAAGAAAAUUAACAAUAUUAGCAUACCAUGGCAUUGAAGUAACAGAAAAUAAAAAUUCAUCAGGGAAAGAAUCAUUUAUGGGUGUUAUAUCAUUGCAGAAUUCGGAUGUGAGUCUUGAUAGAUGAUCAGCAACAACAUUUUCAGCACCCUUUUUAUCUUUGAUGGUAAGGUCAAAUUCUUGUAGUAACAAAAUCCAACGAAUUAAUCUCGGUUUGGCAUCCUGUUUACUCAUCAAAUAUCUCACAGCAGCAUGGUCAGUAAACACAAUAGAUUUAGAGCCAAGCAAAUAUGAACGGAAUUUGUUUAAUGCAAAUACCACAGCAAGUAAUUCUUUUUCAGUUGUAGAAUAAUUCAUUUGAGCACUAUCCAAAGUCUUGCUCGCAUAAUAAAUCACAAAAGGCUUACCAUCCCUUCUUUGUCCUAAAAUAGCACCAACAGCAAAAUCACUUGCAUCACACAUUAAUUCAAAUGGCAAAGACCAAUCAGGAGAUUGCAUAAUAGGUGCAGAUGUUAAAAGACAAAUUAUUUUUUCAAAAGAUUUUUGGCAAUCAUCAUUCCAUUCAAACGGUGCAUCUUUUAAUAAGAGGUUACAAAGUGGUUUAGAUAUGGCACUAAAGUUUUUUAUAAACCUCCUAUAAAAUCCUGCAUGUCCUAAAAAGGAUCGCACAUCUCUAACUGUUUUUGGUUGUGGCAAUUUAGAUAUGACUUCGAUUUUUGCUUUGUCAACUUCAAUUCCUUUAAUAGAAACAACAUGACCCAAAACAAUUCCAGAAGUAACCAUGUAGUGACAUUUUUCCCAAUUCAACACGAGUUCUUUUUCAACACAUCUUUUUAAAACUUUCUCCAAAUUAUCAAGGCAAUCAUCAAAAGAAUUCCCAAACACAGUCAAAUCAUCCAUAAAGACCUCUAAACAAUGUUCAACCAUAUCACAAAAAAUGCUUAACAUACAUCUUUGAAAUGUUGCAGGAGCAUUACAAAGCCCGAAUGGCAUUCUUUUAAAUGCAAAUGUUCCAAAAGGACAUGUGAAUGUGGUCUUUUCUUGGUCCUCAAGUGCUAUAGGAAUUUGAUAAUAACCUGAAUAUCCAUCUAAAAAACAGUAGUAGGGAUGUCCUGCUACUCUUUCUAAGAUUUGGUCAAGGAAUGGUAAUGGAAAAUGAUCUUUUCUAGUGGCUUCAUUUAAUUUUCUAUAAUCAAUGCACAUGCGCCAACUAGAUGUAAUUCGUGUUGGAAUUAAUUCUCCUUUUUCAUUUUUAACAACAGUGAUUCCAGAUUUUUUUGGCACUACUUGUGUAGGACUUACCCACUUACUAUCAGAAAUAGGGUAGAUAAUUCCCACAUCAAGUAAUUUAAGGACUUCUGUUUUGACUACCUCUUUCAUGUGUGGGUUUAAUCUUCUUUGAGGUUGUUGACAUAUUUUAGCAUUUUCUUCCAAAUUAAUUCUAUGUGUGCAGAUUAAGGGAUUAAUGCCUUUAAUGUCAUUUAAAGUCCAUCCUAUUGCAUUUUUAUGCUUUUUAAGAACAGUUAGUAACUUACCUUCUUGGUCGCUUGUUAAAGUAGAAGAAAUCACAACAGGAUAAGUUUGUUCUUCUCCAAGAAAAGCAUAUUUCAAUCCUUCAGGCAAAGGUUUCAAUUCCAUUUUAGGUGCUUCUUGUUGUUCUGUCUUUUCAAUACUUCCAAGCUCCUCAAAUUUUGGCUCGUCAUCAUAAUUUUGCGAAGUCUGCAUAGAAUCAAGCAACGAAUUUAUAUUAGAAAUAUCAAGUUUAAGUUGCUUAUUUGACUCAAUUGAAUUAACUAAACAAACAUUAGAAAGUUCAGAAAAAUCCCCUUUUUGAAUAUUUUCCUCGAUACAAGAUUCAAACAAUUCCUUUUGUUCAUCAAUAUCAUCUUCAUUCUCAUUUUCUUCAUUAGGUUGCCUGCACAUGUUGAAAACAUUCAAUUCCAAAGUCAUAUUCCCAAAGGAUAAAUUCAUUAAACCAUUCCUACAAUUAAUCAAAGCAUUAGCAGUUGCUAAAAAUGGUCGACCUAAAAUUACAGGAAUUGGUUUGUAAUUAUUCACAACAGGUUCAGUUUCCAAGACAAUAAAAUCCACAGGAUAAAUAAAUUUAUCAACUUGUACUAAAACAUCUUCCACUAUUCCUUUUGGUACUUUAACGGAUCUAUCGGCAAGCAAAAGUGUAGUUGAAGUUGAUUUUAACUCACCAAGAUUAAGUUGAAGAUAAACUGAAUAUGGAAGCAAAUUAACACUAGCACCAAGAUCUAGUAAAGCAUGCUCAAUUCUGUGGUUACCAAUAAUACAAGAAAUGGUAGGACAACCAGGAUCUUUAUAUUUCAACUUAUUAUUAGUAGACAGAAUUGUACUUACCUGUUCGGCCAUGAAAGCACUCUUUCUUACCUUCAAUUUCCUCUUAACAGUGCACAAGUCCUUUAAAAAUUUGGCAUAUGAAGGAACCUGCUUGAUUGCAUCUAAUAGAGGAAUGUUAACUUUCACUUGCUUAAAGAUUUCAUAAAUUUCAGAAGAGUGGUUUGAUUUCUUUGGUUUAUUCAAUGCAUGCGGAAAUGGUGGUUCAAGUGGAACACUAGUUAUUUCUUCACUAGGUGUAAGUUCAUUUAGUCAUUCCUUACCCUUUGAAUUUUCAUAAGGUUCAGGCAUAGGUCUAUCAACAACCUUACCACUACGAAGAGUUAUAACUGACUUGACUUGGUCUGUGGGUGAAUUUUGUUGAAUUUUAGGAUUUGGUUGUGGUUGGGCUGGAAAUUUUCCUUUUUCUUGAAUGGUGAGUGCAGAAGCAAUUUUAGCAAGAGUAUCUUUCAAAUAAAAAAAAGUUUGUGCAUUUUGAUUGUUAAUAACAUCUUGCUUUCUGAUGAAUGAAUGCAUUGUGUCCUCCAGAUUUUUCCAAGGUGGUGGAACAUAUGGUGCAUAAGGAUGAGGAUUUUGAAAAUUUUGUGGAGGUGGUGCUUGUGAAGAUUGUGCAUUAUUAUUAUUCCUCCAACUGAAAUUCGGAUGAUUUUUCCAACCAGGAUUAUAAGUCUGUGAAUAUGGGUUUGGUUUAUUGAAAGUGUUAAUGACAUUAGCUUGAUCAUUUAGACAUUCUUUAAGUGCAGGCAAAGUGGGACACUCUUGAGUGAAAUGAUCAUUCGAAUUACAUAUGUUACAUGCAAUUUCUUGAACAGAUUUUACUUGAUCACUCUUUUUAUGCUCCAAAGCUUCAACUUUCCUAACUAGGGAUGCAAAUUUUGCUUGUAAAUCAUGAUCUUCCCUAAGGUUAUGGAUUCCUCCACUAGAUGGAGAUGAUUGUUGCUUAUUUGUCAAUUCAAAAGUUCCAACAGUAUCCCAAUGUUGUGCAUUUUCAGCUAAUUGGUCAAGGUAAUCUAGUGCAUCUUCAGGAUUUUUAUCCCUAAAUUCACCAUUACACAUCAUUUCAACAACCUGUCUACUUUGGGGUAUUAAGCCUUCGUAGAAAUAAGUGACCAAUCGCCAAGUUUCAAAACCAUGAUGUGGGCAUAUGUUAAGCAACUCUUUAAACCUAUCCCAACAUUGGUAUAAUGUUUCUCCAUUUUUUUGAGUGAAAGAAGUGAUUUGCCUUUUAAAAGAAUUUGUUCUAUGAGGUGGAAAGAAUUUUUUCAAAAACUGUUCUUGCAUGUUAUUCCAAGUUCUUACUGAUCCAGAUCUAAGGUUUUGUAGCCAAGUUUUAGCUUUAUCUUUUAAUGAAAAAGGAAAAAGCUUUAAUCUAAUUAUGUUCAUGCUACAAUUUUGGUCCGUGUAUGUAUUACAAACUUCCUCAAAAUCUCUUAGAUGCAAGUACGGAUUCUCAGAUUCUAAACCAUGAAAUGUUGGUAAAAGUUGGAUAAUACCUGGUUUAAAAUUGAAUCGAGAUGCUUCUGGAUGCUCCGGUUCUGGUUGGAUUCAUGUAGUCUCUCAGAGUCCUUGGUUGAUUCUGAUCGUGCCCAUGUUGAGAUUGGUUGUCUCCCUGAUCAAUUUGAGGAUUAAGUUCGCCCAAAACAUUUUCGCCUUCAUUCUCAUCCAUGAUUGGUGGUGGAGAUUGAGAUCUACGAAUUAACCUGCCACUUGAAGAUCGAGACCAACGUCUCAUGCAAGGGUUAUGUUAUAAAGAUAAUAUUUACACAAAUUGAUAAUAAAAUAAAAUAAAAAAUUAAAUAUGCAAAUAAUAUAAGUGUACAAAAGAAAAUUAAAUAACAAUUUUGGUGGUUGAACCCACCAGUUAACAAUAUAAAAUAAAUGCAAAAGAAAGAAAAAGAAAAAAUGGUAGUUAAACCCACCAAUAAAGCAAAAAAAUAAAAUAAAAUAAAAUAAACGCAAAAUAAUAAAAUAAAUAAAUAAAAUGGUGGUUGAACCCACCAAUAAAAAAAAUAAAGCAAAAAAAAAUACAAAAUUAAAUAAAUACUGAAAAUAAAAAUUAGGAGUUAGUAGUUAGUUUGGUGGUUGAACCCACCAAUAAAGCAAAAAUAAAUAAAUACGAAAUUAAAUAAAUGCAGAAAAUUAAAUAACUGAAAUUAAAAAAGUUAGCAGUUAGCAGUUAGUAAGUUAAGAGUCAGUAAUUAGAGUUAGUAGUUAAAGUUAGUUUAGUCCAAAAUAUGUUAGUUUAGUCCAAAAUAUGUCCAAAUAUGUUCAAAAUAUGUCCAAAUAUGUCCAAAAUAUGUCCAAAGUAUGUCCAAGUCUUAAUUAUUUUGAGGAAUUUCGUCUAGGGAUUCUAUUGCAAAUUAUUUUUAAUUUUAUGGUCAAACUGUAAUUUUUAGAAGUUUAGAAUUAGUAAUUUGGGAUGAAAGUGAAACAGUUGAAAGAUAUCGGGGUCCGAACGUAAUUACCAGAAGAUUGGGCUGGAAACGGAAAUUGUUGGGGUGAAACUAGAAUUAUGAAAGAUAUGGGGACAAAAGAGAAUUUAAGAAAAGAAAAAGGGGGUAAACGAAAUUUUACAUAUAAGAGAAAAAUAAAAAACGGAAAAACAAACCAAAUAAAAAAAACUUUUCCCCGGCAACGGCGCCAAAAACUUGACACAUCUUAAAAGUAAUUUUUAACUCUCAAGUAUAAGAGUGUCUUGUUGUAUUAUAACUCGGUGAGUCCGAGGUCGAUCCACAGAGAAAAGAUUUAAUUAGUUUAUUUUAUUUUAUCUAAAAAUUGAAAUUAAAACUUGAAUAUAAACAACUUAAUUUAAAUGAAACUAUGGAAUUGAACUAGUUAAGGUUAUGGAUCCACUCUUAGAAAUAAAUAAAACUUAAUAAAUUCUUUUUGCCAAUUUGUUUUAGAUUUAUUACCCAAAAGAUUAAUUAUACAAAUUAUUAUUAUUUUCCCUUUAAUUUUAUGAUGGAUUAAGUAUUUAUUGUGCCAAAAUUUAAUUUGUCUACAAUAAGGCAAAAUACCAUUUCACCAUGCCUUAUAUUAAGAUCUUAAGAAUUUAUUGUGCCAAAUUCAUUUGUUUGUCUACAAUAAAUCAAAAUUUCAAAAUAUAAAACAUGUAUAAAAUUAAAUAGAAAAUAAUUUAAUUUAUAAAAUUAAACAUAGAAUUUGAUUAAAUCAUAUUUAUUUCUUAAGAGUUUCACCUUCCCCUAACUAAUAUUAUUUAGUUAAGCAUAAUUAAAAUAAAAAGUAGUAAAAUUGAAUUACUUGUAAUUAAAAGAAAUAAAAACAACUAAAAUUGGAAAUAAAACUAAUUUUAUUAAUGAAAAUAAUUAUACAAAAUAUUAAAAACACACCUGGAAAUCAAGAUUACAAGGAGAUGGAGAGAAUUUGAGAAUAAGAGAGUUGUAGAGAGAUGAUUAAAACAUAAAAAUGAGGCCUUAUUUAUAGAAAAAUAAAUUCAUAAUCCAGUGCUUUGUGGUCCAUCAUAGGCUUCAUGCAUGUGCUCCUCACAACCCUUAGAUCAAGAUCCAAUGGCUGGUCAAACUUCAAAAGUCAACAUCACACAUGGCAUCAUUUGACUCGUCCGAUUUGCCCAAAGAACGGUUGAGAUUUGGCGGGUUAAUGGGUGGAUCGGGUCGACCCGAAUACAAAGAUUCGGAUCCUCCAACUUGCUUCACCAACCAUUGCCACGUGGCACAAUCAUGGCCAUUGAAUGAUGAACGGUUGAGAUUUAGUCAAGAUUGCCAGUUAUCCCAUGCACUCAUAUCUAUUGUAAGCUCAUUUCAUCAUCCAAUCAGUGCUCGGUCAACAGGAAAAGUCAAUUUUUUUUACACAAGCCCAAUUUUAAGCCGAUCUUGACUGAUCUUAAGGUUUUCGAACCUCCGGAAUCCAAAUUUGACCUCCGUUUAUUUGUUUGGAGCCUCGAAGUACGUGAAAUUAAUAAUUUUCCUAAUAAACACAUAAAAAUACACAAAAUUAAAUAUAUUUAAAACAUAAUUAAUAAUUCAUAAUAUAUUACAUAAACACAAAUAUAAAUUAUAACAUAAGCAUAAAAUAACAUAUUAUCGCUUGAUAACUAAACAAUUUUUAAUACUAAUCAGGUGGAACUUGAAUCUGGUAAAAAGAUCAAGUGUUUGAGGACAGAUAAUGGUGGAGAGUAUACAAACGGCGAGUUUCUUGCUUUCUGUAAGCAAGAAGGUAUUCAGAGGCAGUUCACAGUGGCAUACACUCCUCAACAAAAUGGAGUGGCAGAGCGGAUGAAUAGAACUCUUACAGAACGGAUAAGAGCUAUGUUAAUGACUGCUGGUCUACCCAAUUCAUUUUGCGCAGAAGCAGCCAAAACUGGCUGUUAUAUAGUAAAUCGAUCGCCAUCUAUAGCUAUUGGGCUGAAGACAGUGAUGGAGAUGUGGACUGGAAAGCCAGCUAAUUAUUCCUACCUACAUGCAUUUGGAUGUCCUGUGUAUGUGAUGUACAAUGCCCAAGAAAGAACAAAGCUGGAUCCAAAAUCUAGAAGAUGUAUCUUCUUGGGGUAUGCUGAUGGAGUAAAAGGGUAUCGUCUGUGGGACCCCACUGCCCACAAGAUCGUCAUCAGAAGAGAUGUUAUCUUUAUAGAAGAUCAACUGCAAAUGAGAGAUGAGGAUGAUGGCACUGCAAAAGAAAAGUCAAAGAUUGUGCCGGUAUAUGUCGAAAAUAAUCUAAAAAAUUUAUAUUCUUCUGAAGCAGUACCAGAGCACGAGGAACAAGAACCAGUCGAGUCCGAGGCUCCAGAAGUUCGUUGGUCAAUGUGGCACUCGGAGUAUGUCACAGAAAUCAAUGUUGUAUACUGUCUUCUAACAGAGGAUGGAGAGCCUUCAACUUUCCAUGAAGCUUUAAACAGCUCAGAUGUUGCUUUGUGGAUGACAGCAAUGUAGGAAGAAAUUGAAGCUCUACACAAGAACAAGACAUGGGAACUUGUACCACUACCACGUUGUAGAAAAGCCAUUGGAAACAAAUGGGUCUACAAGAUCAAACGUGAUGGCAAUGACCAAAUGGAGCGGUAUCGUGCAAAAUUGGUGGUGAAAGGAUAUGCUCAGAAAGAAGGUAUUGAUUUCAACGAGAUAUUUUCGCCGGUGGUUUGACUCACAACAGUCAGAGUAGUCUUGGCGAUGUGUGCUACAUUUGACUUACAUCUUGAGCAGUUAGAUGUGAAAACUGCAUUUCUUCAUGGAAAACUUGAAGAAGAAAUAUAUAUGCUCCAACCAAAAGGUUUUGCAGAAACAGGAAAAGAGAACUUGGUCUGCAGGUUGAAUAAAUCUCUAUACGGUCUCAAACAGGCGUCGAGGUGUUGGUAUAAGAGAUUUGAUUCCUUCAUUAUGAGCCUUGGAUACAACAGACUCAAUUCAGACCAUUGUGCAUAUUACAAGAGGUUUGAAGAUAGUGAUUUCAUCAUUUUGCUGUUGUAUGUGGAUGAUAUGUUGGUAGCAGGUCCCAACAAAGAUCGAGUCCAAGAAUUGAAGGCACAGUUGGCUAGGGAGUUUGAAAUGAAGGACUUGGGACCAGCAAACAAGAUUCUAGGGAUGUAAAUUCACCGAGACAGAAAUAACAGGAAGAUUUGGCUUUCUUAGAAGAAUUACUUGAAGAAAAUCUUACGACGCUUCAACAUGCAAGAUUGUAAGUCAAUUUCUACCCUACUUCCUAUUAAUUUCAAAUUAUCCUCAAGUAUGUGUCCAAGCAAUGAAGCAGAGAGGAAGGAAAUGUCUCGAGUACCGUAUGCAUCAGCAGUGGGAAGUUUGAUGUUCGCUAUGAUAUGUACUAGACCGGACAUUGCACAAGUAGUGGGAGCAGUCAGUCGAUACAUGGCGAAUCCUGGUGGAGAGCAUUGGAUAGCUGUGAAGAGGAUUCUAAGAUACAUUAGAGGAACCUCAGAUGUUGCAUUAUGUUAUGGAGGAUCAGAGUUUACUGUCAGGGGCUAUAUGGAUUCAGAUUUUGCAAGAGACCUUGAUAAAAGGAAAUCCACUACUGGUUAUGUGUUUACACUUGCGGGAGCAGCUGUAAGUUGGGUUUCGAAACUGCAGACCGUUGUGGCUUUAUCUACAACAGAAGCAGAAUACAUGGCAGCUACACAAGCUUGCAAGGAAGCUAUUUGGAUACAAAGAUUAUUGGAGGAGCUAGGGCACAAACAACAGAAAAUUCCUGUGUUUUGUGACAGUCAGAGUGCCUUGUACAUUGCAAGGAAUCCAGCCUUUCAUUCCAGGACAAAGCACAUAGGAGUUCAGUAUCACUUCGUUCGUGAAGUAGUGGAAGAUAGAAGUGUGGAUUUGCAGAAAAUCCAUACCAAAGAGAACCUAGCAGAUGUUUUGACCAAGCCGAUAAAUACUGAUAAGUUUGUCUGGAGUAGAACCUCUUGUGGCUUAGCAGAAACGUAGGCAACAUGAUUAUGGCGAAGCAGAAAGGAUGGUGUGGAGAUUGAUUGAUUCUCAAUCUAAUCUCCAAGUGGGAGAAAUGUCAAAUAAAGUGGCCAUCUAGAUGAUCUAAAGCUGCCAUCUAGAUGGUCAGCAACAAUUUUGUUCAAAGAAGACGAAGAAUUUUGCAGCAAGUUUGAAAGAAAAAGAAGCACACGGCUUUGACAUUUGAAAGAAGAAAAAGAAGGUAAAAAAUAAUAUAGAAUUGAUUAAUAGUGCCAAAGCUUUCUCUAUAAAUAGAAACGAAGAGAAUAAGCAAAUGCAUUCCAUUCAGAAAGCAAUUUAGGGAGUUGAGAGAGAGUUCAAGAGCUUGCAUUUAUAAGCUCUUGUUACAGUGAUUGAGAGAGUUUGGGUGUAUUGGGGUUUUUGGGAAGUGAGCUAAAAUACUACAAUACUUAUAACUCCUUUUCACUAGUAAAAUAUUUCCUUCUGUCUUCGCCCGUGGAUGUAGGCUAAAAGCCGAACCACGUAAUUUCUGGUGUCCUCUAUUGUGCUUGUUCUUUAUUUUCCUUCUAAUUUCAUUUUAGCUGCGGUCUUGCUUCAUCCACCAAAUUUCCUAACAGAUGCUCCAACAACGAUAAUAGGAGACAUUUCGGCUGAUAAAUUUUCCUUAAUGUGUAAGAGAAUCUUUGCAUAAUCUGCCAAAGCUUGACCAGAGUUGAAAUAUCCACGAAGAGUUGCAUUCUUUAGGGCAUCUUUGCGUGAUAUAAAAGGUACUGAUUUUCUAUAGAACCGAUGCUGCAUAAAAAAUCGAAUUAAAGAAAAAAAAUCCAUCACAACUUUUCAGUUCAUAUUGUAGAAUAUUCUGAUUAAGAUUUGUCUUUAUUAUUAUUAUUUUGUAUGGGAACUCUAUUUCAAUUAUUAUCAAGCUAGCCUGAUAACAGAUUCUUUACUUACCUCUAUGUAAACUUGUAAGGCUUUAAAUCAACGAGCAUUAUCAGUAAGCCAUCCAGUGCCACCAAGGUCAUCAUCAAGACUACUCUCUUUACCAAGAUAUGCCAAUAUCGGCGCCGCCGUGGCUCCACCACCACCCCAAUGUUUGAAGUUCAACACAUAUCUAUGAGAAAAAGUUAAAUAACUUUGUGGAUUAUAGUUAAAGUGAUCAAGUAUUUGAUCAUCAUAAUAAGUUUCGAGAUCACCCUUUGGUUCUGAAGUUAAUAUUUUUUUACUAGGGUUUAGAAAAAUAGUCUUUCCACGCACAACACCAAGCUUUGGGAUGUUUUUUAAUGGUGAAGUGGAAGCAAAAGCAAAAUUUGUGAGGAGAAGAAGAAAAAAGGCAUGGAAGCCACCGACCUUCCAUGGCAAAGUUGUAAAUCCUUAAUUAGCAGGAUGAUUAUGUAAAUACAGAAGAAAUAGAAUUAAGAUUCGGUUAUAAAUUCAGCUUCAGAAUCGACGUGUUUUUUAAUCUAUUCUGGAUUUUUUAUUAUCCUAUCAUAUAAUCAUUGGUGGUUUUAGUUUUAUAUUAGUAAUGAUCUUUAGUUUUCAUAAAAUUAUGGUUUUUCUAAUAUAUAUUGUUAUCAGUUUCGUAACUAAAUACGUUGCGGUGAAAAUUAUUAAGUCUUUCCUUAGUAAUUAACUAACUUGACAUACGUAGUUCUAAUGGUUGGACACAUAUUUCUAAUUUAAUUAACUUGUAAUUAAUUAUUUGCUAGUAAUUAACUUGAUUUAGUAUGUGGUAAAUACAUAAUUUUGAUAAAAUCAGUAAAAAAAUAGUAAAUUUUCUAUCAUGUAAGUGUAAAAUUAAAGAUAUAAUUUUUUUUAAUUACAAUAGCUAAUAUUUACUUGAUACUUUAAUACUGUAACUUUUAAACUAAGCUACCCAAACAUGGUUGUAAUUUUCUAUAAUCAUGCUACCAAAGAUGUCAGGAUUCCAAUCAUUGUUUACGAGGCUACUAUAUAUGUUAAUCAUGCUAAUGCUAUAAGCCUUGGAUUGGAAGUAAUGUAAAUCCAACCGUUGGGUAACGUAGCUAGCCUAAUUACACUUUAUUAAGAGAACAAUACAAUUAACAAUAGUCUCACAUGAAAGGGUGGCAAUUCAUUAUCCGAAUUUGUGAAUUAGACACUAACACAUCAUAUCGAGAAGAUUUUUUAUGACUAUUAUGACAACUUGUUCACGUCCAACAAACCAUCCCAAAGCCAAAUGGAGAAUGCACUGAAGAUCUGCCUCGCAAAGUCACUGAAGAGAUGAAUGCCCAGCUAAAUCAGCCCUAUACAGAAGCAGACAUCACAGAAGCUUUGAGCCAAAUGCACCCUACAAAAGCCCCUGGUCCAGAUGGCCUUCCAGCUGCUUUCUUCCAAAAGCAUUGGAAAUCAGUAAGUCAAGGUGUUACUACCACAUGCUUGCAGGUCCUAAAUAACAAAGGUAACCCUACUCCACUAAAUCAUACUUACAUAGCUCUGAUUCCAAAGGCUGAAAAACCUAAGAAAAUGGCGGAUUUUAGACCGAUCAGCCUAUGUAAUGUAAUUUAUCGGAUAAUUACAAAAACCAUUGCCAAUAGGUUGAAGCUGGUUUUGAACGAUGUAAUCUCACCAGCUCAAAGUGCCUUUGUUCCAAAUAGGCUCAUAACCGAUAACAUAAUUAUUGGUUACGAAUACUUACAUAAAAUAAGGCUUAGUAUGGGGAAAAAACAUGGGCUAGUGGCUUUGAAAUUAGACAUAAGCAAAGCAUAUGACAGGGUGGAAUGGGACUUUUUGAAAUGUACCUUAGAAAAAUUGGGAUUCUCGCUUGGCUUUGUUGAAUUGAUAAUGCAAUGCAUAACUACCUCUUCAUUUUCUGUGCUGAUAAAUGGGGUGGCUAAAGGGCUGAUCCAACCUCAAAGAGGAUUAAAGCAAGGAUGCCCAUUGUCCCCAUAUCUUUUUAUUCUCUGUGCAGAGACUUUUACAAAUCUUUUACAGCAAGCAGAAUCUCAGCAACUGAUUCAUGGGAUAAAAUUCAGCAAUGAACUUUCCAUCACUCAUCUUUUGUUCGCUGAUGAUAGUUUGAUUUUUACAAGAGCCACAAGGGAGGAUUGUACAAAUUUAAAGAAGAUUUUUUAGUGUUAUGUUGCAGCCUCUGGGCAGAUUUUCAAUUUCGAGAAGUCGUCUAUGUUUUUCAGUGAGAGUACCAAGCCGUAGCAGAUUUCCUCAAUUACAACCAUCUUCCAAAUUCAGGUGGUAUCCAGGCAUGCAAAAUACUUAGGGCUGCCCUCCAUGGUGGGUAGAAAUAAGACGAGUUUUUUUAAGGAUAUCAAACUCAGAGUUCUUGGAAAGAUUUCGAGCUGGCAAGCAAAUUUGUUCUCUUGUGGGGAGAAGGAGGUGUUGAUAAAUGAUGUAGCUCAAGUGGUGCCUGCAUAUGCCAUGAGUGUGUUUAAGCUCCCCCUAGGACUUUGUGAUGACAUGCAAAAGGCAAUUGCUAGUUUUUGGUGGGGAAGCAGCCGAGAUCACAAGUCAAUCCAUUGGUCGAAAUGGAAUAAUUUGUAUCAAGCAAAGAGUAGAGGUGGGCUGGGAUUUCGAAACUUGUCCAGCUUNNNNNNNNNNNNNNNNNNNNNNNNNNNNNNNNNNNNNNNNNNNNNNNNNNNNNNNNNNNNNNNNNNNNNNNNNNNNNNNNNNNNUUUUAAAAAUUCAAGUCUGAUGCAGGCUCAGUUAGGCUCAUAUCCUUCCUUUAUAUGGAGGAGUAUUUUAUGGGGUCGAAAUGUAUUAGAAAAAGGGUUGCGCUGGAGAAUUGGAAAUGGUGAGCAGCUGCUAGUGUAUCAAAGUCAAUGGAUUCCUCGAUCUAUAACUUUUCAGCCAAUAUCCCCCCCAUCAUUGAGCCCAGAUACAAUUGUUGCAAAGCUGAUAAGUGAGGAGCAAAGCCGGAAAGAAGCUGUAAUUAGGCAACAUUUUCUAAAAGAAGAUGCUGAUCAAAUUUUGAAAAUCCCUUUGCCAAGACAACCAAAACCUGACCAAGUGUUGUGGCACUAUGAUAAGAAGGGUAAUUAUUCAGUUAAAAGCGGUUACCAAGUGGCUAUGAAAAUGAAUUUUCCUGAGAAGCCAAGCUGCUCGAGUGAGAAUGAUAAGUAUUGGCAUGCUAUUUGGUAUUUGCAACUUCCGGAAAAAGUUAAAAUCUUCAUGUGGAGGGCGGCAAAUAACUUGUUGGCAACGGCAGGAAAUCUUUGGAAGAGGACAGUGGUGCAAUUCCCUUGGUGCCAGAGAUGUAAGUUAUCAAAGGAGACUAUUUUUUCACACUCUCUAUGAAUGCAAAGCUUCAAGGAAAAUUUGGAGGCUAACCCCUUUUGGGGAGGAUAUUGAGUUUAGCAAUGGAAGAGAUGUUCUAAGCUUGCUGUAGGAUUUGAAUGGAAAAAGGAGAAAAUCUGAGAUGGAACUGAUUGUUGCUGUGUGCUGGAGCAUCUGGCACUCAAGGAAGCUUUUCCUCUUCAAAAACAAAAAAGAAGAUCCCCAGCUAUCAGUUGCAGCAGCAGAAGCAAUGGUGCAAUCUUAUAGCAGAAUCCAAAUGCCCCAAAUGCAAAGUAACUCCCAGCUGAGUACUGCUAAUCAGAAACAAUGGAAACACCCUCCAGAGGGCUGGUUCAAAGUUAAUGUUGAUGCAGCAGUAGGAGUGGAACAACAAAGAGCUGGCCUGGGAAUUGUUAUAAGGAAUUCAGGAGGAAAGUUUAUAGCUGCAGCAAUGAAGCCCUCAAAGUUUAUUGGCAAGAUUGAUUUUGCAGAAGCUGAAGCUAUCAGGCUCGGGCUGGAGAUAGCAGAAAAUGUUGGAUGCUUUCCACUAAUUGUGGAAUCUGACGCCCAGGAAGUGGUGGACUUAGUCAAUUUCAAGAAAAGCUCAAGAGCUGAAAUAUUCUGGGUUGCUUCUGAAAUGCAAGACCAAGUAAAGAGGCUGAACCAGGUGAAAGUAGAAUAUACCCCAAGAGGGUGCAAUACAUUAGCUCAUUCUCUUGCAAGACUAGCAUUAGAGCUAAAUGAUUUUGUUUUUUGGGUAGAAAAUAUACCCUCAAAUUUUUUGUACCUAUUCACACAGUUGGAUAAAUGAAAGUAAUACUUUCUCUCAAAAAAAAAAAAAAUUAUCAUGUCAAAUCUCUGUAUCCUCUUCACUAAUCAAUUCGUUUUUGCACUUUGACUUCCCCACAGGGAAUUCUUAAUUAAUUAAUUUAUUUUUUUAAAUAAGUGCAAAAUUUAUCCCGCCGAGUAUAAUCAAGGGGUGCACGUCAAGACAAAACAAGCAACAGCUGCGACAUGGUUUCAGAGUCAUAUCAUCUAUAAGCCAAACGUGUGUCUGCUCAAUUAGACACCAUAACCUCUAAAGACAAAACAAAUGCAUGCAACUUACCAUAAAAAGAUGAAUGACGAAGUCAUUAUGCAAACUAGAAGAAAUGUAAACUGAUAGGCAAUAAUUGAAAUAAGAUGCGAAAUUAUUUAUAACACAAUUAACAAUUCAACAAUCAGAUGUGUUGAUUUAUUUUCAAUCUGACUUAGACACUAUGUUAUAUUUUAUUAUGUUUUAAUAUAUAUAUAUAUAUAUAUAAAUAAUCAAAAAAUUAUAUAAAAUUCACCAUGAAAAUAAGGAAAACGAAAAAAAAAAUCGAACGGGCCCGCUGAUGGAUCACCAAUGAACGAAAAAGAGCAACUGAAACAAACGAAAUGCAAUGGCAUUUUGGGGAAUCUAUCAAAAGCUGAUACCCUUUUUGCCGAUUCCCAGCCAACCUCUAUAAAUUGCCCGCAAUUGGAAAAAUUCGACCAAAAAAAAAAACAAAUUCACUUCAAAAAGUUCACACACACUCACACACACGCGCGCGCGCGCGCGCGGAAGCCUACUUCUUCUUCUUCUUCUUCUUCUUUCAAUUCUCUGGUAAAACGCAAUAUUUUUUUGUCGUUUUUUCUUCCUGUUAAUACUUAAUGCUUGGGCGUUUUGUGUAUAAUGGAAAUGGAGUCUCGUGUCUGAUUUAUUAUCGCAGGGAACGAUGAAUUAUGCUGAUCUAAAUCGACGUAUCACCGUUAAGGUAACUAUAUAAUUUUUUAAUUUCAAAUUCAUUUCUUUCUUUUCUUUUGUUUUUUAAAAGAGUAAUAUUAGCUUCAACUGUGAUGCUGUUCAGUAGCAGUGCUGACCUUUUUAUUCAUAAAUGUCUUCAGAUAUUUCAUAAUAUGGAAUAUUCUUCUUUAUUCUGUUCUAUUUAUUUACUGGUUUUAAUGUACAUAUUGUCGAGGAGCUAAAUACGCGAGUAUAAAAAUUAACUUCAACUGAUAAUUGGUAGUCUGAUUAUGCCAUUAGUUUUAUCGAGUCCACGUUGAUUCAGUUUGUUGUUUGAUUUUUAUGUGGAACUGUUACUUGAUUAUACAUGAACAUUCACUUGUGCAAAUUUAAUAAUGCCACAUUAUUUAAUAUUUAAUUUUGAAGGCCACUUUUUUAGUUGAGGGCAGGGAACCACUACGAUUCCAUAACACGCUCAUCUAAUCACCUUGACAAUAAGACUUCUCCUAGUCGGCAAUUAUUUAGAAAUAACGUCUUGACAUAUGCUGCGGAAAUUAAAGAAUGAAGUAGACUUACGAAGUCAAGGUGUUUUUCUAGUCUACAUAUUUUAAUUUGUGUAGAAAAUUAGAAAUAUUCAAUGUAUAAUCUGAUUCUACACAAAGACUAAUGCCCCAAGAUUGUGAUUGAAAUGCUAUAAGCAGCUUAUUUUAUAAGUUUAGAUAAAAAUGAAGUUUGAUGGCUUCGUUAAAAGUUGUUUUUUUUAAUAAUUUUCUCUAUUUUGACUGUAACUUUUAAAAACAAAAUAGAGAUUAUUUUUAUAAGUAACUUAUUAAAUAAGUUGCUAUAUCUUUUUAAAUGUUCAUAUUAUAACCUUAAUAUUUUAAGAAAAGAAUAAUUAUAUCUUACUUUUCUAUAAGAUCUAAUAUAUAAAUAAAAGACAAUUUAAACGCAUGUUUAUUUUAGUCAUUAAAUAAUACAACACAUUCAUAAUCAAAUUUACUAAACGUGAGCAAGAUACUUUUUUAAUCAUCAACUUAUUUCGUCCUCACGAUAGAAAUAACUUAUUUUAUCAACCACCGCCAUCCUAAACUUGGUGCUAAGUCUCGUUUGGGAUUGCAUUAGAUUGUCAAAUAAUUAAGAGAAAUAGCUAUUAAGGAGAAGAAUAGGAAGAGGUUCGCCAGAAGCAAUAUACUCGCAAGCUUGGCUACUAAUAAACGAAGCAUACAAGCUUAAACACCUAAAAUAUAUAUAUAGAGAGUAGUUUUUUGGUACGGGAUCUUAAAGUGCGGGAAACAUUAGGAAAAUUUUUAAAACCUCGGGAUUUUAAAGGCUUAAUAAUUAAAACACUUAAACUGAACGGUUUAUGCGUUUUCCCGGACGUUCUCGUACUUUAAAAUUCUGAAUUAGAAUAUUUUUAUAUGUGUGUGUUGUUGUCCAAAUUUUAAUGUACUCGCAAGCGCACGAAUCUAUUGUUGUAUAGAUCAAUGGUGACGAGUGUCGAUCCCACGAGGAGGUGGAUUUUAAUUGUGUAGAAUUAAUUUUGUAAAUGGGUGAUUGGAUUUGUGGUGGAAAUGAUUUGGAAUAUCCUAAAACUUAAAUUAAAAUGGCGAGAAUAAAUUCUAAAAUUGGAAUUGAAAUUACGAGAAUAAAUUGAAGAGAAUUCUAUUAAAAUGACGUACUUGGGUAUCUGGAUCCGUAUCAACAUGCAUCAUGGGCUAAAUAAUCCUUAUUAAUGCCAAUUAAAUCAUGAGGGGGGAAUCCACACCUCAUGAACCACACUCUAAUCAAUAUGGUGCUAAGGGCUUAUCGUGCCAAAUAAUAAUAACCUUGUACUAGAGGGCCGGUGAAACCAAGGCGGUACUAGACAAGAUUAGUAUUAUUUGUCGACGAGAAGUCAAAACAUCCACAAAAACUAGAGGGGAAGAGAAAAUAAAUUUACCAAAUAAAACCCAUGACACAUGUUGAGACUUCACUUUCAACCCAAGCUUGAAAGAAAAUUAGCUACUCAUAAUUGAACUAGGGGCAAAAUGAGAAUUUAUUAAAAUACGAAGAAACUACAAGAUGGAGAAGGAAUUACAAAAAAUAGAGUCCAAAAAUGGAUUCAGAGAUAUCAAAUUAUGGGGGAGAGGCCCCCUUUUUAUAGAUACAUCAAGUAAAUCAUGGCCAUCGGAUUAAAAACAGUUUGGACGCUCAGGAUUGCGCCACGUCAUCAGUCAACAGUACGCGGUUUGACCACGCGGAUGAACAGUAACACGGUUUGACCUAGAUGAAUAGUAACGCGGUUUGACUCGGAUGAACAGUAACGCGUUUGAUUGAAAAUAAUCCUGUGUGAUGCAUGUACCGUACGCGAGAUUUUUCGUCCACUGAUAGGCUGCCACGUCACCAUCAACAGUACAUAAGAAUUUUAGCCCAACAGGAUCGUGACACCUCAUCAGUCAAUGCCACAUCAUCGGUCAAUGCCACGUCAUCAUCCGUCUAUGUGAACAAUGUAGUGAACAGUAACGUAGACAGUACCGUACACGUGAAUAGUACCGUACAUGUGAAUAGUGUCAUUUUUCCUUUUAUGCUCCUCCUAAGGUUUUCGACCGUCCUGAGUUCAAAAGUGAUGUCCGUUUUGCCGUCUGAUCUCUCCUUUAUUGUAAAAUGACUAUAAUGCCCCUAAAAUACAUAAAAUACUUAAUUAAAAUAAAACACAUGUAAUUAAAUCACAAGAAGGUUAAAUACAUAAAAGUAAGGGUUGUUAGUAAGACUUGAAAUGUAAAAUGACGGUCUUCUCUUUUAUAAAUUUACAUUUUCUAACACUCAACACACCCCCCAACCAGCUUAUUGCUAGUCCCUAGCAAAUAAAGCGAAAACAAAAUUCAAAUUCAAAAUAAAUUUUUUUUUAAUAAAAACACUCGUAUUUAUUCCAUUAGAUUAAUAAUAGCAAUCAAAUAAAAGUAUAAGCAUUAUCUCCAGUCUAAAGCAACAUCACACCCACAUCAACCAUCCACAUGAAUCAGCUCAGUAGACUUUGUUAUAGCUACUUUCAAGAAUGACAUGUCAAACCCCAAAAUCUCACUGGAAGUAGUGACACUCUCACAAAGAAAUUAAAACCAAUAAAAAUAGUCACUCCAAUGAAUGGUAAUUGAGAGAGAAAAUAAUAAAGAAGUGAUAUCACAUGCUCUCACCAAGAUGAAAUAAAUAUGCCCUCAGCUUAGAAAUAAUACAGUCUCAAGUCAAAUAAAAAUGCUAGUCAACCCAAUUUAUUUAUCUUUUUUUUAUAUUUAUUUAUUUAUUUUUAUUAUGCACCACUACAUCUCUUUAGCCCACAUAACUAGCUUCUACUUCAAAUUAUAGUUCCCUAAAAUCAGGAAGGACUUUUAUUAGGAUGUAACGUAGGCUAGGGACAUGGUUAACAAAGAAGGGAAAUAAGGAAAACAAAGUAUAUGUUUGAGAAAAAUGCAGAGGACUUUUUUUUUUUUUUUGGGAGUUGCAAGGUGGAUUUCACCUAUUAUUGUUAUUUUUAUUCUUUUGAAACAACAAUUUUUUUCUUUUGUUUUAGCAACAACAAUUUUUUAUUUGAACUAGGCAUAACUUCAUUGUACAAAAUGUUUAUUUACAUUUUUCUCAAACAUAAAUAGGUGAUGGAACUUAUAAGACAUCGGGUAAUACUCCAAAUCGGAGUGGGUCAAGAUGAUAAGUUGACAAAGAAAAGGUUUUUUUUUUUUUUAAAGGCUCAAAAGGGUUAACUAUGGAUAUUUAAUAAAAGGGAUGGCUAGAAAGGCUCAAACGGAUCAAAGAUGGCCUUUCCAUCGUCUUUUAGGGCUCUAAAUAAUCAUCCAUAUCUACUAGUUAGACAGGCCUCCAAAUGUAGCAACACACUUUUUUUUUUUAAUUUUACAAUUUUUUUUAAGGAUUAACUUAAAAGAAAUCUAAAGAUCGUGUAUAAAAUAAUAAACUGCUAAACUGUAUAGAGAAUGGGCAAAAGGGUUACUCUCCAAGAAAAUAAUAGGUUCAACAACUCACUUGGCACUUAUUUAUGACAUGUUCAUUCCUUCAAGCAACUCAUAUUUGUCUCCGACAUCAACAUGUAGAGUAGCAAACAUAAUGUAACAUCACUUAAGACCAAAGAUAAUACAAAUACUAAAAUUUGAAAUUAAUCAUGUCAUCCAAUGUUAAAACAAAUCACACAAUUUUUUUUUAACAACAUUCUACCCCCCAACCUAUUCUAAACAUGAAAGGAAAAUAUGCAUGCAGAAAUGUGAAAAUGAUGCAUAAAAACUAAUUAGAAAAGUUACACGUAAAAUAAUAGAAAACAAAGAUGGUUUUUUUUUUUUUAAAGAUGCGUUUCUAGAGGCACUACACUCCAUAUUCAGCCAUCUUCGACUCAAAAGUUGGAAAAUGUAUAUUUAUAGAGGAGAAAUUAAAAAGAAGAAGAAAAAUGAACAUCAAAACUUAAUAAAGAAAAAAAAAUUAUUUUUAAUUUUUUUGUUUUUUUAAUUAAUUAAUUUUUUUUAAAACAAUGAAGAUGCGUUUCUAGAGUCACUAUCCUCCAUAUUCAGCCAUCUUCAACAUAAAAAGUUAGCAAUAGUUAGUUUCUACAACAAACAAUUAGUAAAAACUUAACCAAAAUUCCACAAUUGUCGACUAUUCACUCCCCCCAACCAGAAUGAAACAUUGUCCUCAAUGUUUGAAAGGAAAGAAGUAGAGUUUAGAAGACAUCACCUGGGUGGUGCAACAUAGAAAAUAAUAUUUACAAGCGGAGAGUUAAAUCUAAUUUGUACUUCUUACUGCGGCUACCGUUACCAUCAUUAUUUGGAUGCUCCAACACAAAGGUCCAGGGGUCUGGCUCCGGUCUAUAAGCUUGUAACAUAUCAAGUAGCUCAUUAGCAGUGUGAGCACAAAUAAAGAGUUUUUUCGCAUUAGAGGGAAUGAAAUAGUUUUUUAUUGCAUGGUUAAGAAAUGCGAUAAAGCCAUUAUAAAAGUUAUUGACAUUUAACAAACCGAUGGGUUUUUGGUGGAUAUGCAGAUGGGCCCAAGAUGCUAGUGUGAUAAGUGCCUCUAGUGUUGCAAGAUCUCCUGGAAGGAAAAUAAAAGCAUCAGCAUGAUUAAGCAUUUCAGUUAUUCUUUCUUGCAUACCUGAGACGACUAACUCUUCUCCAGUUGAUGAGUUAGACGAACUGCCCAAUGGUUUUAGGACUCUUGGAAUGAUGCCUAACACUUGACUUCCUCUGACAAAAGCUGCUUCAGAGACCAUUUUUGAUAACCCUCGGUUACCUCCUCCAUACACCAAGUGUAAUUUUCUCUCUGCUAUACUUCGACCAAGAUCGAUGGCUGCCUCAACGAACUCUUUAUGUUUGCCAUAGGUAAAUCCAGAAAGCACACAAAUGUUCUUGAAUUGUCUAUUUGGAGUAGCUGCCAUUAUGAUACUUCUCAAAAAAUAAUUUGUGAGUGCUUGUAAAAAAAAAAUCACAUUUAAGAGCCUUGGUGACAGUGGGUCAUAGUUGUGUAUGAGGUAACAUGUCAGUGUCAAAUAACGUGUAAAGCACGUGGCUCGCGAGUCAAAAAGGAAACAGUAAAAGGGAAAAAGCAAACAGUAAUAAGGAAAAAGCAAACAGUAAUAAAAUUAUUAAAGACAAUAAUGCACACAAUAAAACAAUAGUGAAAUAAAAUAACAGUAAAGUGAAAGGAUAUUUACAGAUAGUUGCGACUGUGGCUCACAUCUUCCUCUGGUUUUAAGUCUAGAAACGGCUUGAACGCCCUCUAUGGGUCGAGGAUAGGCUUCUUAUCCAGUUUUGUUAUAAACUGGCAAACAGGGUCGUUUAUAGUUAGAUUCUCAAGACUAUAUCGUGCAUGCUCUUUCUGGAAUAAUGAUCAUAACUGGAGAAUCGCUCCUUGCACAUAUCCACUGGGAUGCGUUUCAAGAGACAAAAUGAUAUCAUCCAAUGACUCCUUAUUCAAGCCAUCCCUAAUGAAUUGAAUCUUAUCUUCCCUGUUAUCAGACAUCAUUCCUAAAGAACAUGGGUUUUUAUUGCAACUCAUUCUGGCACACUUAUGACAAACAACAGAAAUUCUUCGAGCUCGUUGUUUUCUUGCAUAAUUUUCUUUACCACAACCAGGCAUGUAUGCAAUAAAUUUUGGAGGUAACUCACCUGCCGAUCGUACUUUCGCCUCAAUUAACCAACGAAUAUCAGCAGGUAUGUUAUUCCUCAUGAGCAAUCGCAUGCGUUCGGACCGAGCUUUAUAGAUCGUAAGGAGGGCAUUCUGAGGAAGUGAAGGGAAUCGCUUGUAAAGCUUCGCUAGAAUCUCCUUUCUGUCCAUACUUUCGCCUCAGAAUAUCAGUUAUUAUGGGAAACUGAAGUAACCGACUUGAUUAUCACGGAGUACCGUUAUCCGCCACUUCACCAAGGUAACAAACUAAAGCACACAAACAGAAAAACAAAUUAAAACACAUAAAGAAAAUUAAAAUCGUCCUCUUAUUGAAUUCACCUCAAGCUCCAACUGGAUGUCGUAAACACUUCUCUCAAUAUCUCUGAGUUGGCUUUCUAGACCCUCAACAUAGGAUACUAACUCUGGUGGUUGACACGUUGAAGUGGUUUAAGAAUGUUCAGGAGGAAUGGUCUAAGUAAGGUACUCAUGAUUAAAAAUGAUAAGAGAAAACUUAAUAGUUAAACAAACACACUUAUGCAAAAAUAAUUUCAAUUAGCAAAAGAAUAAUAUAAAGAAAGAAAGAAAGAAAAAAUCAAAUCACUGAAAAGAAAAAAAUCAAUUCAAAUUUGGUGGGUCACUCAAAUUUAUUUCGAUGUCUUCUCCAUGUGGUUGGUAUUCUAGAUAUGGCUUUAAUCUUUGAGCAUUAACUUUAAACAUGACGCCAUUCUUUGGGUCCUUAAUUUCAAUUGCCCCAUGUGGAAAAACAGUAUGAACAAUAAAGGGACCAGACCAAUGAGAGCGUAACUUACCUGGGAAUAGGUGCAAGCGAGAAUUGAAUAAAAGUACUUUCUGACUUGGAGUGAAUGAUUUUCUCAUAAUUUGCUUGUCAUGAAAGACUUUCAUCCAUUGCUUGUAAAUCUUGGCAUUUUCGUAUGCAUCAUUGCGAAUUUCUUCAAGUUCUGCCAGUUGUAAUCUUCUUUCUGAGCUGGCUUGCUGCAUGUCAAAGUUGAAUUUCUUGAUGGCCCAAUAUGCACGAUGCUCGAGUUCCACAAGUAGGUGGCAAGCUUUUCCAUACACUAGCCUGUAGGGUGACAUCCCAAUCGGGGUCUUGAAAGCCGUUCUAUAUGCCCAUAAGGCAUUAUCAAGUCCUAAUGACCAAUCUUUUCUGUCCGGCCUCACCGUCUUUUCUAAUAUGUGCUUUAUUUCUCGAUUGGAGAUCUCAACUUGGCCACUGGUUUGUGGAUGAUACGGGGUCGCCACUUUGUGUGUGAUUGAAUACUUUGUCAAAAGAGCUUUGAAUGCUUUGUUACAAAAGUGGGCACCACCAUCACUGAUUAUUGCUCAAGGGAAUCCAAAGCGUGAGACAAUAUUGCUUUUCAAAAAUCCUAUCACCACCUUGUGAUCAUUGGUUCUGCAUGGAAUUGCUUCUACCCAUUUCGAUACAUAGUCAACAGCAACUAAUAUGUAUUGAUGGCCAAAAGAAGGGGGAAAGGGUCCCAUGAAGUCGAUACCCCAUAUAUCAAAAAUCUCAACCACUAAAAUUGAAUUUAGUGGCAUCAUGUUCCUUCGUGUAAUGCUCCCCAUUCGUUGACACCUAUCAUAUGAAGAACAGAAAGUGUAAGCGUCUUGAAAUAUAGUUGGCUAAUAGAAACCACAUUGCAAAACUUUAGUAGCUGUUUUCUUAGCACUGAAAUGGCCUCCACAAGCUUGUUCAUGGCAGAAUGAAAGGAUAUUCUGAAUUUCACUUUUGGGACACAUCGUCUAACAAUUUGGUCUGCACAAUACUUGAACAAAUAAAGGUCAUCCCAAAAGAAAUUCUUUAUUUCUGCAAAAAAUUUAACCUUGUCUUGCUUGGUCCAAUGCUCUAGAAGUUUACCUGUAACAAGAUAAUUAACUAUAUCAGCAUACCAAGGUAAUACUUCCACAUUCAUUAAUUGUUCAUUUGGAAAUGACUCAUUCAAUGGUAAUGAUUCUGUAAUUGUGUCAAAAUGGAGACGAGAGAGGUGGUCCGCCACAACAUUUUCUGUCCCUUUCUUAUCUUUGAAUUCCAAGUCAAAUUCCUGCAAAAGUAACACCCAACGAAUUAGUCUAGCUUUUGCAUCUUUCUUUGUAAGAAGAUAUUUAAGAGCAGCAUGAUCUGUGAACACGAUUAUUUUACAACCAAUGAGAUAAGAUCGAAAUUUCUCCAAUGCAAACACUACUGCUAGCAUUUCUUUUUCAGUAGUUGAAUAGUUCAACUAUGCAUCAUUCAAUGUCAUACUAGCAUAGUAAAUAACGUGGGAAAUUCGAUCAACUCUUUGUCCUAAUACUGCUCCUACUGCAUAAUCAGAUGCAUCACACAUGAGCUCAAAUGGUAAGCUCUAGUUCGGGGCCUGAAUGAUGGGUGAUGAUGUCAACAACUGCUUUAAUUUUUUAAAAGCCACAAGACAUGAAUCAUUAAAGAUAAAAGGUACAUCAUUAGCAAGUAAAUUGCAUAAGGGUCUAGAAACUUUGCUAAAAUCUUUAAUGAAACGUUUAUAGAAACCAGCAUGCCCAAGGAAAGAUCUUACUUCUCUGACUGUUUUGGGUGGAGGAAGAUUAGAAAUGAGAUCCACCUUGGCUUUGUCAACCUCAAUACCUUUGCUCGAAAUGAUGUGACCGAGAACAAUACCUUGUUUUACCAUAAAAUGACAUUUCUCCCAAUUUAAAACCAAGUUCUUCUCAAUACAUCUCUGCAGAACUAAUGUUAGAUGAUGUAAACAUUGAUCAAAUGAAUCACCAAAGACAGAAAAGUCAUCCAUAAAGACUUCAAGGAAUCGUUCAACCAUAUCAGAAAAAAUGCUCAACAUGCAUCGUUGAAAUGUAGCAGGUGCAUUACAUAAUCCAAAUGGCAUCCUCCUAUAUGCAAAAGUGCCAAAAGGGCAAGUGAAAGUAGUUUUCUCUUGAUCUUUUGGUGCUAUGGGAAUCUGAUUAUAUCUUGAGUAGCCAUCUAGAAAGCAAUAAAAUUCAUGGCCUGCUAAUCUAUCAAGCAUUUGAUCGAUAAAGGGUAAAGGAAAAUAAUCUUUACGUGUGACAGAAUUCAACUUUCUAUAAUCAAUGCAAACACGCCAUUCUGUAGUUACUCUAGUGGGUAUCAAUUCAUUAUCAGCAUUGGUAACUACUGUGACUCCUGACUUUUUGGGGACAACUUGUACAGGACUGACCCAUGAACUAUCAGAAAUUGGGUAAAUGAUACCUGCAUCUAAUAGCUUAAGGACUUCUGUUCUAACAACUUCUUUCAUAUUAGGAUUUAACCGACGUUGCAUUUCCCUAGUAGAUUUAGCAUUUUUAUCAAGGUGAAUGUAAUGCAUGCAAUCUACUGGAUUUAUACCUUUUAUGUCUGCUAUGGUCCAUCCUAAUGCUCCUUUGUGCUCUUUUAAAACAUCCAACAACUUACCUUUUUAUUCGUCAUUUAGGGAUGAUGAGAUGAUUACCGGUACAGUACUUUCUUCUCCCAAAAAUGCAUAUUCCAAAGUGUUGGGUAAUGGUUUGAGCUCAAGUUUCGGUGGUGAUUCUGAUGAUGGGAUGAGUUUCUUCUCUGAUGGUGCUAGUUGCUUAACUCUUGACUUCUAUUUAUCAGUGUCCAUAGAUGGUGUUGAGUCAAGUAGGGCGUUGACCUCAUCGACCGAUCUGUCAAUAUCAAAAUCCAAACCAAAGUGAGUUAAACAUGUUUGUAAAGGAUCAUCACUAAGGUUUGAAACAAAAGUAUCAUCAACUAAUGCUUCAAUUAAAUCCACAUCAACAAUUCCAUCAUCUGCACUGUGAGGUUGUUUGGCAAUGUUGAAGAUGUUCAGCUCCAUAGUCAUGUUGCCGAAGGACAACUGCAUAUUUCCGGUCCUGCAUUGAAUGUGAGCAUCCACAGUUGCCAAGAAAGGUCGGCCUAGAAUAAUGGGGAUGUGCUUCCUCGAGUCCUGUAUUGGUUGAGUGUCAAUUACAAUGAAAUCAACAGGAAAAUAAAAAUUGUCUACCUGGAUAAGCACGUCCUCCACAAUACCAUGAGGUAUUUUUGUGGACCGAUCUGCAAGUUGUAACACCACUGGAGUUGGGUGUAAUUCUCCAAGUCCAAGUUUCACAAACACUGAAUAAGGUAACAGAUUUACACUAGCUCCUAAAUCCAACAAAGCAUUCUCAAUUGUGUGGUUCCCUAUGCUACAUGAGAUAGUAGGGGAGCCCGGGUCUUUGCAUUUUAAAGGAAUUUUGUGUUGGAGUAUAGAACUAAUGUUUUCUGUUAAAAAUGCCUUAUUUUGAACAUGCAUAUUUCUUUUUUUAGUACAAAGGUCUUUAAGAAACUUGGCAUAAGAUGGAACUUGCUUAAUAGCAUCAAGCAAAGGGAUAUUAACACUUACCUGUUUGAAGAUUUCAAGAAUCUCACCUGUGGAUUUUCCCUUUUUUCCUUUAGCUAACCUUUGAGGAAAUGGAGCUUUCGGAACGUAUUCUCAUGAGUUGUUUUCUUCUUUCUCCUCCGGUGAUGAGUACUCAACAUUCACAGGUACAAUUUGAUUUUCUUUUGUCACCAGCAUCUCCACUUUGUUGUCGACUUCUUUUCCUUUUCGCAAUGUCAUGACUGCUUUGACUUCUCCAUGCUGUUGUGGUGAACUGGUACUUGCUUCAUGUACUUCUUUAGGAUUAGGCACGGGUUGACUUGGAAACUUGCCUUUCUCAACAGUCAUUGCCAAGGUCUGAACUGAAGAAGCAAGUUGUCCCACCAUCUUCUCGAGGCUUGAAACUGAUUGGGCUUGUGAGUUGAAGCCCGCUCUCAAUUCAUUUCGUAGUCCAUCAAUGGUGCGGUUCUGUUGCUCAAUCGUGGAGUGAGUAACAUUCCUGAAAUUCUGGAAUGCAUCCUCCCAUGGUCUAGGUUGAGAGUGGUUCUGGUUCUGAUUGUAUGGUCUGAAUGGUGGCUGAGAGGCUUGAGGAAUUUCAGAAAUUUGUUGCAUUGGUGGAGCUGGAGCUGCUGGUCCAUUCUGUUGGAAUCUUUGAGACCAUGAAAAAUUGGGGUGGUCUCUUCAUCCAGGGUUAUAUGUGUUGGAGUAUGGAUUGUAAUUUGAUGGCUUUCUCAUUACACCUAUGGCAUUGGCUUGAUCAGAGUAUGACUCAGGGUCAUGUGGUUCUGUUGAUUUAGCAGUCGAUAACGAUGCUAUUUGUCGAGCAAGACCUUCAACCAUCUCCUUGACUUCUUUGAAUCCCGAAGUUGACUCGCGAAUGUGAACCUCAUUUACUCCCUUAAUUCUUCUAGUAUUCCUGAAUGAUCGACUCCGUUGUUGGGAAUUAUCCGCUUGUCGCUGGAAGAAUUCCCAAAUCUCUGAUGCACUUUUUGACAUUAGCUCUCCUCCACUUGUUGCCAUUAGCCAUUCUUGCACAUUUGGUAGUGAUCCCUCCAAAAAGUAUUGGCAUUGGUGCCAUUUCUCGUACCCAUGAUGUGGACACUUCAAGAGUAGCCCAUUGAAUCGCUCCCAUGUUUCGAAAAACUGCUCGUACUCUCUCUGAGUAAACUCCGAGAUUUCCCUGCGAAUAGCAUUGGUUUUAUGCACUGGGAAAUAUUUAUUCAAAAAUUUAGUUACCAUUUGUUCCCAUGAUGAAAUGCUAUUGGCAGGCAAUGUAUUAAGCCAUGAACGAGCUCUAUCCUUUAAAGAAAAUGGGAAUAAUCUGAGUUUAACAUCAUUGUCUGAAAAAUUUUCAUAUUUAAAGUUUGACAAAUGGCAUGAAAAUCAUUCAGAUGAUUAUAUGGGUCCUCAUUUUCUAGGUCAUAAAAUGUGGGGAGACAAUUUAGCACACUAGAUUUUAAUUCAAAGCUCCUAGCAGCUACAUUUGGGUAUCUUAUACAUGAUGCGCUCAAAUUUGCUAAAGGACUGAAAUAAUCCUUAAAUGGCCUCUCCUGUGGUUGCAAAUCCAUUUUAUUUUUUACUUGUUUGUGUGUGCGAAGUGUUUUCUCAAGUUCAAGGUCUAUAGGUUCAAGAUUGGGUAAUAAUGACAUUCGACCAUGCAUGCAAAACAAAUAAAAUAAAAAAUAAAGAUGGGAACAAAAUAAAUAAAAAUAAAAAAGAGGGAGAAAUUACGAUACUAACCUUAUUGGGCUAUUACAAACUUUCUAUAAAAAUACACAAAAACAAAUACGUGAAAUAAAUUAACUAAACAUUAAAUUAAUAAAAUAAACAAAAAAAAUUACAAAGAAAAAUAAAUUAAAAAUUAAAUUACAGAAUUUUAAAGAAGAGAAAAAGGAAAGAAAUGCUAACCUUUAAAUGUAAAUUCACUUUUUUUUCUUUUUUUUAAUAAUAAAAAAAAUACAAGAAAACAAAUAAAAGAAAUUAUUCACAAAAAUUAAUUCUAAAAAUUACUUACCUCCCUGGCAACGGCGCCAAAAACUUGUUGUGCAAAUUUUAAUAUACUCGCAAGCGCACGAAUCUAUUGCAGUAUAGAUCAAUGGUGACGAGUGUCGAUCCCACGAGGAGGUGGAUUUUAAUUGUGUAGAAUUAAUUUUGUAAAUGGGUGAUUGGAUUUGUGGUGGAAAUGAUUUGGAAUAUCCUAAAACUUAAAUUAAAAUGGCGAGAAUAAAUUCUAAAAUUGGAAUUGAAAUUACGAGAAUAAAUUGAAGAGAAUUCUAUUAAAAUGACGUACUUGGGUAUCUGGAUCCGUAUCAACAUGCAUCAUGGGCUAAAUAAUCCUUAUUAAUGCCAAUUAAAUCAUGAGGGGGGAAUCCACACCUCAUGAACCACACUCUAAUCAAUAUGGUGCUAAGGGCUUAUCGUGCCAAAUAAUAAUAACCUUGUACUAGAGGGCCGGUGAAACCAAGGCGGUACUAGACAAGAUUAGUAUUAUUUGUCGACGAGAAGUCAAAACAUCCACAAAAACUAGAGGGGAAGAGAAAAUAAAUUUACCAAAUAAAACCCAUGACACAUGUUGAGACUUCACUUUCAACCCAAGCUUGAAAGAAAAUUAGCUACUCAUAAUUGAACUAGGGGCAAAAUGAGAAUUUAUUAAAAUACGAAGAAACUACAAGAUGGAGAAGGAAUUACAAAAAAUAGAGUCCAAAAAUGGAUUCAGAGAUAUCAAAUUAUGGGGGAGAGGCCCCCUUUUUAUAGAUACAUCAAGUAAAUCAUGGCCAUCGGAUUAAAAACAGUUUGGACGCUCAAGAUUGCGACACGUCAUCAGUCAACAGUAACACGGUUUGACUCGGAUGAACAGUAACACGGUUUGACUCGGAUGAACAGUAACGCGGUUUGACUCGGAUGAACAAUAACGCGUUUGGUUGAAAAUAAUUCUGUGUGAUGCAUGUACCGUAUGCGAGAUUUUUCGUUCACUAAUAUGCUGCCACGUCACCAUCAACAGUACAUAAGAAUUUUAGCCCAACAGGAUCGUGACACCUCAUCAGUCAAUGCCACAUCAUCGGUCAAUGCCACGUCAUCGAUCCGUCUAUGUGAACAAUGUAGUGAACAGUAACGUAGACAGUACCGUACACGUGAAUAGUACCGUACAUGUGAAUAGUGCCAUUUUUCCAUUUAUGUUCCUCCUAAGGUUUUCGACCGUUCUGAGUUCAAAAGUGAUGUCCGUUUUGCCGUCUGAUCUCUCCUUUAUUGUGAAAUGACUUUAAUGCCCCUAAAAUACAUAAAAUACUUAAUUAAAAUAAAACACAUGUAAUUAAAUCACAAGAAGGUUAAAUACAUAAAAGUAAGGGUUGUUAGUAAGACUUGAAAUGUAAAAUGACGGUCUUCUCCUUUAUAAGUAUGCAUUUUCUGACACUCAACAUGUGUGUGUAUGGAGGGCAAAUCUUUGACUACCUCCAGCUUCAAGGACCUAUACAAUAACUCUUAAAUCAAACGGAGAAAAUAGUUAAUUCAAUCUGAUUGAAUAUGAUUGAUAUUUACCAUAUGAUUAUUACAUAAAGAUUGAGCCUUAAGUGUUUUACAUUAAGUAAUACUGCACAUUUGUUCUACACAUUUAGACAACUCAGAGUAAGAAUUAUGAAAAUGACAACCAAAUCCAAACUAGCUAGGUGCACUAUUAUUAUUUAUCUUUGCUCCAUAAAUAUUAGAAAGAUAGAGGAGCGGAAGAAAAAGAAAAAACUAAUUUUGUAGUCACAAAUCAAUCUUAUGCUCUGAUUUUGAAGCAAAUCUGCAAAAUAUUUGAGGAUCCAACCAUGAAGCAUGUCCACUUCAAUCUUUCGCUGCACUGCUAACCAUUAUGGGUCGUCUUCUAUUGCUGGCUGUACGUCUAAGCAAUGGGAACCUACUCCAAUUUACACACUGUUAAUUAAUUAUGUUAUCAAAUAAUUUAGUUAAUAAUUGAACACUUAUUUUUUAUUUUAUAGAAAAAUUUACAUACUGCUUCUUGUUGUCACUGUUAUUAUAUUGUCUGAUAUCUUCCAAAACCCUAUAAUCUCCCCCCCACCAAAAAAAAAAGAAGAAAAAGAAUAAGGCAUAUAAUUAAACGGGUAACUUCGAUAGAAAAUAGUGUACAAAAUUUUUAAGCUUAAUUACCCCUCGCUGCUAUGGGAUCACGAAGGCCAUUAGGUAAAAUAAUGUUGCUACCAAAUCUCUUUAAAACCACUCUUAUAUCUUGCAAAUUAAAAAGAAAUAGAAAUCAAACAACAAUUGAGGUAAACUUUAUAAUUAAAAAAGAAAAUGAGAAAAAUUAAAUUAUUAAAAGAAUUAAUUUGGGGAUUAAUCAAUACUUACAUGACCUCCGUAAUAUGUUGUAAUCUAAUGUGGUCUCGGAACCACUCCAUAAGACUUAUUGCAUGAAUUCAUAUAUUCUGUCAGAUUAAAUGAGUAUGUUUGAAACAUUGUGUCGUUUUUGCCAAUUCCAAUUGGUGAGACCAUUUCAUUGUAUGUCUGGAUUGAACUCCCCCUCCCUAAAAAAAAUAAUAAAUAAAUAAGAUAAAGAAGAAAACUAUUUUUAAUCAUUCAUAAAUAUGUAUUCUCAUAAAUAAAAUUUAGAGAUGUACAUAAAAUAAGUAUUGUUAGACGAAAGACUCAUUCAUUGCGACAUGUUGUUUAUUUGACGGUCUCAAUAGUACUAUCCAAUUGGUUUAUUGGCUUAUAUUUGUGUGGUGUAGAUCUAUUUGAAUAACAUUGCAGAAAUAUGAGAUAAUAUGGAAAAUAUUAGAAAUAGUUAAUAGCAUUAUUAAGAUACUAAAUAUCAGCCAAAAUAAUAAAAUAAAUAAAAAGCUCAAAGAGUUCUUGUUGUAAAUCAUGACUCGAAUAGGAAAAUAAACAAGACUAAUCAUAUCUUUGUGUAAAUUUAAUUUGUAUAAAAAAAACGUGUAGGUGUAAUAUUAUAAAUAAACUCAUAGAGAAAAGAAUGUGUAAACUCCUGUGAUUUGACAAAAUAAUCAAAAUAAUCUGUUUAUUUUUUAAAAUAGUUACAAAGCUCCUUUUGUAACAUACAAACUAUGGAAAUUCAUGGGCUACUUAACAUCCAUUUUAAUUUUUUUUUAUUUACACAAAAACAUCAUAGACGAAAGAAGAUAAAAAAUUUCAUUGCACCCAAUUUUUUUGCAUGCGAUCAAUAAGGAAAAGAGGCAGAAAGUGUUGGAAAUAUAGCACAAGUGGCUAUUUGAGGCGUGAUUUUGAGUGAGACCUAUGUGGUGUAAGUGAAAAGUUAAAAUUGUUUCAAAUAUUUCUCUGUAAAUACUUCAAAAUGGUUUUAUCUAUAUGAUCAAAAUGAUCCUUGGAUAAAUGAGAAAUGGUAACUGAAAGUAAAUUCAUGGAAUUGGAAAAUUAAAGGAAGAUACAUUUGUCCCACAUGAAAAAGGUAGUGAAGGCAUGAAAGGCUUGUAUAUAAUUAUUUAUAGUAUGAGUAAAAUAUAAACCAAAAUGCUCUCUCUUCCGUGCUCCUUCCUGAGUAUACGAAAGUUGGCCCAAAUCGAUCGUGGUAGGCCUGCCUUAGUCUUGCACAUUUGAAGUUCAUCGUGAAACGAUCCCAUAGUUGUCGUUCAAACCUCUGGGCACUUAAAAAAAGGUUUUCUUUUUAUUUUUUUUAUAUUUUUUAAAUUUAAUAAAUGCCAUAUUAUUUAAUAUUUAAUUUUAAGGCAUCUUUUUAAGUUGAGGGCAGGGAACCACUCCGAUACGUAACUUCGUGACCUGCUAAUCUAAUCACCUUGACUUUGAAGACUUCUUCCCCUAGUCAGCAAUGAUUUGGAACUUACGUCUUGACAUAUGCUGUGGAAAAAAAAGAGUGAAGCAGACUUAUUAAGUCGAGAUGUUUCUUCAGUCUAGAUAUUUUCGUUUAUACGUGUACACAUAUUCAAUGUCUAACCUUAUUUUGAAAAAAGACUAAUGUCCUAUUUGGGAUUACGGUUGAAAUACUAUAAAUAGUUUAUUUUAUAAGUUUUGAUAAAAAUAAUGUUUGGUAAAUUUGUUAAAAGUUAAUUUAUAUUUUCUCUAUUUUGACAAUAGCUUUUAAAACAAGUAUGAGAUUAUUUUUAGAAGCAACUUAUUAAAUAAAAUGCAUUUUUUUAAAUUUUCUAUUAUAACUAAGAAAAGAAUAAUUGUAUCUUACUUUUUUUAUAAAUCCUAAUAUAUAAAUAAAAGACAAUUUAAACUUAUAAUUAUUUUAGUGAUUAUAUAAUAAAAUAGUUCUUGCAUAAUUGAAUUUACCAAACACUGAGCGAGCUACUUUUAUAAUGAUUAGCUUAUUUUAUCCGCAUAACAGAAGUAGUUUAUUCAAUAGCCACCGGAAUCUCAAACUGAUUCUAAGUCAUGUUUGGAAUUGCAUGACAUUGUCAAAUAAUUAACAAAAGAAGCUAUUAUGUAGAAGCAUAGGAACAGGUUGAGAAUGAGAGAUACAUGUACAUGGAGAGCAAAUUCUUUUACUCUCACCGGCUUCAACGACCUAUACAAUAACUCCUAAAUCAAAGGGAGAAAAUGGUUAAUUCAAUGUGAUUGUACAUGAAUUGAUAUUCACCAUAUGAUUAUUACAUAAAGAUUGAGCCCUUUAUAUGUGCUUUACAUUAAGUAAUACUGCACACUUGUUCUACACAUUUAGACAACCCAGAUUAAGAAUAAUGAAAAUGAACUCUUAAACUAGCUAGGUGCUCUAUUAUUUAUCUUUGCUCCAUAAAUAUUAGAAAGAUAGAGGAGAGGAAGAAAAAGAAAAACAACAACAUACACUCUAAAUAAUCCUUCAAUUCUGAAACAUCCUUCAGAGGCUUGUAAUCAAAUAAACAACAACAACAUAGAAUUAAGUGCCACAAGGUUAGUAACAUUAUAAAAGAUCUUUCAACAUGCCGUCUAAAAAAUGUUGUUAUAUUUAGUUAGAUUACAAUAAACUUUAUAAGUAUGAAGCUAUUGAUAUUAUCAAAUGCAAACGUACAAAUUUGGCCUUAUUUGAUAAUUAGAGUUGUGCGUGGUUUUGUAGUUCAAAUUUAGAUUCUGUAAAAUACGAACCUCUGGAGGGCUGAAUCUAAGCACCAGUAUACUAUAUAUAUGGUAAUGCAAAGGCCGUGUAUAAGCCCAAAUCCAGAUUUUUACUUUGUAUAUUACACGUUAAUCGAAAUGUAUAUAUACUCUGAGGAUGACAGAUAAUUAAUUAGACAUAGUACAUUCGAUAAUGAUGCUACAAUAACAUUGCAUUAAUUGUAAUUAAGGGAAAAUCGGAUGGAUAUAUAUAAGCAAUUAUGUAAAGUAAUAUGAUUAAUUUCUUGCAGGUUUUGAACUUUUUAGAGAGAAAAGCAAGUCCAUUUUUUCUAGCAGCGGUUUUAUCCAUUUCAACCCAGGACUGUUUGAUGGUCAUGUAGCAGCCCUCGCUGGCUUCCUGCAUCAUUAAUUUUCAAAAUUCAAUGGUUAAAUUUUAACAAGAAAACAUAAUCAUACAUAUAUAGAAUUUUAAUUAAUUAAUUUUUUUUCUUACCCUACAGUCAUUGGUGACAAGAUCAUAAUAUGCGUUUGAUGGUGUGAUAUUAUCAAAGUAGAGAAUUGGGGCGGGCGAGGCAACUGCUCCCAAAGACUGUGAGGAUACUUCAAGCGAAACCAUGCUGCAAGCACUGGUGAUAACAAACCCACAAUUGAGUAACUCUCAAAACCAUAUCACAUCCCAGAUUUGAUAAAAUAGGACUAAUUGAGAUGGUUAUUUUUAAAAAAGUAAUUAUCUUAAAUAUAUUUAGUAUUUCUUAAUUUUACGAUCGCUGAAAGUAUUCAUUAAUUGGAAUGCAAAAUAAAUUUGUAUCAAAAUAAUAUUGGCGUAAUCAAUAUUUUGGUCAAACGAGAUCAAAAUGAAUAAAAUGGCGCAACAAAUGACACGACAUUAAUCAAAAGAUGUAAGUAAGUUAAUAAUAUUAAAAUUUACUUCCUCGAUAAGAUGCUCCAACGACGAUAAUGGGUGACAUUUCGGCCGAUAAAUUUUCCUUGAUGUGUAAGAGAAUCUUUGCAUAAUCUACCAAAGCUUGACCAGAGUUUAAAUAUCCACGAAGAGUUGCAUUGUUUAGGGCAUCUUUGCUUGAUACAAAAGGUACUGAUUUUCCAUAGAACCGAUACUGCAUGAAAAAUUGAAUUAAAAAAAAUCCAUCACAACUUUUCAGUUCAUAUUAUAGAAUAUUCUGAUUAAGAUUUGUCUUUAUUAUUAUUAUUUCGUAUGCGAACUCUAUUUUAAUUAUUAUCAAGCUAGCCUGAUAACAAAUUCUUUACUUACCUCUAUGUAAACUUAUAAGGCUUUAAAUCGAUGAGCAUUAUCAGCAAGCCAUCCAAUGCCACCAAGGUCAUCAUAUCAAGACUACUCUCUUCACCAAGAUAUGCCAAUAUCGGCGCCGCCAUGGCUCUGCCACCACCCCAAUGCUUGAAGUUCAACGCAUAUCUAUGAGGAAAAGUUAAAUAACUUUGUGGAUUAUAGUUAAAGUGAUCAAGUGUUUGAUCAUAAUAGUAAGUUUCGAGAUCAUAAUAGUAACUUUGUGGAUUUUUUUGCUAGGGUUUUGAAAAAUAGUCCUUCCACGAACAGCACCAAGCUUUGGGAUGUUCUUUAAUGGUGAAGUGGAAGCAAAAGCAAAAUUUGUGACGAGAAGAAGAAAAAGGCAUGGAGCGACCGACCUUUCAUGGCAAAGUUGUAAAUCCUUAAUUAGCAGGAUGAUUAUGUAAAUACAGAAGAAAUAGAGUUAAGAUUAGAUUAUAAAUUCAGCUUCAAAAUCGACGUGUUUGUUAAUAUAUCCUGGAUUUGUUGUUAUCGUAUAAUAUAAUUAAUGUUGCUUUUAGUUUUAUAUUAGUAUGGAUCUUCAGUUUUCAUAAAAUUAUAGUGUGUCUAAUGUUGUGCAAAUUUUAUUGAACUCACAAGUGUACGAAUCUAUUGUAGAAUAGAUUAAUGGUGACGAGUAUCGAUCCCACGAGGAGGUUGAUUCUAAUUGUGUGUAGAAUUAAUUUUUCUAAAUGGAUGUUUGGAUUUGUGGUGAAAGUGACUUAGAUUAUCUUAAAAUUGGAAUUGAAAUGGCGAGAAUAAAUUGAAGAGAAAUCUAUUGAAAUGAAACACUUGGGUAUCUGGAUCCGUAUCAACAUGCACCAUGGGCUAAAUAUUCCUUAUUAAUGUCAAUUAAAUCAUGAGGGGGGAAUCCACACCUCAUGAACCACACUAUAAUCAAUAUGGUGCUAAGGGCUUAUCGUGCCAAAUAAUAAUAACCUUGUACUAGUGAGUCGGUGAAACCAAGACGGUAUCUAGACAAGAUUAUUAUUAUUUGUCGACGAGAAAUCAAAACAUCUACAAAAACUAGAGGGGAAGAGAAAAUAAAUUUACCAAAUAGAGCCCAUGACACAUGUUGAGACUUCACCUUCAACCCAAGCUUGAAAGAAAAUUAGCUACUCACAAUUGAACUAGGGGUAAAAUGAGAAUUUAUUAAAAUACAUAGAAAAUACAAGAUGGAGAAUAAAUUACAGAAAAUGGAGCCCAAAAUUGGAUUCAGAGAUAUCAAAUUAGGGGGGGAGAGCUCCCUUUUUAUAGAUACAUUGAGUAAAUCAUGGCCAUCGAAUCAAAAACAUUUCGAACACUCAGGAUUGCGCCACGUCAUUAGUCAACAGUACGCGGUUUGAACAGUAACACGGUUUGGUUGAAAAUAAUCCUGUGUAAUGCAUAUACUGUACGCGAGAUUUUUGGUCCACUGAUAUGUUGCCACGUCAUCGAUCAACAAUACAUAAGAAUUUUAGUCCAAUAGGAUCGUGACACCUCAUCAGUCAAUGCCACAUCAUCGGUCAAUGCCACGUCAUCGGUCAAUGCCACGUCAUCGUUCCGUCUAUGUGAAUAGUGUCAUGAACAGUAACGUAGACAAUACCGUACAUGUGAGUAGGACCGUACAUGUGAACAAUGACAUUUUUCCUUUUAUGCUCCUCCUAAAGUUUUCGACUGUCCUAAGUUCAAAAGUGAUGUCCGUUUUGCCGUAUGAUUUCUCGUUCAUUGUGAAAUGACUAUGAUGCCCCUAAAAUACAUAAAAUACUUAAUUAAAAUAAAACACACGUAAUUAAAUCACAAGAAGUUUAAAUACAUAAAAGUAAGGGUGUUAGUAAGACUUGAAAUGUAAAAUGAUGAUUUUCUCCUACAUAAAUAUACAUUUUCUAACACUCAACAUCUAAUAUAUAGUUAACAGUUUCGUAAUUAAUAAAAUUUUUUAUUAUUUCUUUCCUAGUAAUUAAUUAUCUUGUGCUGGAAAGAAUAUCACUAACCACAACUUCUGCAGAAGCUUCCUCACCUUCGGAUGACAUCAGCGGUGGGUCCAGGAUGUUUGAUCGGAUCGGCGAAAUUAAAAAUUUAUUGUAUAUGUUUGCGUGAAUAUUUACAAAGGAGUGAAAAAACUAAUAUAUUAAAUAACGCGACAUCAACAACGUCGUUCUGAAUGAAAUUUUUAUAUAUAAUUUGUAAAAUAAACUAAUAAUUAGAAUGACAAUUUAGCCUUUUUAACUUGUAGAGACACAACCUUAAAUUCCUUAAUAUGCUGGUUAAUUCAGAUCAUUGAGAUGGAGACAAUUAGACAAACCUUAUUUUAUCAGAGUGAACUGCGAAAGUACAAGCUUUACAAAAGAGAUUAAUGUCGUAGUGUGAAUAGAAUUAAAAAAUACUAAGGCAGACAAUUCGUCGAACACAUAAUAUUUGCUACAUUGCUACUACCUAAUAAUUUCACAACCAAUUAACAGUCUCCUUUAUUGGAAAAAUCACAUUAAUCAACCAAAUACAUUUCUUGGUUUCUAAGCUCCAAAAUUGAAAUUUCAUGAAAAGGUUUCUGCAUUGGUGUCUUAUUGCGAGCGAUAAAUUCGUUGGACACGAGUUGCAUUGUAGGUCGAGACUUUGGUUGAGAACGCAAGCAUGAAAAUACUACUGUUGAAACAAGAAUGAUAUCCUGCCUAAUCAUUUGGUCCCCCGGAGGCGGGAGGCGUGGGUCCAACAAAUCAAUCAGCUUUAUAUUUUUAUCCAAUGAUGACGAUGACGAUGAGAGGAGCGCUUCUGGAUGCCUUCCCACUAGUACUUCUAGUGCCACCACUCCAAAGCUAUAAACAUCACAUUUCUCUGUCACAAUCAUGGUGUAGGCAAGUUCUAUAGGAAAACAAAGGCCUUCAUUAGUAACGUUUCCAUAAAUAAUAACAAGAACAAUUUGUUCAUGUUUUUUAGCUUCCGCAGCAAGUUAUGACAAAGAAACUUAUGUUUUAACUUAUGUUCAUUGUGUGUGUGUUUUAAAAGGAAAAGGGGUAGGCAAAGUUUAAAUUUAUUUUUAGCCCCUUAGCUUUUUCAAAAUUCGAACCAAGUAGCGACAUAAAUAAAGCUGCUUAAAAGCUACUUGGCAGAGUAUAUAUAAAAAUUAAUUAAGAGGAUAAUUAAAGAAGCAUAAGAGGAAUAGCUAGAGGAUGACCUGGAGCAAUAUAUCCAAAAGUGCCAGCUAAAAGAGUUCGGUUGGAUGAGUCAAAAUUUAACAAUCUAGCAAUGCCAAAGUCCGCAACAAAUGCUUCUAAUUCUGAGUUAAGUAGAAUGUUGUUGCUUGAUAUGUCCCGGUGAACAAUUGGUGGUGUGCAGUGAUGAUGUAAGUAUGACAAAGCGUGAGCCAUACCCUUCACAAUGUUCACCCUUUUAGUCCAAUCCAACCCAAUAGCUUCCUCAUCUGUGCGUAGAACACAGAACAAGCUUCCCAUUUCCAUGUACUCAUAGAUUAAGAACAUGCAUGUCUUGUGCAAACAAAAGCCGUAAAGCUUUACGAUAUUUCGAUGCCGUAUUUGGGACAGUAGACGAGCCUCAUUCCGAAAACUCUCGAGGGAAGCUAACUCCUCAGUUUCUGAACGGUGAAGCUUCUUCAAAGCAACCACUUUUCCACUGGGCAGCCGUGCUCUGUAAACGCUGCCGUAGCCUCCGGUUCCAAUGCAGUAUUUGAUAUCGAAAUCCUCAGUGGCUUCAAUCAUGUCUUGAAAUGUAAUUCUACCAUCGUAAUUCCAAAUUGCAAACUCAUCAGCGCACUUGGUAAUUUCUCCUGUCCCAGUUGGUUCAACUUCCUUAUCCCUUCGUCUACGGAUAAUCAAGAUUCCAAAUAUCAAGGCAAGGAAUGCGACCAUAGCAAGAAUAAUUGCAACCAAGAGAGUGGCAAUCAUUUUGUGAUGUGGCGGUGGCGCAUUUGCCAAAGUAGUUGGGAUUUCUCCUCCGAAUUUAUUACCUGACACAUCUAAGUGUGGCACUUUUCUGACAAAUACAGGGAUUCCACCGGAAAGGUUAUUCAUGGAAAGGUCCACGGUGUGUAUGCCCGGAAUUGCUCCAAGUUGGUAAGGUAUUUUACCAUUGAUGGAGUUACAGCUUAGAUCAAGAUAAUAUAGUUCUUGAAGUUUGCCAAUCUGUGACGGAAUGCUUCCGCUUAACAAGUUGUUUCCCAAUAUUAAUGUCGUCAGCUUUGAGCAAUUCAUGAGUUCUGGAGGAAUUGGGCCAUCAAGUUUGUUGUCAGACAAGUCUAAAAAUGUCAACCUGUUUAAAUGACCAAGUGUUAAAGGAAUAGAUCCAGUUAGAUUGUUAUAUUCCAGGGACAGAGAUUUCAAGUUGACUAAACUAGCUAUGGUCGAAGGAAUUGGACCUUCAAGUUUGUUGUUGGGCAGGUCAAGAACUUGAAGAAAGUUCAAAUGACCCACAGACGAAGGGAUUGGACCAACAAGUUUGUUUUCAGACAAGUCUAAAUAUGUCAACCUGUCUAAAUGACCAAGUGUUGAAGGAAUAGGUCCAGUUAGAUUGUUAUCCUGCAGGGACAGAUAUGUCAAGUUGACUAAACUAGCUAUGGUCGAAGGAAUCGGACCUUCAAGUUUGUUGUUGGACAGGUCAAGAACUUGAAGAAAGUUCAAAUGACCCACAGACGAAGGGAUUGGGCCAACAAGUUUGUUUUCGGACAAGUCUAAAUCUGUCAACCUGUUUAAAUGACCAAGUGUUAAAGGAAUAGGUCCAAUUAGAUUGUUAUAAUGCAGGGACAGAGAUGUCAAGCUGACUAAACUAGCUAUGGUCGAAGGAAUUGGACCUUCAAGUUUGUUGUCGGACAGGCCAAGAACUUGAAGAAAGUUCAAAUUCCCGAUUUCUAAUGGGAUGGAACCAUUGAUUCGGUUUGAGUGCAUAUUCAAAGUAGUUAGCUGAGUCAAAGGACCUACAGACGAAGGGAUUGGACCAACAAGUUUGUUUUGGGACAAGUCUAAAAUUCUCAACCUCUUUAAAUGGCCAAUUGUUGAAGGAAUUGAACCUCCAAUUUCAUUUCUGGACAGGUCAAGAACUUGAAGAACCUUCAAAUUCUCGAUUUCUAAUGGGAUGGAACCAUUAAUUUGGUUUGAGGCAAUAGCCAAAGUAGUUAGCUGGGUUAGAUGACCUAGAGUGGAGGGGACAUUACCAACAAGGGAGUUAGAAGACAAGUUCAAAAUUUUCAAUUUGCUUAGACGACCAAGAGUUGGAGGGAUAUGUCCCGUAAGGUGAUUAUUAGAUAGAUCCAGGUGGACGAGAUUCCUCAAUCUCCCCAUCUCUGAAGGGAUAAUUCCUGUUGUGCAUGUGAUUUAUGAAAAACGAGAUCAGUAUUCACUAUCCUCAUAGCAACAAAAAAAAAUGCAAAAUUUAUAUGGAGAGAGAGUCAUACUCAAGUGCGGACGGCACACACUUCUUCAGCGUUGUAAAAGCAAACGCCCGCACUAAGCAUGAGCACGAUUUUAUAAAAAAUAUAAUAUGUUACAGUGAAGUUUGGCAGCUUACCGGUAAGAUUGUUGGAGGUCAGUUCAAGAGUUCGGAUUGUUGAAAGAACAGUAAUUUCAGAUGGAAUGCUCCCAGAGAGAAGAUAAUUUGAACGAAUUUUGAAACUUCUGAGGUUGGGAAAGCAAGAGAAUUUGAAACGACCAAGCUCUCCUGUGAUGUUAUCAUUUUCAUACCAGAGUAAGCUGACCCCGAUUACGCUUACCGCUGAAUUGCAACUGAUGCCAGUCCACUUACAAUGAUCGGACGUGUAGUUGCCCGUCGUCGCCCAAUUGUUGACCCACCAGCCGGUAGCAAGUAAAGCUUCCCUUUCUAACAGUAUGGGUGACGACAACAAUCCUGCAGCUGAUGUCGUUACAGAUAUUGUCGUAUCACUUAUAGCACCAACAUUUAUUAAAAUUAUAAUGACCACCAGUCUCGAAACAGAGGACGCUGAUGCCAUGUUUAUGGUGGUUUUCUGUUGAUUGAGCUACAUUUGAUUCUCAGCAAAGCGUUUAUAUAAGAAUCAAUUGUUUUGCAAGCUCCCAGUGUUAACUUCCAAUACGCGUUUUCAAAUAGUGUGAGUCAAUGUCUUCUCUGGAUGGAUUCAAUCAUGGAGAUAUAACCUUAUCGGCUUGUAUUUGUGAGGUGUAGAUCUAUUUGAACAACUUUGCAGAAACAUGAGAUAAUAUGGACAAUAGUAGAAAUAAUUAAUAGCAUUAUUAGUAGUAUAAGAUAUUAAGUAUUACCCAAAAUAAGAAAAGGAAAAAAGUUCAAAGAAAAGAAUUGUUAUAAAUAAUGGCUCAAAUAGGAAAAUAAACAAGACUAAUCAUAUCUUUUGUAACAUACAUACCAUAGCUCAUGGGCUAACUAACAUUUUUUUUUUUUAACCCUAAACAUCAUAAAUGAAAGAAGAUGAAAUUUUAAUUACCGCUCAAUUUUUCUGCACGCAACCAAAUUUAAAAAAAAAGAAAAAAGAAAGUGUUAGAAAAAUAAUGCGCAAGUAGCUACUUGAGGCAUGAUUUUGAAUGAGACCUUUUUGGUAUAAGUGAAAAUUCAGAAAUUGUUUCGCAUAUUCCUCUAUGAGUACUUCGGAAUGUUAUCUAUACAAUCAAAAUGAUCCUCAAGUGAAUGAGAAAUUGUUACUCAAAGUGCACUCAUGAAUUUGAAAAAUUAAAGGAAAAUACAUUUGUCCCACAUUGGAAAGAUUUAUACAUAAUUACUAGAUGAACGGUAAGCUACUAUUAGCAAAGGGGCGUUCCUUGUGCACAGUCACGGGAGUGCAAAAUUUAACCACCCCAAUUAGCUUAACCAGUGUUCAUAUUGGGGGUGUUUACCCGACCCUUAGUUGGGGUUAGCUAAUGUGGCAACUUAGUUUGCCUUUUUUUUUUUUUUGCUCUUUGUAAUAAUAAUAAUAACAAAUUAAUAUAAUUUUUUAAUUUAAUAUUAUAUUACAUAAUAUUAAAUUAUGUUUUAAUUUUUAUUAUUUUAAAUAUAUAACUAAACAAUGUAUUAUUUAAUUGUAUUAUUUUAAUUAAUAUAUAAAAUUAUAUUAAUUAAUCUUUAAUAAGUUAAUAUAAUUAGUAAUAAAUACUUAAAUAAUAUAAUAUUACAUUAUUAAUUAUAGUACAAUAAUUAAUUUAGCUAUUUUUAAAUAAUUUAAUAUAACUAACAAUAAAUAUUUAAAUUUGAAUAAAUUUGAAUAAUAUUAAUUGAAAAUUAAUAAUAUAAAUAAUUACUGGAUUAUUUAGCUCAAUUUAUUUUCUUAGUGAAUAUGUCAUAACAAUUGUAUCACUUUAUUAUUCUAUAAUUAUCUUGUAAUAUGUAUAAAUUUUUAUUCUAUCAUCCUCAAAUGAUUUUUGAAUUAAUCUUGAAGAUUUUAACUAUUUAUUUAUGUUGUUAAAUUAUUUAGUGAUUAUUUGAUUAAAUUAUUUACUUCGAUCUUUAUUUCACAAGUUAUAUAUUUAGAAAAUACUGAAAAAUACACAUCCAAAAAUUUAAGACUAUAAGCCUCGGAAAAAUUAUGACAUUUCAAUAUAUAUUUUUAAUAAAAAUGUUAAAUUUCUAAAUUUCUAAAAUUUAAUAAUUUUAUAUUUAUUAUUUUUAAGUACUAAUAAAUAUUAUUUUCUAAAUAUAUAAUUUAAAUUAAUCACAAAAAAAUUAAUACAGUACAGUGUAACGCUAAACAUUAUACAACAUUAUUAUAAUACAAUGCUAAUGCAAUACAACAUAAUACAAUACACCUACAAUAAAAUAAUGCAAUACAACAUAAAAUAGAAUACAGUGUGUCAAAUGCACCAUUGUAUUAUUGUUUCGUUCUCAUGGUAUAAUUGCCGUCCAUACCUGUGCAAAACAUUAAGAGUUAAAAAUAUAUAUUUUUAUGAUUAAUUUUAGAUUUUUUUAAACUUUAAUAAUGCCAUAUUAUUUAAUAUUACAAUUGCCGUUCGAACAUGUGCAAAACAUGAAGACUAAUAUAUAUAUAUAUAUAUAUAUACACACCAUAUUAUUUAAUAUUUAAUUUUUAAGGCAACUUUUACUUUUAAAAAAAAAAUUUAAGGCAACUUUUUUAGUUGAGGGCAGGGAACCCCUACGAUACGUAAUUCCAUAACACGCUUAUCUAAUCACCUUGACUAUAAGACUUCUCCUAGUCAGCAAUUAUUUGGAAAAAAACGUCUUGACAUGUGCUGUGGAAAUUAAAGAAUGAGGUGGACUUACGAAGUCAAGGGGUUUUUCUAGUCUACAGAUUUUAAUUUAUAUGUGUAGAAAAUUAGAAAUAUUCAGUGUCUAAUCUGAUUCUACAUAAAGACUAAUGCCCCAAGAUUGUGAUUGAAAUACCACAAGCAGUUUAUUUCAUAAGUUUAGGUAAAAAUGAGGUUUGAUGGCUUUGUUAAAAGUUGCUUCUUUCGUAAUUUUCUCAUUUUGACUGCAACUUCAAAAAAUAGGCAGGAGAUUAUUUUGAUAAGCAACUUAUUAAAUAAGUUGCUAGAUCUUUUUAAAUGUUCCUAUAAUAAUCUUAAUAUUUUAAGAAAAGAAUAAUUAUAUCUUUCUUUUCUAUAAGCUCUAAUAUAUAAAUAAAACACAGUUUAAACUUAUGUCUAUUUUAGUGAUUAAAUAAUACAAUACAUUCAUAAUCAAAUUUACCAAACACAAGCAAGAUACUUUUUUAAUCAUCAACUUAUUUCAUCCUCACAACAAAAAUAACUUAUUUUAUCAGCCACCGCCAUCCUAAACUUGAUGCUAAGUCACAUUUGGGAUUGCAUUUGAUUGUCAAAUAAUUAAGAGAAAUAGCCAUUAUGGAGAAGAAUAGGGAGAGGUUCGCCUAAAGCAAUAUACCCGUAAGCUUGGCUACUAAUAAACGGAGCAUAUAAGCAUAAACACCUAACUUUUGAGGCAUAUAAGGGAUCUAAAAGUGCGGGAAACGUUCGGAAAAACUUUAAAACCACAGGGUUUUAAAGGCUUAAACUGCAUGGUUUAUGUGUUUUCCUAGAUAUUCCUACACUUUAAAAUUCAAGAUUAAAACAUUUCCAUAUGUGUGUGUGUGUGUGUGUGUGUGGAGGGCAAAUCUUUGACUCUCUCCAGCUUCAAGUACCUAUACGGUAACUCUUAAAUCAAAAGGGAGAAAAUGGUUAACCCAAUCUGAUUGUAUAUGAAUUGAUAUUCACCAUAUGAUUAUUGCAUAAAGAUUGAGCCUUAAGUGCUUUACAUUAAGUAAUACUGAACACCUGUUCUACACAUUUAGACAACUCAGAGUAAAAAUUAUGAAAAUGACAACCAAAUCCAAACUAGCUAGGUGCACUAUUAUUAUUUAUCUUUACUCCAUAAAUAUUAGAAAGAUAGAGGAGAGGAAGAAAAAGAAAAGACUAAUUUUGUAGUCACAAUUUAAUCUUAUGCUCUGAUUUUGAAGCAAAUCUGCAAAAUAUUUGAGGAUCCAAUCAUGAACCAUGUCCACUUCAAUCUUUCGCUGCACUACUAACCAUACUGGGUCAUCUUCUGUUGCUGGCUGUGUGUCUAAGCAAUGGGAACCUACUCCAAUUUACACACUAUUAAUUAUGUUAUCCAAUAAUUUAGUUAAUAAUUGAACACUAAUUUUUUAUUUUAUAGAAAAAUUUAAAUACUGUUUCUUGUUGUCACUGCUAUUAUACUGUCUGAUAUAUCUUCCAGAAUCCUAUAAUCCCCCCCCCCCCAAAAAAAUAGAAGAAACAGAAAAGAUAUAUAAUUAAACAGGUAACUUCGAUAGAAAAGAGUGUACACAAUUCUUAAGCUUAAUUACCCCUCGCUACUAUAGGGAUCACGAAGGCCAUUAGAGAAAAUAAUGUUGCUACCAAAUCUCUUUAAAACCACUCUUAUAUCCUGCAAAUUAAAAAGAAAUAGAAAUCAAACAAAAAUUGAGGUGAACUUUAUAAUUAAAACAGAAAAUGAGAAAUCUUAAAAUAUUAGAAGAAUUAAUUUGGGGAUUAAUCGACACUUACAUUACCACUUUAAUAAGUUGUAAUCCAAUGUGGUCUUGGAACCACUCCAUAAGACUUAUUGCAUGAAUCCAUAUAUUCUGUCAGAUUAAAUGGGUCUGCUUGAGACAUUGUGUCGUUUUUGCCAAUUCCAAUUGGUGAGACCAUUGCACUGCAUGUCUGCAUGAGAAACCCCCCAAUAAUAAAAAAUAAUAAUAAUAAAAUAACAUAAAGAAGAAAACUAUUUUUAAUCAUUCAUAAAUAUAAAGUCUCAUUGCCACAUGUUGUUUAUUUAACGGUCUCAAUAGAACUAUCCAAUGAAAUCAUGUCACUUGUAAUUGCAUACCUGUCAGCCCCAGCUGGAGUCCAAUGUUGCAUCGGAGAAGAAUUCAUCAACAUCAUGGCAAGAAUCCUCCCCUCUUAAAUCAACAAUUCCUGAGAUGAUCCAGUCUAGGGCAUCUGUGUCUUCUAAAGCUCCAUCAAUUGCAUUACAGGCUUUGUUCACUGGGCUUUCCUGAGGAUCAUCAUACUGAGCUGCACCCGUAUACAUAUACUCUAAAUAAUCUUUCAAUUCUUAAACAUCCUUCAGAGGCCUGUAAUCAAAUAAACAAUAACAUAGAAUUAAGUGCCACAAGGUCAUUAAUUUUAUAAAAGAUCUUUCAACAUAUUGUCUUCAAAAUGUUGUUAUAUUUAGUUAGAUUACAAUAAACUUUAUAAGUAUGAAGCUAUUGAUAUUCUCAAAUACAAACGUUCAAAUUUGGCCUCAUUUGAUUAUCAGAGUUGUGCGUGGUUUUGUAGUUUAAAUUUAGAUUCUGCAAAAUAUGGACGUCUGAACCUAAGCACCAGUAUACUAUAUAUGGUAACGCAAAGGCCGUGUAUAAGCCCAAAUCCAGAUUUUUACUUUGUAUAUUACACGUUAAUCGAAAUGUAUAUAUACGCUGAGGAUGACAGAUAAUUAAUUAGACAUAGUACAUUCGAUAACGAUGCUACAAUAACAUUGCAUUAAUUGUAAUUAAGGGAAAAUCGGAUGGAUAUACAAUACAAUACAAUAUACAAUAUGGAUAUACAAUAACAUACAAUAUGAUUCUGAUACAACCCCAAUAUUACAGUUAGACAAGCCCAACUCAGCUAGCUCUAUCAAUACUGAGGAAAAGGCCCAGGCAAACUCAAGUGAGGCUAUCCAAAAUCGACCCCAAGAUAACCUCAAGCCAAGUCGCGUAAGGAAGCCUCCCAAAUGGCUCAAGGAUUACACAUACUGAGCAUAUAUGAGCUGAGGACUCGGUUUCUAACGGCCUUAGCUAUUUAGAGAACAACUUUUUUGUUAUAGAGGGAGGUUGUUAUUUAGUUUUGACAGCUGUGAGCAUAUUCUUGCUGCUAUAAGUAUUUCCAUGGUUGUAUUUGAUGAUAUAUAAAAUUCUGGACCUAGUUUCUUCUUCUUCUCUGAAUUUUUCUCUCUAUUCUAUCUUGCCAUUCACUCAUUUCUUUAAAAUUCUGGGAGCUUGCACUUGCUUGAAAAGUGUGGAAACCUUGCUGUUCGGUGUGUUCACCAGCGGCAUAACAGAUUCAUUACUUGCAGGUUUUGAACUUUAUAGAGAGAAAAGCAAGUCCAUUUUUUCCAGCAGCGACUUUAUCGAUUUCAGCCUAGGACUGUCUGAUGGUCUUGUAGCAGGUCUCGCUGGCUUCCUGCAUCAUUAAUUUUCAAAAUUCAAUGGCUAAAUUUUAACAAGAGAACAUAAUCAUGCUUAUAUAAAAUUUUAAUUAACUAAUUUAUUUCUUACCCGAAAGUCCUUGGUGACAAGAUCAUAAUAUGCGUUUGACGGUGUGAUAUUAUCAAAGUAGAGAAUUGGGGCGGAUGAGGCAACUGCUCCCAAAGCAAUGUGACGAUACUUCAAGCGAAACCAUGCAGCAAGCAUUGUUGAUAACAAACCAACAAACGAGUAACUCUCGAAACCAUAUCACAUCCCAGAUCUGAUAAAAUAGGAUGAAUAGAGAAGAUUAUUUUUAAAUACAUAAUUAUCUUGAACAUAUUUAUUAUUUCUUGAUUUUACGAUCGCCAAGAGUAUUCGUUAGUUGCAAUAUUAAAUAAAUUUGUAUCAUAGUAAUAUUGCUGUAGUCAAUAUCUUGAUCGAUCAAUCGUGAUCUAAAUGAGUAAAAUGAUGUGACAGAUGACACGACAUUAAUCAAAAGAUGUAAGUAAGUUAAUAAUAUUAUAAUUUACUUCCUCCAUAAGAUGCUCCAACAACCAUAAUGGGAGACAUUUCGUCCGAUAAAUUUUUCUGGAUGUGUAAGAGAAUCUUGCAUAAUCAGCCAAAGCUUGAGCAGAGUUGAAAUAUCCACGAAGAGUUGCAUUCUUUAGGGCAUCUUUGCUUGAUACAAAAGGUACUGAUUUUCCAUAGAACCGAUACUGCAUAAAAAAUUGAAUUAAAAAAAAAUCCAUCACAACUUUUCAGUUCAUAUUGUAGAAUAUUCUGAUUAAGAUUUGUCUUUAUUAUUAUUAUUUCGUAUGUGAACUCUAUUUCAAUUAUUAUCAAGCUAGCCUGAUAACAUAUUCUUUACUUACCUCUAUGUAAACUUGUAAGGCUUUAAAUCGAUGAGCAUUAUUAGUAAGCCAUCCAAUGCCACCAAGGUCAUCAUAUCAAGACUACUCUCUUCACCAAGAUAUGCCAGUAUCGGGCGCCGCCAUGGCUCUGCCACCACCCCAAUGCUUGAAGUUCAACGCAUAUCUAUGAGGAAAAGUUAAAUAACUUUGUGGAUUAUAGUUAAAGUGAUCAAGUGUUUGAUAAUAAUAGUAAGUUUCGAGAUCAACAUAGUCACUUUGUGGAUUUUUUUGCUAGGGUUUUGAAAAAUAGUCCUUCCACGAACAGCACCAAGCUUUGGGAUGUUCUUUAAUGGUGAAGUGGUAGCAAAAGCAAAAUUUGUGACGAGAAGAAGAAAAAGGCAUGGAGCCGCCGACCUUUCAUGGCAAAGUUGUAAAUCCUUAAUUAGCAGGAUGAUUAUGUAAAUACAGAAGAAAUAGAGUUAAGAUUAGAUUAUAAAUUCAGCUUCAAAAUCGACGUGUUUGUUAAUAUAUCCUGGAUUUGUUGUUAUCGUAUAAUUUAAUUAAUGUUGGUUUUAGUUUUAUAUUAGUAUGGAUCUUCAUUUUUCAUAAAAUUAUAGUGUGUCGAAUAUAUAGUUAUCGGUUUCGUAAUUAAUAAAAAUUUUUAUUAUUUCUUUCCUAGUAAUUAAUUAUCUUGUGCUUACCAGAAUAUCACUAACCACAACUUCUGCAGAAGCUUCCUCACCUUCGGAUGACAUCAGCGGUGCGUCCAGGAUGUUUGAUCGGAUCAGCUAAAUUAAAAAUUUAUUGUAUAUGUUUGUGUGAAUAUUUACAAAGGAGUGAAAAAAAACUAAUAUAUUGAAUAACGCGACAUCAAGAACUUCGUUCUGAAUGAAAUUUUUAUAUAUAAUUUGCAAAAUAAGCUAAUAAAUAGAAUGACAAUUUACCCUUUUUAACUUGUAGAGACACAACCUUAAAUUCCUUAAUAUGCUGGUUAAUUCAGAUCAUUGAGAUGGAGACAAUUAGACAAACCUUAUUUUAUCAGAGUGAACUGCGAAAGUACUAGCUUUACAAAAGAGACUAAUGACGUAGUGUGAAUGGAAUUAAAAAAUACUAAGGCAGACAAUUCGUCGAACACAUAAUAUUUGCUACAUUGCUACUACCUAAUAAUUUCACAACCAAUUAACAGUCUCCUUUAUUGGAAAAAUCACAUUAAUCAACCAAAUACAUUUCUUGGUUUCUAAGCUCCAAAAUUGAAAUUUCAUGAAAAGGUUUCUGCAUUGGUGUCUUAUUGCGAGCGAUAAAUUCGUUGGACACGAGUUGCAUUGUAGGUCGAGACUUUGGUUGAGAACGCAAGCAUGAAAAUACUACUGUUGAAACAAGAAUGAUAUCCUGCCUAAUCAUUUGAUCCCCCGGAGGCGGGAGGCGUGGGUCCAACAAAUCAAUCAGCUUUAUAUUUUUAUCCAAUGACGAAGAUGACGAUGAGAGGAGCUCUCCUGGAUGCUUUCCCAUUAGUACUUCUAGUGCCACUACUCCGAAGCUAUAAACAUCAGAUUUCUCUGUCACAACCAUGGUGUAGGCACGUUGUAUAGGAAAACGGAAGUCUUUAUUAGUAAUGUUUCCAUAAACAAUAACAAGCACAAUUUGUUCAUGUUUUUUAGCUUCUUUAGCAAGGUAUGACAGAGAAGCAUAUGUUCUAACUGAUAUUCAGUGUAUGUGUGUUUUGAAAGGUAAAGGGAUAGGUAAAGUCUAAAUUCAGUUAUAGCUCCUUAGUUUUUUCAAAAUUCGAACCCAAGUAGCGAGCUAAAUAAAGCUGGUUAAAAACUACUUAGCAGAGUAUAUAUAAAAAUUAAAUAAGAGGAUAACUAAAGAAGCAUAAGAGGAAUAGCUAGAAGAUGACCUGGAGCAAUAUAUCCAUAAGUGCCAGCUAACAGAGUUCGAUUGGAUGAGUCAAAAUUUAACAAUCUAGCAAUACCAAAGUCAGCAACAAAAGCUUCGAAUUCUGAGUUGAGUAGAAUGUUGUUGCUUGAUAUGUCGCGGUGAACAAUUGGUGGUGUGCAGUGAUGAUGCAAGUAUGACAAAGCAUGAGCCAUACCCUUCACAAUGUUCACCCUUUUAGUCCAAUCCAACCCAACAGCUUCCUCAUCUGUGCGUAGAAUACAGAACAAGCUUCCCAUUUCCAUGUACUCAUAGAUCAAGAACAUGCAGUUCUCGUGCAAACAAAAGCCGUAAAGCUUUACAAUAUUUCGAUGCCGUAUUUGGGACAGUAGACGAGCCUCAUUCCGGAAACUCUCGAGGGAAGCUAACUCCUCAGUUUCUGAACGGUGAAGCUUCUUCAAAGCAACCACUUUUCCACUGGGCAGCCGUGCUCUGUAAACGCUGUCGUAGCCUCCGGUUCCAAUGCAGUAUUUGAUAUCGAAAUCCUCAGUGGCUUCAAUCAUGUCUUGAAAUGUAAUUCUACCAUCGUAAUUCCAAAUUGCAAACUCAUCAGCGCACUUGGUAAUUUCUCCUGUCCCAGUUGGUUCAACUUCCUUAUCCCUUCGUCUACGGAUAAUCAAGAUUCCAAAUAUCAAGGCAAGGAAUGCGACCAUAGCAAGAAUAAUUGCAACCAAGCGAGUGGCAAUUGUUUUGUGAUGUGGCGGUGGCGCAUUUGCCAAAGUAGUUGGGAUUUCUCCUCCCAAUUUAUUGCCUGACACAUCUAAGUGUGGCACUUUUCUGACAAAUACAGGGAUUCCACCGGAAAGGUUAUUCAUGGAAAGGUCCACAGUGUCUAUGCGUGGAAAUUCUCCAAGUUGGGAAGGUAUUUUACCAUUAAUGAAGUUACCGCUUAGAUCAAGAUAAUAUAGUUCUUGAAGUUUGCCGAUCUGUGACGGAAUGCUUCCGCUUAACAAGUUGUUUCCCAAUUUUAAUAUCCUCAGCUUUGAGCAAUUCAUGAGUUCUGGAGGAAUUGGGCCAUCAAGUUUAUUGUUGUACAUAUUCAAAGUAGUUAACUGAGUCAAAUGACCCAGAGACGAAGGGAUUGGGCCAACAAGUUUGUUUUGGGACAAGUCUACACUUCUCAACCACUUUAAAUGGCCAAGUGUUGUAGGAAUUGAACCUCCAAUUUCAUUUCUGGACAGGUCAAGAGCUUGAAGAACCUUCAAACUCCCGAUUCCUAAUGGGAUGGAACCAUUCAUUUGGUUUGAGGCAAUAGCCAAAGUAGUUAGCUGGGUUAGAUGACCUACAUUGGAUGGGAUAUUACCGACAAGGGAGUUAAAAGACAAGUUCAAAAUUUUCAAUUUGCUUAGACCACAAAGAGUUGGAGGGAUAUGUCCCAUGAGGUGAUUAUCAGAUAGAUCCAGGUGGACGAGAUUCCUUAAUCGCCUCAUCUCUAAAGGGAUAAUUCCUGUUGUGCAUGUGAUUUAUGAAAAACGAGAUCAGUAUUCACUAUCUUCAUUAAAAAAAAAUUACAUAGAGGGAGAGUCAAGCUCAAGUGCGGACGACUCACACUUCUUUAGUGUUGUAAAAACAGACGCCUGCUUUAAGCAGCAGCGCGAUUUUAUACAUACAUAUAUAUAUAUAUGGUGAAGUUUCACAGCUUACCGGUAAGGCCGUUGUAGGGCAGUUCAAGAGUUUGGAGCAUUGAAAGGGCAGUAAUUUCAGAUGGAAUGCGCCCAGAGAGAACAUAAUUUGUACGAAUUUUGAAAUUUCUGAGGUUCGGAAAGCAAGAGAAUUUGAAACGACCGAGCUCUCCUUUGAUGUUAUCAUUUUCAUACCAGAGUAAGCUGACCCCGAUUACGCUUCCCGCUGAAUUGCAACUGACGCCAGUCCACUUACAAUGAUCGGACGUGUAGUUGCCCGACGUCGCCCAAUUGUUGACCCACCAGCCGGUAGCAAGUAAAGCUUCCCUUUCUAACAGUAUGGGUGACGACAAUAAUCUUGCAGCUGAUGCCGUUACAGAUAUUGUCGUAUCACUUAUAGCACCAACAUUUAUUAAAAUUAAAAUGACCACCAAUCUCGAAACAGUGGAUGCUGCUGCCAUGUUUAUAAUGGUUUUCGGUUGAUUGAGCUGGCUAUUUGAUUCCUUGCAAAGCGUUUAUAUAAGAAUUAAUUGUUUUGCAAGCUCCCGGUGUUAACUUCCAAUACGCGUUUUCAAAUAGUGUGAGUCAAUGUCUUCUCUGGAUGGAUUCAAUCAUGGAGAUAUAACCUUAUCGGCUUGUAUUUGUGAGGUGUAGAUCUAUUUGAACAACUUUGCAGAAACAUGAGAUAAUAUGGACAAUAUUAGAAAUAAUUAAUAGCGCUAUUAAGAUAUUAAAUAUUACCCAAAAUAAUAAAGAAAAAAAAAAGCUCGAAGGAUUGUUGUUGUAAAAUAUGACUCAAAUAGAAAAAUAAACAAGACUAAUCAUAUCUUUGUAUAAAUUUAAGUAUAAAAAAAACUUGUAGGUGUAUUAUUAUAAUAAGCUGUAGAGAAAAGAAUUUGUAGACUUCUGUGAUUUGACAAAAUAAUAAAAUAAUCCCUUUAUUUUUUAAAAUAGUUACAAAACUCCUUUUGCAACAUGCAAACUAUAUGGAAAAUUGGAAAUUCAUGGGCUACCUAAUAUCCCUCUUAUUUUUUUAUUUUUUAUUUUACACCAAAACAUCAUAGACAAAAGAAGAUAAAAAUUUCAUUGCACUCAAUUUUUUUCAUGAAAUCAAACAAGGAAAAGAAGCAAAAAGUGUUGGAAAUAUAGCACAAGUUACUAUUUGAUGCGUGAUUUUGAGUGAGACUUAUCUGUUGUUUCAAAUAUUCCUCCGUAAAUACUUCAGAAUGAUUUUACCUAUAUAAUCAAAAUAACCCUUGGAUAAAUGAGAAAUUGUUACUCAAAGUAAAUUCAUGGAAUUGGAAAAGUAAAGGAAAUUAUAUUUGUCCCACAUGAAAAAGAUAGCAAAGGCAUGAAAGGUUUGUAUAUAAUUACUCAUGUGUGUAUAAGUAAAAUAUAAACCAAGACGCUCUCUCUUCCGUGCCCCAUCCUAAGUACACAAAUUCAAUGUGAUACGAUCCUAUAGUUUCCGUUCAAACCUAUGCACACUUUAAAAAAAGGUUUUUUUUAAUAUAUUUUUUAUGUAUUUUACAUUUUUUUUAAAAUUUAAUAAAUGCCAUAUUAUUUAAAUAUUUAAUUUUAAGGCAUCUUUUUUAAGUUGAGGGCAAGGAACCCCUCCGAUACGUAAUGCCGAAACAUGCUAAUCUAAUCACCUUGACUUUAAAGACUGCUUCCCCUAGUCAGCAAUUAUUUGGAACUUACGUCUUGACAUGUGCUGUGGAAAAUAAAGAAUGAAGUAGACUUAUUGAGUCAAGCUGUUUCUUCAAUCCAGAUAUUUAGUUUAUACGUGUGCAAAUAUUCAAUGCCUAACUUUAUUCUGCACAAAGCCUAAUGUCCUAUUUGGGAUAACGGUUGAAAUACUUAUAAGUUUUGAUAAAAAUGAUGUUUGAUAAAUUUGUUAAAAGUUUAAUUCAUAUUUUCUCCAUUUUGACAAUAACUCUUAAAAUAAGUAUGAGAUUGUCUUUUAUAAGCAACUUAUUAAAUAAAAUGCCAUUUUUUUUAAAGUUUCUAUUAUAACUUUAAUAUUUUAAGAAAAGAAUAAGUGUAUCUUAUUUUUUUAAAAAUCCUAAUAUAUAAGUAAAAGACAAUUUAAACUUAUGUUUAUUUUAAUGAUUAUAUAAUAAAAUAUUAUUUUCGUAAUCAAAUUUACCAAACACUGAGCGAGCUACUUUUAUAAUCAUUAGAUAAUUCCAUUCACAUCGCAGAAGCAGCUUAUUUCAACAGCCACCAAAAUCUUAAACUGAUCCUAAGUCAUGUUCGGAAUUGCAUGGGAUUGUCAAAUAAUUAACAAAAGAAGCUAUUAUGUAGGAGAAUAGGAACAGGUUCACCUGGAGCAAUAUACUCAUAAGCUUGGCUACUAAUAAACGGAGCGUGUAAGGAUAAACACCUAANNNNNNNNNNNNNNNNNNNNNNNNNNNNNNNNNNNNNNNNNNNNNNNNNNNNNNNNNNNNNNNNNNNNNNNNNNNNNNNNNNNNNNNNNNNNNNNNNNNNAUGGUUAAUCCAAUGUGGUUGUGUAUGAAUUGAUAUUCACCGUAUGAUUAUUACAUAAAGAUUGAACCUUUGUACGUGCUUUACAUUAAGUAAAACUGCACACUUGUUCUACACAUUUAGACAACCCAGAUUAAGAAUUAUGAAAAUGAAAUCUACAACUAGCUAGGUGCACUAUUAUUUAUCUUUGCUCCUUAAAUAUUAGAAAGAUAGAGGAGAGGGAGAAAAAGAAAAGACUAAUUUUGUAGUCCAAAUUUAAUCUUAUGCUCUAAUUUUGAAGCAAAUCAGCAGAGUAUUUGAGGAACCAAUCAUGAACCAUGUCCAUUUCAAUCUUUCGCUGCAUUACUAACCAUUCGGGGUCAUCUUCUGUUGCUGGCUGUAUGUCUAAGCAAUGGGAACCUGCUCCAAUUUACACACUAUUAAUUAUGUUAUCCAAUAAUUUAGUUAAUAAUUGAACACUAAUUUUUUAUUUUAUAGAAAACUUUACAUACUGUUUUUUGUUGUCACUGCUAUUAUAUUGUCUGAUAUAUUUUCCAGAACCCUAUAAUCCCAAACAAAGAAAGAAAAAGAAAAAGAAAAAGGUAUAUAAUAAAACGGGUAACUUCGAUAGAAAAGAAUAUCCAAAAUUCUUAAGCUAAAUUACCCAGCGCUGCUACAGGGAUCGCGAUGGCCAUUAGAGAAAAUAAUGUUGCUACCAAAUCUCUUUAAAACCACUCUUAUAUCCUGCAAAUUAAAAAGAAAUAAAAAUCAAACUCAAGAACGAGGUGAAGUUUUUAAUUUAAAAAAGGAAAAAAAAAGAGAAAAUUAAAAGAAUUAAUUUGGGGAUUAAUUGACACUUACAUGACCACCAUAAUAAGUUGUAAUCCAAUGUGGUCUUGGAACCACUCCAAAAGACUUAUUGCAUGAAUCCCUAUAUUCUGUCAGAUAAAAUGGGUCUGCUUGAAACAUUGUUUCGUUUUUGCCAAUUCCAAUUGGUGAGACCAUUUCACUGCAUGUCUACAUGAGAAACCCCCCUAUACUAAUAAUAAUAAUAAUAAUAAUAAGAUAAAAAAGAAAAAUAUUUUUAAUCAUUCAUAAAUAUAUAGUCAUAUAAAUAAAAUUAAGAGAUGUACAUAAAAUAGGUAUUGUUAGGCGAAAGACUAAUUCAUUGCGACAUAUUGUUUAUUUGACGGUCUCAAUAGAACUAUCCAAUGAAAUCAUGUCAUCUGUAAUCGCAUACUUGCCAACCCCAGCUGGAGUCCAAUGUUUCAUCGGAGAAGAAUUCAUCAACAUCAUGGCAAGAAUUCUCCCCUCUUAAAGCAACAAUUCCUGAGAAUAUCCGGCCUAGGGUAUAUGUGCCUUCUGAAUCUCCAUCAAUACCUUCACAAGCUUUGUUCACUGGAUAUUCCUGAGGAUCAUCAUACUGAGCUGCACCUGUAUACAUAAACUCCAAAUAAUCCUUCAAUUCUGAAACAUCCUUCAGAGGCCUGUUACAAAUAAACAAUAACAACAUAAAAUUAAGUGCCUCCAAGAUUAGUGACAUCAUAAAAGAUCCUUCAACAUACCUGUCUAAAAAACUUUGUUAUAUUUAGUCAAAUUACAAUAAACUUUGUAAGUGUGAAGCUAUUGAUAUUCUCAAAUACAAAAUCCAAAUUUGGCCUUAUUUAACAAUCAGAGUUGUACAUAUUGUUUUGCACGUCUGAACCUAAGUACCAAUGUACUAUAUAUGGUAAUGCAUAGGCCGUAUAUGAGGCCAAACCCCAGAUUUUACUAUGUACGUAUAUUACACAUUAACUGAAAUGUAAAUAUACCUUGAGGAUGACAGAUAAUUAAUUGGAUAUAUAUAGACAGUUUUGUAAUGAUACUACAUUAACAUUGCACUGUAAUUGAAGGAAAAUCAGAUGGAUAUAUAUCGGCAGUUAUAAAAGUAAUAUGAUUCAAUUACUUGCAGGUUUUGAACUUUUAAGAGAGAACAGUAAGUCCAUUUUUUUCCAGCAGCGGCUUUAUCGAUUUCAGCCCAGGACUGUUUGAUGGUCUUGUAGCAACUCUCACUAGCUUCCUGCAUCAUUAAUAUUCAAAAUUCAAUAGUUAGAUUUUAACAAGAAAAUAUAAUCAUACAUAUAUAGAAUUUAAUUAAUUAAUAUUAUUUUCUUACCCUAAAAUCCUUGCUGACAAGAUCAUAAUAUGCGUUCGAUGGUGUGAUAUUAUCAAAGUAGAGAAUUGGGGCUGAAGAGGCAACUUCUCCUAAAGCAAUAUGAGGAUACUUCAAGCGAAACCAUGCAGCGAGCACUGAUGAUAACAAUAACAAACCCACACGAGUAACUCUCAAAGAGCAUCUGUUAGUAGGAAUAUAAAAUAAAAUUGUAUCAUAAUAAUUGAGGCGUAAUCCAGAUUUUAGUCAAAUAUUUAAAAUAAGGUGACAGAUGACAUGAUGUCAAUCAAAAGAUGUAAGUAAGUUAAUAAUAUUGUAACUUACUUCCUCCAUAAGAUGCUCCGACAACGAUAAUGGGAGACAUUUCGGCCGAUAAAGUUUUCUUGAUGUGUAAGAGAAUCUCCGCAUAAUCAGCCAAAGGCUUGAGCAGAGUUGAAAUAUCCACGAAGAGUUGCAUUCUGUAGGGCAUCGUUACUUGAUACAAAAGGCACCGAUUUUCCACAGAACUGAUGCUGAACAAAAAAUCAAAUUAGAAAAAAAAUAUAUAUCACAACUUUUUAGUUGAUAUUAUAGAUUAAAUUUAUCUUUAUUAUUAUUGUUUGGCGUUCGAACUCUGUUUCAAUUAUUAUCAAAUUCUUUACUUACCUCUAUGUAAACUUGUAAGCCUUUAAAUCGAUGAGCAUUAUCAGUAACCUGGAUUUGUAUGUGAUUAGGAGGUCAUUGCUUAGAGAUUCCCAUGUCCACUCUUAGUGCCAAAAGACUUGGUCUUGAUGCACAGGUGACAAGUUUGUUGGGGAGUACAUUUGGACUCACUAUCUUCAUUUAAUUCCAAACAUCUUAGCAUUUGGUUAUUUAUGUUGGUCAAAGUUCGCAAGUUCAGUUUGCUUGGUCAACUCAAGUAGACGAGAGAGUUGCGGCUUUAAAAUUUGGCAGUGAGGACAUGUGAGCUUUUUUGAACGAAUGUGAGUCUGAAACCUUUUUUGAACGAAAACACGGAGCAAAUGUGAGCUUCUCGUAGGCUAAGGUUCCAAGAGAGGUUACAUAUGUUUACCAUGAAGUGUCAUAUGAACUUGUACAGAUUGAUUUCUGAUGUUUCUUUUUCCCGGUAAUUUCUUAUUUUAAAUCUUAUUGCUUGUCUUUGUGUAUGUGCGUUGGGCUGGAGGCUCCAUUGAAAUGGUGUUUCCUCAAAUUAUGAAUUAUAACGCUCGUAAGUGUUAAUAUCAUCUCUUCUUCUUGUCCAGCUUAUUAAGAAAGUCUUUCAGAAUCCUUUUCAAACAUAUUCCUUUUUUUUUCUGAUUUUUGGAAGGAAAGAUUUUCCUAGUUCAGUGCUGGAAAUGUUGUUAAUUAACAAGGAUUUUGGUUGUAUUAACUAUUUAAAUGUACUUCUACAUUCCUACCUUUUUUGAGAAUUCACAAUUUAAAAUAAAAUGUGUGCAUUAGUAUUUUGUAAACAAAUUCUUUCAUCUGUACUACAAUAGCAAAUGAUGGAGCUCACUGGGAAUUUUUUUCAUUUUUACCAUUGAUGUGAUAACUAAUAUAAGGCAUAAUGGUUUCUGUAUCAUUUCCAGCCUCAGCCUGAUUCCAAUACUUGUGGAUCAAAGCAGAAAGCUGCCACACCACCUGCAGGUUCUGGAGAGCUUCCUUCAACGAGUUCAAGCAAAACCAAGGAGUGGAGUUGUGCCCUCUGUCAGGUCAAUGCUACUACCGAGAGAGAUCUAGACGUGCAUCUCCAAGGUAAGAAGCACAAGGCCAAGGAAAAAGUACUUAGAGAUUUGAAGAUGUGCAUUAACUCCACUUCAAAAAAAUAUACGGAAAGCAGAGAUAGUGCUGACCAAGAAAUGAAGUCUAAUGUAGAAAAGGAAUCACUUAAAGGUAAUAAAACUGUUGUUGGUUUAGACCAGAAAGUGGAGGAAGGUCAAACCCUGCAGGUUAAGCCCAAUUCCAAUCUUUGUGGAUCAAAUCAGAAAGCUACCGCACCACCUGCAGGUUCUGGAGAGCUUCCUUCGGCGAAUUCUAACAAACCCAAGGAGUGGAGUUGUGCCCUCUGUCGGAUCAGUGCUACUACCAAGAGAGGUCUAGAUGAGCAUCUUCAAGGUAGGAAGCACAAGGCCAAGGUUUCAGGACUACUUAGAGAUAAGAAAAUGUGCAGUAACUCCACUUCAUCCACGUCAGAAAAAUCUACUGAAAGCAGAGAUGGUGUUGGCCAAGAAAUGAACACUAAAGUACAAGAGGAAUCAGUUAAAGCUAAAAAAACUGUUGUUGGCCUAGACCGGAAAGGGGAGGUUGGUGUAGAUGAGCAUCCUCAAGGUAAGAAGCAGAAGGCCAAGGAAGAACUACUUGGAGCUCAGAAGUGGAUAAAAAAAUCUACAGAAAGCAGAGAUAGUGUGAUACAACCUGGCCAAUUGUUGUGAAUCAGAUCGAGCACAAUGAGACAGCAAGGGAAGAGACCCAGCCUGCAGAAAUGGAAGAAGUCCAACCCGUGAAUGAGACACAAGCUAGAGAGCAGCUCAAGACAGGUUCAGCUCGCGCGAGAAAGAAACCAGGAUGGCUCAAAGACUUUGUCAUUUGAGGAAUGUUCGAGAAUGCUUGAGAGAUUAUAAUAACGAAUAUUGUUUUGUUUUCAAUUAUUAUUUUGUUGUUAUCAAUUUUAUUCUAUUUUAGUUAGUUAAGGGUGCGUGGCUGUUUUUGGGAGAGAGAAUAUAUUGUACUGUCAAAGGGACCCGUGAGGGAUAUCAAAAAGGAAUAUAUCAUUUUGUCUUUUUUCAGCUUCGUCUUCUUUCUCUUCUCUGCAAUUCCCCUGUCCCUUUUCUCUUUCUGCAAAUUCUUUUCCCCACAGAUUGGAGCCUGCACUCGCUCAAAGAGUGUCGUAUCAACUGGUGCUUUCAUUUCAUCUCUUCACACACAAAAAAAAAAAAACAAAUGUCUCUCACAGAACCAACGACUGAUUCAGCAGUUCUCUCCACCAUGAAAACGCUCAUUGAAAAUCAAACGCUUGCUGUUCAUCAGACCUUACAACAAUAUAUGUCCACGGUGGAUUCUCGAUUUGAGGAGCUACGUUCCCAAAUCAAUGGUUCUGUCGGAGCGUCAGUGGGUUCUUCCCGCCCAAUGGCACCGGAACCAGCGUCUUCGACUGUACUGUCAGGUGUUUCGGAUAUCUCUCCUCUGUUGCGUUCUAUGAAAAUGGAUGUCCCAAAAUUUGAUGGCACUGAUCCGAAUGGUUGGGAUUUUCGAAUCAAUGAGUUCUUUGAUUUUCACGGCACCCCUGACCAGUUACGCCUUCGUAUUGUAUCUUUUCACAUGGAGGGAAAAGCAGCAGCAUGGUAUCAAUGGAUGAAGGCCAACAACUUGCUGAGCACUUGGCAGAAUUUUUUACUCAAUCUUAAGCAAAGAUUUGGUACAUCCAUGUAUGAAGAUCAUCAAGGUAACCUCUCCAAGCUCUCCCAAACGUCGACUGUUGCUGAUUUUCAGUCUGCCUUUGAGGAUUUGAUGAACAAGGUCACGAGCAUCUCCGAGCCAUUGUUGGUUAGUUUCUUUAUCACGGGCUUAAAACCCGAUAUCAGACGAGAAUUAUUAUUUGCAAGACCCACAUCUCUCAUGGAGGCUUUUGCUUUAGCCAAAGCUUAUGAGGCACGGUCGGAAGAAAUCAAGACCUCUAGCCAUUCUUGGACAAAGUGGACACCCUCAUCUACUCACACCCACCAAUCCACCAUUACUGCCUCCCCACAACCUGCAUCAUAUAAAACCCCAACAACAACUCCUCUUCCUAGUUUUUCAGCCACUAAACAGCCACCUCAACCCCCAUUAUUGCCUACUCCCACCUUGCCCAUUCGUCGAUUAACUCCAGCCGAAUUAAGAGAGAAAAGAGAAAAAGGGCUCUGUUACAACUGCGACCAAAAAUAUAGCGCCACACAUCGCUGUUGUAGCAAGUUUUUGUUAUUAAUGGGUAUGGAUGAUGAAGAUGAUGAGCCAAGUAAGGACGCUUUUAGUCAUGCACAACCAGAUGAAGUAGUCACAGCGGACAUAUCUAGUUUGAAUGCCUUGGCUGGGCAAACUAAUCCACGAUCUUUAAGGGUGCUGGGCACCGUUGCCAGCUAUCAGUUUCAGGUGUUAAUUGACAGUGGCAGUACCCACAAUUUCCUUAAGCCACCAUUGGCUGAACGCCUUGGCCUUUCCGUUCAAGCUAUACCUCCUUUUCGAGUCUACAUUGGCAAUGGCGAUUUUCUUACUUGUCGAUUUCUCUGUCCUAAAGUGCCUAUUAAUAUGCAGGGGCAUGAAUUUCUUUUGGAUUUAUUCCUUUUGCCAAUCGAAGGCCCUGAUGCUGUCCUUGGGAUUCAAUGGUUACAAAGCUUGGGAAGAAUUUCUACGGAUUACUCCGAGAUGACGAUGGAGUUUCAAUGGGAGGGAAAAUCUAUCAUUUUACGGGGAGACCCAAUUCCAAACCCGAAUUUUAUCUCUUUUAACCAGUUUCAUGCCUUGUUAUCUAACUCCAAAAUCGACAGCUUAUUUGAACUUCAUUCUUUACCAACUGAGCCAUCAGCCACUCACACAUCUACCAACACAUUGCCGGAUAAUGACUUCGAAUUUCUGAGGUCGUUGCCUAAACCAAUUACUACUCUCUUAAAAAAAUUUAAGGCAUUAUUUGAUCCACCCACUGGUCUUCCCCCUCAACGGCUAUUUGAUCACAAAAUACACCUCAUUCCCAAUUCCAAACCAGUCAACGUUCGCCCCUAUCGGUAUCCUUAUUUUCAGAAAACCGAAAUGGAGAAAUUGGUGAGAGAAAUGUUAAAUCAAGGCAUCAUAAAACCCAGCCAAAGCCCGUUUUCUUCACCGGUAAUGCUAGUAAAGAAAAAGGAUGGCUCAUACAGAUUCUGUGUGGAUUACCGCGCUGUGAAUGCAGUGACGGUGAAGGACAAAUUUCCCAUCCCCACCAUUGAUGAACUAUUUGACGAACUUGGCGGUGCUAGGAUUUUCAGCAAACUUGAUCUAAGAGCCGGUUAUCACCAGAUAAGAGUUCACAAGAGGGAUACUUAUAAAACAGCGUUUCGCACGCAUGAUGGACACUAUGAGUUUCUUGUUAUGCCGUUCGGUUUGACCAACGCGCCGUCCACUUUUCAAGCAACAAUGAACCAACUAUUCGCUUCCUUUUUACGUAAAUUUGUUAUUGUCUUUUUUGAUGAUAUCUUGGUCUAUAGUGCAUCAUUGGCUGAACAUGUGCAUCAUUUGGAGCAGGUCAUGAGUUGUUUAUACACAUCUCAAUUUUAUGUCAAAUUCUCCAAUUGUUUAUUUUGUCAGGAAUCAAUUGAUUAUUUGGGCCAUAUUGUGUCGACUCGAGGAGUGCAUGCUGAUCCGCAAAAGAUCACAGCCAUGGUAGAUUGGCCCUUGCCUAAAUCGGUGAAGCAACUGAGAGGGUUCUUGGGGCUGACAGGGUACUACCGACGUUUUAUUCAAGGCUAUGCAACCAUCGCAGCUCCUCUCACUGAGUUGCUUUGUAAGGAGGUUUUUCAUUGGAACCUGGCAGCUACUCAAGCUUUUCAAGCAUUAAAGAAGGCUCUUGUGGAAGCCCCUGUACUACACUUGCCGAAUUUUGCCUUGGAGUUUGUCAUUGAGACCGAUGCUUCUAAUGUCGGGAUCGGUGCUAUGCUAAUGCAAGCCGGGCAUCCGCUAUCUUAUUUUAGCAAAAAGUUGGGUCCUCGAAUGCGUGCAUCCUCAACAUAUUUGAAGGAAUUAUAUGCUAUUGUAGCUGCAGUUCAAAAAUGGCGUCAAUACCUCCUUGGCAGAUUUUUCCUUAUACGAACUGACCAUAAAAGCAUAAAGGAAUUGUUUCAACAAGUUAUUCACACCCCAGAGCAGCAAUUUUACAUUCGUAAGUUGAUGGGAUAUCAAUUCAGAAUCGAUUAUAAAGCUGGUACCUUCAAUAAAGCUGCUGAUGCUUUAUCGCGAAUUCAUAGGGACAACGUGACUGAAGAACCCAAACCAACAACUCUUUGUUUGUCGUUUGUAAGCCAACCUUCUAGUGAACUAUUGACAAAUCUGCACAAGGAAAAUUGCUCUCUUCCUGAUAUGAAACAACUCCAUCAGAGGUAUGCAGCCGGUUCACUUUCUUCUGCCUUCUCAGUUCAAGAAGGGUUCCUGCUAUUUCAACAUCGAUAUUACCUCAGCCCCAACUCAUCAUUAAAAGCCGUGCUACUCAAAGAGUUUCACGAGACACCUAUGGCAGGCCAUGCUGGUAUUAAAUAGACAUUGGUACGUCUUUCAUCGACUUUCUUUUGGCCUAAGAUGAGGGAAGAUGUUGAGCAACAUGUAGCUGCUUGCCUUGUUUGCCAGCAAAUUAAAUACUCAACUCAAGCGCCGGCGGGUCUAUUACAACCCUUGCCUGUCCCUUCAUUAGUUUGGGAUGAGUUAACCAUGGAUUUCAUUACAGGGCUGCCACUUUCGAGAGGAUUUGAAGCAAUUCUAGUUGUUGUGGAUCGUUUAUCAAAGUCAGCUCACUUUGGAGCCUUGCCUUCUCAAUUUACUGCCAUCAAAACAGCAGCUUUAUUUGCUGACAUGGUUGUAAAAUUACAUGGAUUUCCUAGCUCUAUAAUUUCAGAUCGUGAUCCUAUAUUCAUGAGCAACUUUUGGCAGAAAUUGUUUGAUUUAAAUGGUACACAGUUACGGCACAGCACGGCUUACCACCCCCAAAGGGAUGGUCAAUCCGAAGUAGUUAAUCGAGGGCUUGAGCAAUAUUUACGAGCCUUCUCACAAGAUAAGCCACAGACAUGGUCUUCAUUUUUAGGCUGGGCUGAAUUUUGCUACAAUACCAGUUAUCACAGCAGCUUGCGAAUGACUCCCUUUCAAGCCCUUUAUGGUCGUUUUCCUCCCACAAUUCCAAGUUACUCAAGGGGCUCUACUUCAAUCCAAGCUUUAGAAGACAUGUUAAUUGAGAGGGAUGCCAUGCUUUGCUCAUUGAAAGAGAACUUACGACAAGCUCAGCAUCGAAUGGCUCAAAAGGCUAAUUUACAUCGCCGAGAAACUCAAUUGCAGGUAGGUGAUAAAGUGUUGGUGCACCUUCAGCCAUAUCGCCAGACAUCAGUUGCUAAGCGCUCAUCUCAUAAGCUGGCAAGGUGCUAUUAUGGACCAUUCACAGUGGUAGAGCGUAUUGGACCCGUUGCUUACAAGUUAGAGUUACCCACAAAUUGUAGAAUUCACCCGGUGUUCCAUAUUUCCUUACUAAAACCUUAUGUGGGAAACUCCCCCAUUGAUGUUUAUUCACUGCCUCCAGGAAGUGUGGAUAACAAGCCCUUGUCAUCACCAAUUGCAGUAUGUGCUGAGCGAAAGAUACUUCGACAAGGCAAAGAAAUUCCACAAAUUUUGGUGCAAUGGUCUGAUAGCUCACCAGAAAAUUCAACUUGGGAGGACUUUGAGGAAUUUCGUAAACUCUACCCUGCACUACACCGUGAGGACAAGGUAAGCUUUCAAGGAAUGGGGAAUGAUACAACCUGGCCAAUUGUUGUGAAUCAGAUCGAGCACAAUGAGACAGCAAGGGAAGAGACCCAGCCUGCAGAAAUGGAAGAAGUCCAACCCGUGAAUGAGACACAAGCUAGAGAGCAGCUCAAGACAGGUUCAGCUCGCGCGAGAAAGAAACCAGGAUGGCUCAAAGACUUUGUCAUUUGAGGAAUGUUCGAGAAUGCUUGAGAGAUUAUAAUAACGAAUAUUGUUUUGUUUUCAAUUAUUAUUUUGUUGUUAUCAAUUUUAUUCUAUUUUAGUUAGUUAAGGGUGCAUGGCUGUUUUUGGGAGAGAGAAUAUAUUGUACUGUCAAAGGGACCCAUGAGGGAUAUCAAAAAAGAAUAUAUCAUUUUGUCUUUUUUCAGCUUCGUCUUCUUUCUCUUCUCUGCAAUUCCCCUGUCCCUUUUCUCUUUCUGCAAAUUCUUUUCCCCACAGAUUGGAGCCUGCACUCGCUUAAAGAGUGUCGUAUCACAGUGCUGGCCAAGAAAUGAAGAAUAAAGCAACAUAGGAAUCAGUUAAAGCUAAUAGAACUGUUGUUGGUUUAGACCAGAAAGAGGAGGGUUGUCAAGCCCAGCAGGUUAAACCAUAUCCCAAUCUUUGUGGAUCAAAACAGGAAGCUUCCACACUACCAGCAGGUUCUGGAGAGCUCAUGUUGACGAGUUCAAAGAAACCCCAUGGAUUGGAGUUGUGCCCUCUGUCAGGUCAGUACUACUAGCAAGAGAGAUCUAGAUGAGCAUCUUCACGGCAAGAAGCACAAGGCCAGGAAGAAGGACUACUUGGAGAUGAGAAGAUGUGCAGUAACUCCACUUCAAAAAACUCUACUGAGCAGAGAUAGUGCUGGCCAGGAAAUUAAGGCUACUCUAGAAGAGGAAUCAGUUAAACCUAAUAAAAAUGUCGUUGAUUUAGACCAGAAAGUGGACUGUGGUCAAGAUGAGCAUCUUAAACGGAGCUAAUUGGAGCUCAGAAGAUGUGCACUACCUCAUCUUCAACAAUGUCAAGGCUGCUCAUUAUUCAAGCAGCUUGGUGAAGCCACGUCAGCAGAAGGUUGUUAGUGAAGAAUAACAGCUCAGCGUGAUUAGUCAAGUGUUAGCGAUCCAGCUCAUAAAAGUUAGUUAGUUAGUUAGUGAGUUACUAAGCAAUUCUCACGUGUAAGGAAUAAUAUAAAUACUUGUACUGAUUUGUAAAAGUUCUUAUGAAUCGAAUCUUAUCCAAUACCAGUAUUGAGAAUUUUCUCUGUGAUUUUCUAUUCAACCAAACAGCACAUCUCUGUUUUCUUUCAAACAACAUCAAAAGAAUCUGGAAAGACAAUUAAGCUUACCGAAAGUAGAGAUAGCUCCAGCCAAGAAAUCAAAGCCUAAACAGAAUCAGUUAAAGCUAUUAAAACUGUUGUGGGUUUUGACCAGAAUGUGGGGGGCGAAGAAGAUUCAGAGAACAAAAAUGAGGAGCUGCCAAAGAAGAAGGCGUUGAAUACAAUCACUCAGAAGACAACAAAUGGAAUACCAACUGGAGGGACGAUGAGGAGAAAACUUCCCCUUAGAGAGAACUUCGAAUUCUGGUGUGAAGUUUUUCAGGUUGGUACUCACUCCGCUGUUGUGAUGGAGGGUCAUAAAAGGGGGAAGAAACACAUGGCUCGGUCUAAUGGAUCCAGGAAAAAUAAUGAGGCUGUCCCCCUCACUACCCCCACUACAAUUGUGACACCAUCAGAGCCUACUGAGAAUGUUGAAGAUGAAGAUGCGGUGGCCCAAGAAUGAAAUGAAGAAACCGCAGAGAGUGUCAUUGAGAAGGCUGAAGAUGAAGAGGUGGUGGUCUAUAGAGGCAGAUAAAGUGAGCCUGAUGCAGCAGACUCCUUAUUAUGCUGAAGGUAAAGCUCUUAACUUUUAUUUUUCUCUUGCGCUCCAUUUUGAAUGUCUUAAAUUUCAAUGAACCAGCAGCGUGUUACUUUAUCAUUUUAAAACUCAGAAAUUACAAUAAUAAAUUUAAGUUCAUUCUUCCAUCUCGUCAUAUAUAGAUUUGAAGGUACUGAAUGAUGAAGCCUGUAAAUUCAAGCAACAAUACUGUAAUGGGGAUCAUGUGUUGUUCUCUACUCUCCAGUCGUUGGUAAAAAGCUCAAAAAAUGAAAACCAGACACUGUUAGAUCAACCAUUUGAAAGUGCUUCAUAUAUGCAUGAUUAUGACAUUGGACUCUUCGGCCCAAUGCAAAUUUUUCUUGAUCAUGACCUGACGUUAGUUUAUCUUGUGCUGGCAGGUAGUUGGUGGGAUAUCACUAACCACAACUUAUGCAGAAGCUUCCUAACAUCAGCCGUGGGUCCAGGAUGUUUGAUCGGAUCGGCUAAAUUAAAAUUUUUUUGUAUAUGUUUGUGUGAAUAUUUACAAAGGAGUGAAAAAACUAAUAUAUAUUAAAUAACGCGACAUUAAGAACCUCGUUCUGAAUAAAGUUUAUGUAUAUAAUUUGUAAAAUAAACUAAUAAUUAAAAUAACAAUUUACCCUUUUAACUCGUACAGAUACAACCGUAAAUUCCUUAUUUAAUUCAGCUCAUUCAGAGGGAGACAAUUAGACAAAACUUAUUUUAUCAGAGUGAACUGCGAAAGUACUAGCUUAACCAGAGAGAUUAAUGUCGUAGUUUGCACAUUUGUUUAAUUGCAAUUCAACAUAUAUAGGAAGUGAACGUGAAAAUAGAAUUAAUAAUACAUUGCAAGUACCUAAUAAUUUCAGAACCAAUUAACAGUCACCUUUAUUGGAAAAAUCCAUUAUGAUUAGAAGCAAUCCCAUCACAUGCAUGAACAGUUAAAUAUACGCAUCCAUAAUUAGAUAUCACAUUAAUCAACCAAAUACAUUUCUUGGUUUCUAAGCUCCAAAAUUGAAAUUUCAUGAAAAGGUUUCUGCAUCAGUGCCUUAUUGCGAGCGAUAAAUUCGUUGGACACGAGUUGCAUUGUAGGUCGAGACUUUGGUUGAGAACGCAAGCAUGAAAAUGCUACUGUUGAAACAAGAAUGACAUCCUGCCUAAUCUUUUGAUCCACCGGAGGUGAGAGGCGGGGGUCCAGCAAAUCAAUUAGCUUAAUAUUUUUAUCCAAUGACCAAGAGGACGAUGAGAGGAUCUCUUCUGGAUGCUUUCCCAUUAGUACUUCUAGUGCCACCACUCCAAAGCUAUAAACAUCAGAUUUCUCCGUCACAACCAUGGUGUAGGCAAGUUCUGUAUGAAAACAGAAGCCUUUAUUAGUGAUGUUUCCUAAAUAAUAACAAGAGCAAUUUGUUUAUAUCUUCGAGCAUCUGCAGCAAGGUAUGACAGAGAACCAUAUGUUUUUAACUGAUAUUUAAAGUGUAUUUUUUUUAAAAUUAAAAAAAAAAAGUGAAACUGGUAGGCAAAGUUUAAAUUCACUUUUCCAGCUCUUUACCUAUUCAAAAAUUUGAACCUAAGUAGCUAAUUAAAUAAAACUGCUUAAAAAUUACUUAACAGAGUGUAUAUAAAAAUUAAUUAAAAGAAUAAUUAAAGAAGCAGAAGAAGAAUAGCUAAAAGAUUACCUGGAGCAAUAUAUCCAUAAGUGCCAGCCAAUAGAGUUCGAUUGGAUGAGUCAAAAUUUAACAAUCUAGCACCGCCAAAGUCAGCAACAAAUGCUUCUAAUUCUGAGUUGAGUAGAACGUUGUUGCUUGAUAUGUCGCGGUGAACAAUUGGUGGUGUGCAGUAUGAUGCAAGUAUGACAAAGCAUGACACAUGCCCUUCACAACGUUCACCCUUUUAGCCCAAUCCAACCCCACAGCUUCCUCAUCUGUGCGCAGAACACAGAACAAGCUUCCCAUUUCCAUGUACUCAUAGAUUAAGAACAUGCAUUUCCUGUGCAAACAAAACCCGUAAAGCUUUACGAUAUUUCGAUGUCGUAUUUGGGACAGUAGACGAGCCUUAUUCCGAAAACUCUCGAGGGAAGUUAACUCCUCAGUUUCUGAACAGUGAAGCUUCUUCAAAGCAACUACUUUUCCACUGGGCAGUCGUGCUCGGUAAACGCUGCCAUAGCCCCCGGUUCCAAUGCAGUAUUUGAUAUGGAAAUCCUCAGUAGCUUCAAUUAUGUCUUGAAAUGUAAUUCUACCAUCGUAAUUCCAAAUUGCAAACUCAUCAGCGCACUUGGUAAUUUCUCCUGUCUCAGCUGGUUCAACUUUCUUAUCCCUUCGUGCACGGAUAAUCAAGAUUCCAAAUAUCAAGGCAAGUAAUGCGACCAUGGCAAGAAUAAUUGGAACCAAGCGAGUGGCAAUCUUUUUGUGAUGUGGUGGUGGCCCAUUUGCCGAAGUACUUGGGAUUUCUCCCUCCAAAUUGUUGCCUAACACAUCUAAGUGUGGCACUUUUCUGACUGAUUUAGGGAUACUACCGGAAAGGUUAUUCAUGGAAAGGUCCACGGUAUCUAUGCUUGGAAUUGCUCCAAGCUCAGAAAGUAUUUUACCAUUAAUGAAGUUAUGGCUCAGAUCAAGAUAAUAUAGUUCUUGAAGUUUUCCGAUCUCUGACGGGAUGCUUCCCCUUAACAAGUUGUUUCCCAAUUCUAAUUCCAUCAGCUUUGAGCAAUUCAUGAGUUCUGGAGGAAUUGGACCAUCAAGUUUGUUGUCGUACAGUUUGACAGCUUCAACACGUUUCAAGUUCCCAAUUUCUAAUGGGAUGGAACCAUUGAUUUGGUUUGAGUACAUAUUCAAAGUAUUUAGCUGAGUCAAAUGACCCACAGACGAAGGGAUUGGACCAACAAGUUUGUUUUCGGACAAGUCUAAAAUUCUUAUCCUGUUUAAAUGACCAAGUGUUGAAGGAAUAGGUCCAGUUAGAUUGUUGUAAUGCAGGGACAGAGACGUCAAGUUUACUAAACUAGCUAUGGUCGAAGGAAUUGGACCUUAAAGUUUGUUGAAGCAUAGGUCAAGAACUUGAAGAAAGUUCAAAUUCCCGAUUUCUAAUGGGAUGGAACCAUUGAUUAGGUUUGAGCGCAUAUUCAAAGUGGUUAGCUGAGUCAAAUGACCCAGAGAUGAAGGGAUUGGACCAACAAGUUUGUUUUGGGACAAGUCUAAGCUUUUCAACCUCUUUAAAUGGCCAAAUGUUGAAGGAAUUGAACCUCUAAUUUCAUUUCCAGACAAGUCAAGAACUUGAAGAAAGUUCAAAUUCCCGAUUUCUAAUGGGAUGGAAACAUUAAUAUGGUUUGAGGCAAUAGCCAAAGUAGUUAGCUGGGUUAGAUGACCUAGAGUGGAGGGGAUAUUACCAACAAGGGAGUUAGAAGACAAGUGCAAAUUUUCCAAUUUGCUUAGACGACCAAGAGUUGGAGGGAUAUAUCCCCAGAGGUAAUUAUCAGAUAGAUCCAGGUGGACAAGAUUCCUCAAUCUCCCCAUCUCUAAAAGGAUAAUUCCU